UCUCCUUCCUCCAGGAGGUGACGUGGUUCACAGCAUCCAUACUUUUGCGUUAAGUUGAGAGUAAACCAGCAGCUCUUCGCAAGCAGGGACAUAAAUCAGCUGAAAUCUUUAAGAGAGUGCAAAUACAAUUGCACACUGAUCAGGCCACCAAUGGUUGAAUGAUUUUGACUCUUGAUCUCCUAUCUCAAAUCCAGUUGAAAUAUUUCCCAUUUAUUGUCUUAGUCAUAUUUUCUUGACAAGAAAAGGUAUGAAGGAUAUCUGCACUUCAAGUUUCUUGAAUGAUCCAUGAAAAGAUAUUUAUCCAGGUGGUAAGAGCAAUCCAGACGCUCUUUGCAAGCACGGACAUAAAUCAGCUGAAAUCGUUAAGAGAGUGCAAAAACAAUUGCAUGCUGAUGAGGCCACCAAUGGUUUGACUGAUUUCGACUCAUGCUCUCAUACCUCAAAUACAGUUGAAAUAUUUUCCGUUCGUUGAUCAAAUUUCCAGUGGCCACAUGUUCAAUCUAAAGUUCCUGUGGAGUCAUGGUUUGUCAACUUGCGGUUAGUCACGACAAUUCACUGUUCUCACACAAAUUCAAGGAAACUAUCUGCAGUUUCCACACCACCUCUGUACCAAAGGGAUCAUCCACUUUCGCAGACUAUGGCUUUUCUCUGGUUUCUUCUCUACUCACUCAGCAUCUGUUCCCCUACCCUCCUCCUGAUGCAAAUAGAGCCCUUACACAAUUGCAAUACACUCCACUUACCUCAAGCUGUCGAGACACGCCCAAUUUGAUGGUCCAAUCAGGAACUAUAAUCAACACAAACUCACUUCUCAACAGGGCACGCAAUUAUUAAUUUGAUCAACAAGCACAUCAUCAAACUGGACAGAUCUCAUCUGCCGGUGGCCAAAUUCCAGAUCUGCUAAUCCGAGCACGCCGGCAAGCCAAAGCAGACCAUGUGACAUCAAGCCGGCAAAAAAAGGGAAGAAAAACAGCCAAGAUACAGGAACGACCUAAUAGUUUGCCCCCAGAUCUAACGCCCGACGCCGCUGUUAGCACCGAAGCACGUACCUCGCGGCAGCCAGCGCCCAGCCGCCGUCUAAUAUAGCCACUAGUUGGCGACGUCCCCGCGCUCGGCGGCGGCCGACGCGUCCUGCAGCUGCUGGUACGGCUUGUCGUCGUGGACGAAGAAGACGUAGAAGCCGCCGCAGGUGGUGGCGGCGGCCAUCGCCCAGACCAGGAGCUUGACGGCGAGCGGCAUGACCUCGGCGACCUUGUAGGUGAACAUGACGGUGAGCAGCGUGGUGAGCGCCCAGACGGCGGCCUUGAUCCGCUCCCGGCGGGGGGAGUGGCGGUCGAGGCGCUCGUAGAGGCGCAGGCAGGCGAAGAGGGCCACGAGGUCGAGGUAGGAGACGGCGACGAAGAUGACGGACCCGGCGUCGCCGUUGGAGCGGUACACGGCCAUGCCGGAGUUGAAGGUCAGGAAGACGAACCCUAGCGCCGUGAGCCACGAUAACUCUGCCAUCGCUGGUGCCGCUGCGGAUCCGUGCUGCUACCUGCGACGGAUAAGAGACGAGUCAGGGUGGAUUUAAAGGGGGCGGAGAAACGGAGAAGCCGCGACCGGCCGCGGAAUCGCCGAAGGGGGGAAAAAGAUUGGAAAGAGGAACGCACCUGAUUAUUUAUGGUUGGUGGAGACUGACGAUGAACUACGCGUCUGGAGAGCACAAGGGUUUGGGUCUUAACGUGUUUCUUUGGGUCGCUGUCGUGAGAGAUGGUGUGUCCACCGAUGUACCGAAAGCGUGUCUCGUGCACUAGACUCUUCUUUUUUCUUGUGAAGUACGUGUACGUUCUUUUUUCUGAAAAAUAUUCAGAUCUAGGAGUAUUAUAAAAAAUUCAUCAGAACCACGUACAAAACACCUCAAACACAAUAAAAAUUAAAGAGAAAUUCAUAUUACAACUCUGAAUUACCAUAUAAGAUACAACACCAAACUCCAAAGUCUUCUACUUCAUAACAUCAAACUUUCAAAAAUUGACAAGAAUUAACCCUAAACCGUUUUUGACUGGUUUCAGUCGGCCCACUAUGCCACCCUGACCUUUAACCCUGGUCAUGGGACGAGGCUUGCCUCCUCUCCCUCCUGUGCUCCCAUCCAUACUCCCGCACCAUCCAUUCUUCAUCUGACGGUUACAACAUUUUCCCUCCCUCUCGAUCCUUUUCCAGUCAAAACUAAAGCAAACAAACUCCCGUAUUUCCUUCUGCCGUGGCCCGCGCCGCUGGCACGCCCUCCCCGCACGAUCCCUUUCCAUUGAUUCAGUGCGGUAGAAACAAAAGCUAAAUACCGAGAUGAACAAAAUCAUCAUGCUACUAAGAACCAGAGCUUAAUGUUGAUGCACACAGGAAUGUGUUGCGGUGUUGCCGCAUGCCACCAAAGAAGAAAGAACACACAAAAGUUGCAUGCACCAGUCGACUAGUUGCUCAGAAGGUACAGCGACGGACGGAUCGAGGCGCCGGCGUCUCCGAUGAGUGGGCGCCAUGACGGCCACGGGAGGAGAUAGAGGCGACGACCUCGUGCUACAUCUCGGCGGCUGUGGAACUUCGUUCGGUGGUAGAGGAGGGAGAACGGGGCGGCUGACGGGAGGAGAUGAAGGCGGCAACGGGACCUUGGUCGGGGUCGCCGGGUCGGACAAUCGGCUGUCGAUCGGAACUUCGGAAGGUAUGAGGGAAGGAGACGAGAAGAAAUUACGUGCUUGAGAUGGAAUACAGACUUUUGUUUGCUUUCUUUUAGCUGAAAAAUGGUGCAGCCGCUGGAUGAGAAUUUAACUGUGCGGGAGUAUAGAUGGGAGCACGGGAGGGGAGCAGGCAAGCCUCGUCCCUAGUCAUGGGCCGGCAGUGCUAAAAAAGCCGUCAACGUGGCAGCUCCAACCGAUUGGACUCUGGCGAGGCUGAAGCUAGGCUACAUGGAGCUGGUGGGCUGGUGGGGGAUAAUUGACUCAUGGGCAUUCAGUAGGAGGCCCCUUUACGAGUCUUCCUCCUCCAAACUGACAAAAUUGACAAGAACUCCAUCCACUCAGCCACUGGAGGAGCUUCUUGGAGGCCAAAGGGGGCCACGACCGCCCCUCCAAAAGUGAAAACAAAAGUUAUUACCAUGUUUUGUCCCAUAUUCCUGUUUCUCCCCCACAAUGUUGAGAGAAUUCCUUAUUUGGCUCUUUCUUAAAUUUUGCUUUCCUUUUUGGCCCUAAAAAACAUUUUCUUCCCUUUUUGACACACAAAUUUUAUUUUGUUCCCUCCAUGACAAUUAUGGCAAUUUUGGCGACUAACACAGUGAAGUGCAACAUGAAAAGUCGCUUUUACCCCCUGCUUUAGCUCACUGGCAAAAAAAAUCCCCACCGCGCCUUCUCACCCGAGUCCACCCAAGCGCAAAAAAAAGCUGCAAGGGCCCAUAGCGUGACGUCACCACGUCGCAGGGCCCGCGUGAUUUGCAUGGUGGUUUAGCAUGGCACGAGUCUUCAAGGUCGUGGCGCCUGGGGUAGGAAAACUACCGGCCAUCACUUUCUUUCUGUACCGAAAAAAAGAGAAGAAGAUUACAGAAAAGUCGCAUUCGUAUGCGAUGCAAAACUCUCGUCUGGUCGUCUUUGUGAUCGAGUGAUUUAGCGAGUAGACCAAGGGCGUCGUCGCCGACCAGGCACUCACCUCCGGCAACACCACGCCCGCGCUUGUUGCGCAGAACGCCAACAAUAUCUACUUGUUCAUCCGCGCCGGACAGAUACGCACCAAGAUCUUCCCUUCGCUGAUUUUGAGGGAGGGGGAUGACGGGUCCGUCACGUCUCCUUGGCGACACGCUAGGUGAGUCCGCCCCACGGCGAUGGCCGGCGUGGUUCGCCGUAAACCUUCGGACGGCGACGACUCUCAGGCCAUGUCGCGGGGAGGACGUGCUCGGCUCGCACCUGGACUCGGUGGAGCUCGUGGAUGAGCGAGGGUGCACGAUGGACAGGCGGGCCAGGAGAGGGCUCGUGUUGGCCCCUGGCUCUACAAUCGUGUUCCCCUGUCAUGUCGCGUGCAUCGAGGAGGAAGACCCCGACGGGAGCGACGCCUCGAGAGCCGGCGAGGGAGGAAUUGCGGCCGGUGGGAGAGGAAAUGCGGCCGGUGGGGGAGUUAAUUCGGGCAAUACUUAUGGCCGGGUUACUCCGCUCCUUCUCGGUCCUUCACUUCCUCUCCCAGCCGUCUCGUUCACCUCUCUCCUGGUUGACGACUGCAGCGGAGAUGGUGGAGAUCAGCGAGGAGAAGUUGAGGAGGUUUGCAGGCAGGGACGCGCGCCUGCGUGCUCGCCUGAGGGAGAUCGGCUCGUGGUACACCAGCAAAAGGGAGAUGUAUGGGGAGGCGGAGGUGAUCUUCGAGGGCCUGACGGCGGCGGAGGAGCGGUCGUUGUUCGGGCAAGGUGGGCGCAAGCAUCCACUCUAGGUGCUGCUGUGGGCGAUGGAUCAGGCGGACUCGCCGGUGAGAGCUGUGGCGAGGAAGUGGGUAGCGUUAACCUCCUUCGAGACGGCGAAUCUCGCCCCGGCCAUGCGGGAGUCGACGCUCAGAUCCCGCGAGGGGUGCUGGCUCUUCCUGCUCCAGGAUCGGCCAUGGCGCCGAUCGAGAUCCGCGAAGACCCAGUGGAGCAACCACCGCAGGAGGAGGCGCGACAGAUGGAGGCGCGGAUCCCGCGACGCUCGGCUCGACUCGCCCCAACUCCGACAACACUGACCCCUCGCCGCUCGGCACGCCUCGCCGGAAUCGAUGCCUGAAGCCUUCACUAGCCCACAACCGCUUCUGGAUGUUGGCUAGCGAAGAUUCAGGUCCCGAUUCUGAUGAGGAUGAUGAUGCAGGUAAUCAUUGUGACUCCGCUCCUUCAUAUGAUCCUUCUGUCUGCAAAUAUCGCAUGCAAUUUGAGGAUGUUGAUACACAAAGCCGAAUCAGGCUUGUGAAUAGAAAAAUGAAGAAAAAAAUGAAUCGAUAUGUGCAGAGUUUACUUCUGAAGCAUGAGGGGGAUGCAGAUAGGAAGAAAAAUGAUAGGAUGUGUACCGAUUUUAGUAGGGACAUGACACAUAUUGAUUCUCCUAGUUGGGGAGAUUAUCACUGUAGUGAAAUUGAUAUGGCGCUCAUAAAAAUGAAGCCCAGAAAUCCAAUAAUCUGGGAUUAUACCAGAUUCCCUGAAUUUUUAAGUGACAUUGAACCUGAUGAUAUCAAUCCUCCCAAAAACUUAUCAAUGGUUCUAAUAGGAGAAUGGACAAGAUUGAUAAGGAAGAUAUUAGGAUUGAUAUCCCUGAGAAUUAUGCGCUGGAGGAAGUGGUUGGUGAAUUUCAGAGAGGAUGAGAGAUUCAGAGUGCUGGAAAAGAAAACAGGGAUGACAGCAGAGAAGGAGAGUGGGGGGAGAUUCGCUCUGAUAACGUGGGCUUUAAGGGCUCCUGGCCCAAUAAGGUGAGAAGUUUUGGGGGCCUAGGGAGGGGCGUGGAGGGGAUGGACAUAUAUAAAGGAGGUAUCCCACCUUUAGUUCCUGAACCUGAUUUCCUUCACCCCCAAACCCUAAAAACCUCAAGGCGGCGGCGAGCAGAGAGGCUGAGACUGAGGAAGAAGAGAUCUCCUGGGAAGAAGAAGAGAUCAUGGCCAAUAGACAAGAGAGCUGGCGCCCCAAGCCAGGGAGAGGGACAGGCUUCGGAGGGAGAGGUAAUUACUACAACAAGCCCAACAAUUCUGAGAGAGGUUUCAACAGGAUAGAUGGGAGAGAUCAAGAUAAUUUUGACUGGAGGAGUAGGGAUGGAAACUACAUAGGAGGAUCUGGGACCAACAGCAGUGGUUCUGGGGGAGAAGGGACAUCUAUGGGGAGUGGCAGGGAUCUGGAUGGCAAGGUUGGGAACUUUGGCCCAGGCAGAAUGGGGGGGGCAGCAGGAAAGAGUUCAUGUGGGGAGUGGAGAGAUGGGAUCUGGAGGUGGUUUUGCAACAGCCAAUCCUAGUGUCCCAUAGAUGGGUAUGCAGGGGGGACAGAUGCAGAUGGCAGGUGGUUUCCCUGUGAUAAAUAACUCUAGCUUCCCUCAGUUGGUACCAGUUGGAAUGGGCUUGGGACAAUUUGGGUUCAUGCCACAGGAGCAAAUGGCACAGCAAUACCAGUAUCUGCUCUCCAACAUGCCAAAACAAGAGACUUUGAAACUGCAGGGGCAACAAAAAGAUGAAGGGGAAAAAGGGGCAGCAAAGAAGAAAGAAAUAAGGAACAACAUCAAGGAACUGUUCUGUGUCAAGUGCAAAGAGCAGGGCACCUGAAGAGUGACUGCAAAAACAAAUUGUUCUGUGUGGUGUGCCAGAGAGCAUCACACAAUACUGAAGAUUGUACAGUGCUGAAACAAGCUAAACCGGUGGCCAAAUAUGUGGGAUAUGGAGCUAGGGGCCUAGGCUGCUUACUGGUGCAACACACUAAAGAUAUUGUAGCUGCUGAACAUACAAACCCCAUGGCUUUGGUGACUGUUCACUCUGGGCAGCUGAAUGAAACUACAAUUGCUUUUGGAUUCUCUAAGAUGUUUGAAUGGGGAUGGACCUGGAGAGCUAAAUUUCAAAGUCCUGUAACUUAUCUGAUGAGAUUCCCCAAUAAAGCUAAAUUGGUGGAAUUAAAAAACUUUGGAAAAUUCACUCUGCUGGGGACAGGAGCAAUGGUUGAGGUUGAUUUCUGGAGUCCAAAUGAUAAAGCCAAAGGGAAGCUACACUCUGUGUGGAUAAAAAUGUGGGGAGUGCCUGACAACCUGAGACAUUACUUGGGGAUAUGUGAGAUUGGGUCUGCUUUGGGGCCAGUGGUGGAGGUGGAUAUUGAACACAUACACUCCAGGGAGGAGAUCAAAGUGAAGGUUGGAGUGAGAGACAUACACAAGAUACCAGCAGGAACUGAGAUAACCACCAGAGACUUACUCCUGUAUGAUAUAUACUUUGAGUUUGACUCAGUUGCUGAACAAGGGUGGUACAAUUUUGAGGAGGGGAACAAAAGGAAGAUGUUUGAAUAUCUGGAGCUAGAACACUUUGAGACACAAAGAGAAAAUGACAUGCAAAAGAAAAGCAAACAAACAGACACUGGGAAACAAAAUGUGAGCCUGGGGAGUCUGGGUCUGAAACAAUAUGAGCAGGUGGUUCUGAAAUAUGGGGAGAGUUGCCAAACCAAUGAUACUCUUGAAGAGAAUAAAAAGGCAGAGAUAGUUGCAGAGAUGCAGGGGAGAGAGGAGGACCUGUUAUCUAGGUUGUAGAAAGCAGAAGAGUUAGCUGCUAGACAGUCUGCACAGCUGAUGUUGGAAGAAAAAAGGAGAAAAGAAAUGGAGAUCAUUAGGAAAACUCUGGAAAAUGAGGUAAAGAGACAACAUGAGUUGCUCCAGAUUAAUCUGAAAGGAUGUGAAGAAGUAAAAGGGUCACAAUCUGGAGAUAAGAACACUGCUGAGGGAGAAGAAGUGGAAACUCUAGAUGAAGAUAUGGGGAUUGAGGACAAACAAGAGGAGGGAGGAGAGAUGACAGACCAGGAGCUGAUGGCACAAGCCACUGGAUUGGGAUAUGUAGAGCCAGUGGAUUAUACAGCUAGUCAAGAGACAGAUUCCUUUGAGACCAAGAUUUUGAAGGCUGGGAAAAGAGAUGCUGAUCUUAAGGAUGAAGAGGAGGAGUUGAGGAGAUGCAUUAGGUUAAAAGGAAAAGAAGAUCGCAAGAUUUCAGAGCUGGCGAAGGAAAGGGUAGCAAAGAAGGAUAAUUAUGGUAAGUUGGGUGAUAUUGGGAGUUUUCCAAAUUGUGACAGUUUCUUUCAGAAAGUUGCUGAAGGGGUUGGUGUUAAUAUUGGAAAUAAUCCUGAUAUGAUAAAAUAUAAUAUAGAAUUGAUAAAAAAGUGGAACAAGCUAGAAUUGAUUUAUGGUUGUCUGACUUCAACAAAGAACAAAAACAGGUUGUUUUGCCUGAGGGUGAUGAGAUCAUUGAUACUUGGGAAUAUACCCUGGAAGAUCUUUUGGACCAGGGAGAAGAUGGAGCUGAUGGGGAAGAUGAUGAUUGGGAAAUAGUCAAAGAGCUCUUUGAAGGAAAUAUGCCCUAGAGGCAAUAACAAAGUUAUUAUUUAUUUCCUUCUAUCAUGAUAAAUGUUUAUUAUUCAUGCUAGAAUUGUAUUAAUCGGAAACAUAAUAGUUGUGUGAAUACAUAGACAAACAGAGUGUCACUAGUAUGCCUCUACUUGACUAGCUUGUUGAUCAAAGAUGGUUUCGUUUCCUAGCCAUAGACAUGAGUUGUCAUUUGAUUAACGGGAUCACAUCAUUAGGAGAAUGAUGUGAUUGACUUGACCCAUUCCGUUAGCUUAGCACUUGAUCGUUUAGUAUUCUGCUAUUGCUUUCUUCAUGACUUAUACAUGUUCCUACGACUAUGAGAUUAUGCAACUCCCGUUUACUGGAGGAACACUUUGUGUGCUACCAAACAUCACAACGUAACUGGGUGAUUAUAAAGGUGCUCUACAGGUGUCUCCAAAGGUACUUGUUGGGUUGGCGUAUUUCGAGAUUAGGAUUUGUCACUCCGAUUGUCGGAGAGGUAUAUCUGGGCCCUCUCGGUAAUGCACAUCACUAUAAGCCUUGCAAGCAUUGUAACUAAUGAGUUAGUUGCGGGAUGAUGUAUUACAGAAUGAGUAAAGAGACUUGCCGGUAACGAGAUUGAACUAGGUAUUGAGAUACCGACGAUCGAAUCUCGGGCAAGUAACGUACCGAUGACAAAGGGAACAACGUAUGUUGUUAUGCGGUUUGACCGAUAAAGAUCUUCGUAGAAUAUGUAGGAGCCAAUAUGAGCAUCCAGGUUCCGCUAUUGGUUAUUGACCGGAGACGUGUCUCGGUCAUGUCUACAUAGUUCUCGAACCCGUAGGGUCCGCACGCUUAAAGUUAGAUGACGAUCGGUAUUAUGAGUUUUGUGUUUUGAUGUACCAAAGGUAGUUCGGAGUCCCGGAUAUGAUCACGGACAUGACGAGGAGUCUCGAAAUGGUUGAGACAUAAAGAUUGAUAUAUUGGAAGCCUAUAUUUGGAUAUCGGAAGUGUUCCGGGUGAAAUAGGGAUUUUACCGGAGUACCGGGGGUUACCGGACCCCCCCCCCCCCGGGGGGGAAGUAAUGGGCCUAUUGGGCCUUAGUGGAGAAGAGGAGGGGCGGCUAGGGCUGGCCGCACGCCCCCUCCCCCUCUAGUCCGAAUUGGACAAGGAGGGGGGCAUGGCGCCCCCUUUCCUUCCCCCUCUCUCCUUCCCUUCCUUCCCCCCUCCUACUCCAACUAGGAAAAGAGGGAGUCCUACUCCCGGUGGGAGUAGGACUCCUCCCUGGCGCGCCCUCCUCCUGGCCGGCCUCCUCCUCCCCUUGCUCCUUUAUAUACGGGGGCAGGGGGGCACCUCUAGACACACAAGUUGAUCUGUUGAUCUAUUCCAGCCGUGUGCGGUGCCCCCCUCCACCAUAUUCCACCUCGGUCAUAUCGUAGCGGUGUCUUAGGCGAAGCCUUGCGUCGGUAGCAACAUCAUCACCGUCACCACGCCAUCGUGCUGACGGAACUCUCACGUGAAGCUCUGCUGGAUCGGAGUUCGCGGGACGUCAUCGAGCUGAACGUGUGCUGAACUCGGAGGUGCCGUACGUUCGGUACUUGGAUCGGUCGGAUCGUGAAGACGUACGACUACAUCAACCGCGUUGUGCUAACGCUUCCGCUUUCGGUCUACGAGGGUACGUGGACAACACUCUCCCCUCUCGUUGCUAUGCAUCACCAUGAUCCUGUGUGUGCGUAGGAAAUUUUUUGAAAUUACUAUGUUCCCCAACAGUGGCAUCCGAGCCUGGUUUUAUGCGUAGAUGUUAUAUGCACGAGUAGAACACAAGUGAGUUGUGGGCGAUACAAGUCAUACUGCUUACCAGCAUGGCAUACUUUGGUUCGGCGGUAUUGUUGGAUGAAGUGCCCCGGACCGACAUUACGCGUACGCUUACGCGAGACUGGUUCUACCGACGUGCUUUGCACACAGGUGGCUGGCGGGUGUCAGUUUCUCCAACUUUAGUUGAGCCGAGUGUGGCUACGCCCGGUCCUUGAGAAGGUUAAAACAUCACUAACUUGACGAACUAUCGUUGUGGUUUUGAUGCGUAGGUAAGAACAGUUCUUGCUCAGCCCGUAGCAGCCACGUAAAACUUGCGACAACAAAGUAGAGGAUGUCUAACUUGUUUUUGCAGGGCAUGUUGUGAUGUGAUAUGUUCAAGACAUGAUACUAUAUUUUAUUGUAUGAGAUGAUCAUGUUUUGUAACCGAGUUGGGAGUUAUUUCAAAAAAAUUCCUACGCACACGCAAGAUCAUGGUGAUGCAUAGCAACGAGAGGGGAGAGUGUUGUCCACGUACCCUCGUAGACCGAAAGCGGAAGCGUUAGCACAACGCAGUUGAUGUAGUCGUACGUCUUCACGAUCCGACCGAUCAAGUACCGAACGCACGACACCUCCGAGUUCAGCACACGUUCAGCCCGAUGACGUCCCUCGAACUCCGAUCCAGCCGAGUGUUGAGGGAGAGUUUCUCAGCACGACGGCGUGGUGACGAUGAUGAUGUUCUACCGACGCAGGGCUUCGCCUAAGCACCGCUACAGUAUUAUCGAGGUGGACUAUGGUGGAGGGGGGCACCACACACGGCUAAAAGAUCAAACGAUCAAUUGUUGUGUCUAUGGGGUGCCCCCCGCCCCCGUAUAUAAAGGAGCAAGGGGAGGAGGCGGCCGGCCAGGGAGAGGCGCGCCAAGGGGGAGUCCUACUCCCACCGGGAGUAGGAUUCCCCCCUUCCAAGUAGUAGGAGUAGGAGUCAAGGAAAGGGAAGAGGGAAGAGAAGGAAGGAGGGGGCGCAACCCCUCCCCCUAGUCCAAUUCGGACUAGGCCUUGGGGGGGCGCCCAACCUCUCCUCUCUCUUUCCCCUAAAGCCCAAUAAGGCCCAUAUACUCCCCGGCGAAUUCCUGUAACUCUCGGGUACUCCGAAAAAUACCCGAAUCACUCGCAACCUUUCCGAUGUCCGAAUAUAGUCGUCCAAUAUAUCAAUCUUUACGUCUCGACCAUUUUGAGACUCCUCAUCAUGUCCCCGAUCUCAUCUGGGACUCCGAACUACCUUUGGUACAUCAAAUCACAUAAACUCAUAAUAUAACCGUCAUCGAACUUUAAGCGUGCGGACCCUACGGGUUCGAGAACUAUGUAGACAUGACCGAGACACGUCUCCGGUCAAUAACCAAUAGCGGAACCUGGAUGCUCAUAUUGGCUCCCACAUAUUCUACGAAGAUCUUUAUCGGUCAGACCGCAUAACAACAUACGUUGUUCCCUUUGUCACCGGUAUGUUACUUGCCCGAGAUUCGAUCGUCGGUAUCUCCAUACCUAGUUCAAUCUCAUUACCGGCAAGUCUCUUUACUCGUUCUGUAAUACAUCAUCCCGCAACUAACUCAUUAGUUGCAAUGCUUGCAAGGCUUAUAGUGAUGUGCAUUACCGAGUGGGCCUAGAGAUACCUCUCCGACAAUCGGAGUGACAAAUUCUAAUCUCGAAAUACGCCAACCCAACAAGUACCUUCGGAGACACCUGUAGAGCACCUUUAUAAUCACCCAGUUACGUUGUGAUGUUUGGUUGCACACAAGUGUUCCUCCGGUAAACGGGAGUUGCAUAAUCUCAUAGUCAUAGGAACAUGUAUAAGUCAUGAAGAAAGCAAUAGCAGAAUACUAAACGAUCGUGUGCUAAGCUAACGGAAUGGGUCAAGUCAAUCACAUCAUUCUCCUAAUGAUGUGAUCCCGUUAAUCAAAUGACAACUCAUGUCAAUGGCUAGGAAACAUAACCAUCUUUGAUCAACAAGCUAGUCAAGUAGAGGCAUACUAGUGACACUCUGUUUUGUCUAUGUAUUCACACAAGUAUUAUGUUUCUGGUUAAUACAAUUCUAGCAUGAAUAAUAAACAUUUAUCAUGAAAUAAGGAAAUAAAUAAUAACUUUAUUAUUGCCUCUAGGGCAUAUUUCCUUCAGUUCUCCGGAACAAUGGAGCGAGCAACAGAUUUGUUGGAGAUCAUACAUACUGAUGUAUGUGGUCCGAUGAAUGUUGAGUCUCGCGGCGGGUGAGGGAGUCCUGGAUUAGGGGGUCCUCGGACAGCCGGACUAUAUACUUUGGCCGGACUGUUGGACUAUGAAGAUACAAGAUUGAAGACUUCGACCCGUGUCCGGAUGGGACUCUCCUUGGCGUGGAAGGCAAGCUUGGCAAUACAGAUAUGUAGAUCUCCUCCCUUGUAACCGACUCUGUGUAACCCUAGCCCCCUCCGGUGUCUAUAUAAACCGGAGGGUUUAGUCCGUAGGACAACAACAAUCAUACCAUAGGCUAGCUUCUAGGGUUUAGCCUCUACGAUCUCGUGGUAGAUCAACUCUUGUAAUACUCAUAUCAUCAAGAUCAAUCAAGCAGGAAGUAGGGUAUUACCUCCAUCGAGAGGGCCCGAACCUGGGUAAACAUCGUGUCCCCCGCCUCCUGUUACCAUCCGCCUUAGACGCACAGUUCGGGACCCCCUACCCGAGAUCCGCCGGUUUUGACACCGACAUUGGUGCUUUCAUUGAGAGUUCCACUGUGCCGUCAUCAUAAGGCUGAAUGGCUCGCCUUGUUGUCAAGGACAACAUCACCUCUGGGGGAGCCCUGGCUGUAGGCCAAACUCUUCGACUAGGCGGUUUCGUCAUGACCGCCUGCUCAGCCGCUGCGCCGACGAUGACUUCUCGGGUCAUCGAAAACAACCUCCACGUCGGCUCGGGACUCGUCGAGCAGUUGGAUCCAAUAGAGCUCUCUUCCUUGAACGAGCUCUUGGAUCGCAUCGCCGCUUUGGGAGUCGCUACGGACUAUGAUCAGAUCGGGCUUAAACCCGACCAAAGGAAGAUUAACUCCCCGCCGGUCACCCAUCAGAUAGCGGUGGUGGUGGAGCAAUGCGGCGAUUCUUCCUCUAUCUUGAGGGCAAACUACGUCCGGAUUCCCGAGCUCUCCGAGCCGGAUACCCGUCUACGGGAGGACAUCGCCCAAACCCUGAACCUAGAAUCAAGCAGCGGGCCAGACCUAUUGGGCAACAUCCCGGAGCCCAAACUGCCAAGAUCGGAAACUCCUCCGCCCCUGGGUCUCAGAUCGGGUCAAGGUUCGGACUUAAAUCCACCCACCCACCCAGAUAUAAACGAUCUUUCCCACAUUAGACAAGAGCCCCAGGAGACAGUACACCACUAUUGGGCCAGAUUCCUCCUUGUAAUGAACAAGGCUAAGGACUGUCGCGAGGAAGACGGAAUUUCAUUCUUUUGCAAUAAUUGCACGGACAAGGGAAUCCUCAAUGCCAUAAGUCGCCGUGACAUAGCACACUUCACUGACUUGGCGGCCAUAGUACGGAAGUACUGUACGAUGGAAAGCGCCUGGAAAACCCAAACAAAAUUUUGGGAUCCUCCGGCUUUGACAAAACCCCCAGUCCGAACUAAAAGGGUGCACUCUCGUAAGUCGCCCGACCCAAUUACAAAGAAGCAAAAGCCCACUACAGGGCGUGGAACCGUAUUGGAGGGAUGGCUUAAUGGGCCAUACAAAAUUCACAGUACAACGGAUACCAUACCAACACACAACCUUAGAGCAUGUUGGGUAUUCCGGCAGGUGGCCAAGAGCGGUGAGGAUCUCCUCAUUAAUAAUACCGCAGAGCACCAUCCCGUGGAGAACAACAAUACAGUAUUGACAGUCUUUGAGACCUUCGCCUCAAAUAAUAGGCGUAAGCGAGCACUCCGCAGCCUUGCCGAAGUCUGCCACGUGGCAGCAAUAAAUCCAUGGAGCGAUACAGCUAUCACCUUCAAUGCCAGUGACGAACCUAAAUUCCGAACAGCCCGAGCACCAGCCGCCUUGGUCCUUAGUCCAAUUGUGGACGGCUUCCGGCUUACUAAAGUGCUCAUGGACGGCAGCAGCGGAUUAAACCUCAUCUAUGAGGAGACUCUUCAAAAAAUGGAAAUAGACAGAAACCACAUUGAGCAAAGCAGCACAACCUUCAGAGGAAUCAUCCCUAGUCGGGAGGCACGAUGUGCUGGGAAAAUCACACUAGAUGUGGUAUUCGGCACGCCGGAGAAUUAUAGGUCCGAUGAAAUUACAUUCCAAGUGGCCCCGUUCAACAGCGGAUACCACGCCCUUCUAGGGCGGGAGGCAUUCACGAUCUUCCAAGCCAUACCCCAUUACGGGUACAUGAAGCUCAAAAUGCCCGGGCCCAAUGGAAUCAUCACUCUAGCUAGUGAUCCGGACAUAGCACUCCGCGCCGAAAAAAAUAGCCGACUGGCCCUCGAGGCGUUAUCCGAAGCCCUCGCGGCUGAGGAAUUAACUGCGCUGCGCUCCACAGUGGACAGGGACGACGUGAUACUCGACAAAAGAUCCAAGUCCACCUCUUUUAAACCAGCUGACGAGAUAGUCAAAUUCCAAGUCCACCCAACGGACCCUACAAAAACAGCAUCCAUCGGCGCACAGUUAAACCCCACAGUAGACGCCGCACUACGGGAGUUCUUGCGCGAGAAUUGGGACAUAUUCGCCUGGCAUCCUUCAGACAUGCCAGGAAUCCCACGCAGGCUGGCCGAGAAUAGCCUUAACAUUCUAAAGGGAUUCAAGCCGGUCAAGCAGACUCUUCGGCGUUUCUCUGAACCUAAGCGACAAGCCAUGGGAGAGGAGCUAGCCAAGUUACUGGAGGCCGAAUUCAUUAGAGACAUAAAACAUCCGGACUGGCUAGCAAACCUGGUGAUGGUACCAAAGAAGGGUAAAUCCUGGCGCCUAUGUGUCGAUUUCAAGGACCUUAACAAGGCUUGCCCCAAGGAUCCCUUCCCCCUCCCCCGCAUCGAUCAAAUUAUCGAUGCUACUGCAGGACACGACUCAUUGUGUUUCCUCGAUGCAUACUCCGGAUACCAUCAAAUCAAGAUGGCGGAGUCCGAUCAAGCCGCAACGGCAUUUAUCACCCCAUACGGCCCCUUCUGUUUUAACACCAUGCCUUUCGGGCUUAAGAACGCCGGUGCAACCUAUCAACGCAUGAUUCAGACAUGCCUGGAAACACAGAUCGACAAAACAGUGGAGGCAUACGUAGACGAUGUGGUCGUUAAAACCAGACACGUCAAAUCCUUAAUAGACGACUUGAGGCUCACGUUCGACAAUCUCCGAACAUACGACAUCAAGCUCAAUCCGGAAAAAUGCGUCUUCGGCGUGGCCGCCGGAAAGCUCUUAGGCUUCAUCGUAUCCAACAGAGGAGUCGAAGCGAAUCCGGCUAAAAUCCGAGCUCUGUCACAGUUGGCCAUCCCAACAGACCUCAAGCAGAUCCAGAAAUUAACUGGAUGCGUGGCUGCUUUAAGCCGCUUUAUCUCCCGAUUAGGAGAAAAGGCACUGCCUCUUUAUCGCCUUCUCCGACGCACCAAACACUUCGAGUGGACGGACGCAGCCACGACCGGAUUAGAAGAAAUAAAGGCCGUUUUGGCCACAAACCCAAUCUUGGCCGCACCUAACGUCGGUGAACCAAUGCUGCUGUAUAUAGCGGCAACACACCAAGUUGUAAGCGCAGUGCUCAUCGUCGAACGAGAGAUGGACGGACAUAAGUUCCCGCUUCAAAAGCCGGUAUACUAUGUAUCCACUGUCCUCACUCCAUGCAAAUCACGGUACCCACAUUAUCAAAAGAUAGCAUACGUGGUCUUCAUGGCAUCCCGGAAGCUACGACACUACUUUCAAGAAUGUUCAAUCACGGUGGCCUCCGAAGUACCACUCAAAGACAUAAUAAAUAACCGCGAUGCCACGGGCCGGAUUGCUAAAUGGGCUAUCGAGCUCCUCCCGUUCGACAUAACAUACAAACCACGACGAGCCAUUAAGUCGCAAGUACUGGCCGAUUUCGUCGCCGAAUGGAUGGAAGCCGAACUCCCUAAAGAGUACGGCGCGUACUCCAAUUGGACCAUGCACUUUGACGGUUCAAAGAUGCUGGCGGGUCUGGGGGCAGGCGUCGUCCUGACAUCCCCCACCGGAGAUACAGUCCAGUACGUACUCCAAAUAUUAUACAUAGACUCCAAUAAUGCAGCAGAAUAUGAGGCCCUGUUGCAUGGCCUCCGGAUAGCAGUCUCCAUGGGCAUUCAACGCCCAGAGGUGCGUGGGGAUUCGAAUCUCGCAAUAUCUCAAAUAAAUGGAGACUUUGAUGCCAAGGACCCAAAAAUGGCGGCUUAUCGCAACGCCGUCCUCAAAAUGUCCGCUCGGUUCGAGGGGCUCGAAUUCCACCAUGUGGUCCGAGAAAACAAUCAAGCGGCGGACAUCCUCGCCCGCAUCGGCACUAAGCGCGACCCUGUCCCACCCAAUAUCUUCUUGGAAAGGCUGUUUAAGACAUCCGUGGUAUGGGAAGGAGAGACCGGCAACAACAAUCCGGACUUGGCCACAACACCAGAUACCGAACACUCUGACGUAAUCGGAGGCUCCGCCACCGAAAUAACACCUUCCGCCCACGUGAUUAUGGUUGUCAUCGCCCCGUGGAUAGAACCUUUCCUGGCCUACCUAACUAGGCAUGAACUACCUGAGGACCCAAACGAGGCACUUUGCAUUGUGCGGCGGUCUAAAGCCUACAAGGUCCACGAGGGAGAGCUUUAUAAGAAAAGCGCUACCAGAGUCCUUCAAAGGUGCAUCUCCGAAGAGGAAGGACGGCAACUUUUGGCAGAAAUUCAUGCUGGACUCGGCGGUCACCACGCCGCAGCUCGGGCCCUUGUAAGCAAGGCCUUCCGUACAGGUUUUUACUAGCCGACGGCCCGAGCAGACGCACAGGACCUCGUCCAACGUUGCGUCGGUUGCCAGCUUUUUGCAAACCAAAGCCAUAUGCCGCCUACCGCUCUCCAAACAAUCCCCAUUACUUGGCCCUUUGCGGUCUGGGGGCUUGAUAUGGUCGGACCCCUCAAAGGGGGAAGCCAUAAGAAAAAAAUACUUAUUGGUCAUGGUGGAUAAAUUCACCAAAUGGAUAGAAGACAAACUGGUCAAAAUGGCCGAAUCCGGACAAGUAAUAGACUUCAUAUCUGGGGUUGUACACCGUUAUGGCGUCCCCCACAGCAUCAUCACCGAUAACGGCUCAAACUUUACAGCCGACGAGGUAAAACUUUGGUGCAGCAACAUGGGCAUCAAGCUCGAUUAUGCUUCUGUCUAUCACCCACAAACUAACGGUCAAGUCGAGCGAGCAAAUGGUCUUAUCAUGAGCGGAAUUAAACCCAGGUUAGUGCGGUCCUUAAAGGAAUCAAACACGCACUGGGUAGAGGAGCUCGACUCCGUACUAUGGGGGCUGCGGACCAUGCCGAAUCGCACUACCGGAUACACACCAUUUUUUAUGGUGUACGGCGCAGAGGCGGUACUGCCCUGCGACAUAAUUCAUGACUCACCUCGAGUGCACAUGUAUGAAGAGAAAGAAGCUGAGCUUGAUCGGCAGGACAGUUUGGACGCCCUGGAGGUGGAGCGUGACAUGGCAAAAGCCCGUUCUGUGUUCUAUCAGCAACAGGCUCGAAGGUAUCAAAGCAGAGAAGUACGGGCCAAAACAUAUAACGUUGGCGAACUCGUUCUACGCCUACCGGAGAAGAAAAAGAACAAGCUCAAGCCCAAAUGGGAAGGUCCCUUCAUUAUUGACCAAGUUCUGACCGGUGGAGCGUACCGUCUGCGGGAUGCAUCGGACAAUCGACUCGAGCCAAACCCAUGGAACGCAGCCAGAUUCCGAAGGUUCUACGCCUAGUGCCGAACUCUAUGUUCAUCUCCUUACCUCCGUCAAUUUUUUACAUAUCCGUUAUCUGUCUUUUAUCUCUUUCCUUUUUCCUUUUUCUUCAAGGCCUUAAAAGGCUAAAUUGUUGACGCGCUAACCGCGCUCAUUAUACCUGGGGGCUUCUUAUACAUAAGCUUAAUAUAACUAUUUUCCGGGCUCUAUGCCCCACACAUGUGUUAUUCUUCCACAUGUACCUUUUUUCGCCAUUAUAUGCAUCGAUAUGACUUAAGUUUUGGCCAAGCUGGGUUGCCUGGCUCUUGUGUUUAUGCCCUACGUUCCCGUUAAUUCGGCUAGGGCAUAAGGGGAGCACCUCUGCGAUUGUUACUGCCGGGUCAGCCGGAUGUGUACCUCAGACUGGGUGAAGCCGAAAGCUAGCGUUCUUAAGGGAAUACUCGAUCGGUGAACAAAAGAUGACUUUUAUUUAUUUUAAUACAUGCCCCCAGAUGUUUAUAGCUUGCGUCUCUUUUCGCAGUUCGGACAUGCACAUUAGGGCAUGCGUACCCAGGGAAAGGAACCCUUAAUGGAACUAUUCUCCUUGGAAGAUGUUUCUUACUAUCCAUGUAAUAUAACAUAGCUAGUUGGGUACUUGUCUGUUCAAGCACUUAUGACCCCUACACAUGGUUUCCACGCGUACCCCGGUUUUUACAUAACUGAGCGGGUAUUCGGAUACACUCCGGACUAUCGGGUCCAGAGGUCGAAGCGAAAAGGUCCGCAAUGACAAAUGAUUUACAAUCCGGCUAGGGACAAUAUAUAUCACUUGAAGUACACAGUCACUUAGACUGACUAAAUUCUUCUUCUAUACCAUCCAACAGGCUGUCUAGCCUACAAUCCUGUUGGGAAUACUUUGCGGUUAAUUCUACUUGGUCAUACACGAAACUGACGGGGAUCUCUUUCCCAUCAGGCCCCACAGGUCCGACCUCGGCCAUGUGGUUAGGGUUAGCCUUGGUAUACCGCGUCUUCACCAUGGCCCAGGCUUCCCUCGCACCUUGUCGGCAGGCUGAUAUCUUCCAUAAUCGGAAGCGCCGCCGCGCUCCCUUGAGCUUCUCUACAAGCUCCCCCAUGCCUCCAGGCAGUGAGACGGAUGGCCACAAGGCUUGGGCAAUGCCCUGCAUCACCUGCCGAACUUGUUCGUGCAGUUGUGAGAGCUCUGGCAGAAGAUCACCCGCAGACCCGGUCAUCUCCUCCUCGGGACGACCCGUCAGCAUACCUGCAGAUAUAACUCUGUUAGCCGGUUUCUUCGUCGAACUCUUUAAAAGUUUGUUCAAGCACUUACUGAAAAUGCCGCGUUGAAGCCUCUUAUUCUCCUUUACGGAGUCAGCAAGCUGGGCCCGAACAUCUUUCAGUUCCACGCCCAGCUGGAUAUUGGCAUCUUGGAGAUUGUUUUUCUCCCGCCUAACCUUUUUAAGCACGCGCUCACCAGCCUUUAGCUGUCGUUGGGCAUGCGGCUCAUUCCCUAUCAUGACCUCCGGAUUCACUCCGGAGUCAUCUGCAGAAUCUAUUGUUAGAUUUGCAUGCAUGCCGCAUACUAUCUGGUACCUGUCAUUCUUUGCAAUAGAGACAAGUGUUACCAGAGGGGGCCUUCUCGGACUCCUUCAGCGCGGCAACUGCGGCCCAUAGCUGGGCUUUGCACUCUUCCAGCUCUUGAGACAAUUGGGUAUUCUUCUCUGUAAGAACCUGCACAAAUAAUGAUCCUUAAAUCAGUUGUGUCAACUGUUUCAAGUCUCAGGGGCUACUGAUAUAUAUAAUUAUCAGAUUUUCUUACCCGUAUAUCCUUUACAUACUGGUCCGUGGCUCUGGCAAGACCAUUUUGAGCAGCUCGGAUGUACGCGUCUCCUGAGUUGAAGGCAUCGAACGCCUCUUGGGAGAAACUAGCGUCACGGAGUACGGCCCGGCGACGCCUGUGAUUCAUAGCGCUCUCCACUUCGGAAUUUGUAGCGGAUAGCCUAUCCGCAUCCUCUGUAGGAGGAACAUCCGGCGUUCGCCCCAUGUUAGCGUCUGCCUCUAUGUCCGGCUCUGGAGCCCGAUUGGUGGAGGCGUGACCGGCAGCCUUUCCGGAUAUAGUCCGGCGAGUGUUUUUCCUACUAGGAAACAUGGACGUUAUUAUAUUUUAAAAGACGACAACCACGGAGCGGGUUUUUGUUUCAUACCUCUGCAACGGCGUCUCGGUCCUGACCGCCUUCCUUUUAAGCCUACCCGGUUUCGGUGCCCCUUGUUGGUGGGUCACUGCGGGUUCGGCAUAGCGUCCCGAGGGCCUUCCCUGUAAGACACCAUAUGUGUGCAAUAGGUGAAGUGCAGAAAAGGGGAUCCUUCUCGGAAGUUGGGACUCCGGUUUUACUUACAUGCGACGCAGGGAGUAGUCCAGGAUAAUCGGCUAUGAUGGCCACCAUGGCGUCAUCGCAACUCAAUUUAUAGAACGUCCUGUCAAUCAGCUCCACAAAUAUGUCCGGAUCCUCUUCGAGUCCGGGGUCGAGGGCCGGUCAGGGUCCUUUGGUUGUGGAGGCGGGCUGUGGACCUCCCUCACAGCUUUUCGCAGCUCCUGCUAUGAAAUAGCAAGGUAAAUAUUCAUGACAAAGAAUGCGGGAAGGUCUGGAGUAAAAAGUAGCAGCUCACCCAGCUUGGGGGGUUGUACAUGGAGAACCCAUCCCGUGGCUUGAUACGGAUGAACUCCUCUUCCUCUCCUUUGUAUAAACCGGACAGUAUUUUCGCUAGAGCAGCGACGGAGGUCCGGACCUUUACGACCGCAACGGGUGGCAUCGUCUUCUCCAUUGAAGUGCCACAUAGGGUGUCCACGAUAUUGAAGUGGUUGCACCCCCCGCAUUAUACAUAUGGACAUAACCUUGACUAUUGUCAAUCCUGAUUUGGCCAGCGUUUGUAUCCGGCCCAUCAGGUAAAGGACCUCUCUGUUAUCUUCCUCCUGGGGGCUCCGAGGGCGCCAGCUGCGGCGUUUCUUCAAAGGAGCGUUAUUAAACUCAGGAAGGCCCAUCCGAACAGGAUCCGGAAGGGGGACGUCCUCCAUAUAAAACCACUCCGAAGGCCAAUCUUCGGACGUCUUCUUUGGAGUACCGGACAUAUAUCCGGUCCCGGCGAUGCGCCAUAUCUCGGCUCCGCCCACUUGAUAUAUCGACCCCUCUUGUGUACGGGGUACGAGGCAGAACAACCUCUUCCAUAGCUCGAAAUGAGCUUCGCAGCCCAGAAACAGCUCGCAAAAGGCGACAUAGCCGGCGAUGUGUAAUAUGGAGGCGGGAGUAAAUUGUGCAACUGGAGGCCGUAGAACUCCAGGAGCCCGCGGAGGAAUGGAUGAAUUGGAAAUCCAAGCCCUCUUAAUAAGUAAGGGACAAGGCAUACCCGCUCCCCCUUGGAUGGGUCGGGAAAGCUCUCCGCUUGCUCCCCGCCAUUGUAGGUGGCAAGCCCGGCUCGAACGGGGACCAUAUACGCUGGAGGGAGAAAUCCCUGGGUCUGCAACUCUACUAAUUGACUGUGCGGGACGGAACACCUCUUCCAAUUGCCGGGCUUAGGGCUACGGGAGCGAGAGGAGGAGCUGCGAUGGCCGGCCAUGUUGGAAUGGAUUUUUUCCGGGCGCGCUCUGAUGGAUACUUGCUGUGGGAGGAUGGUGUGAUCUGGAUCUGAGAAUCCCUGUCUCUUUAAUAGACGAUUUACCCACAUGGCUAGGCUGGCAAAUGUAAAAAUGCCCCGACUUCUCGCAUUCGCUCGACGCGUGGAGGAUAUCCAUUAUAAGGCGCGGAAGCCAAGGAGUGUAACAUUUAUGGGAAGCCGGACACUACUCAAACAGGUAUUCAGAAUUUGGAGAAGAACCCGCCUUGCAAUGCCGAAGACAAUCUGCGCGCCGGACUCAUCGCCAUGGAAGCCUGGUUUGGGGGCUACUGAGGGAGUCCUGGAUUAAGGGGUCCUCGGACAGCCGGACGAUAUCCUUUGGCCCGACUGUUGGACUAUGAAGAUACAAGAUUGAAGACUUCGACCCGUGUCCGGAUGGGACUCUCCUCGGCGUGGAAGGCAAGCUUGGCAAUACGGAUAUGUAGAUCUCCUCCCUUGUAACCAACUCUGUGUAACCCUAGCCCCCUCCGGUGUCUAUAUAAACCGGAGGGUUUAGUCCGUAGGACAACAACAAUCAUACCAUAGGCCAGCUUCUAGGGUUUAGCCUCUACGAUCUCGUGGUAGAUCAACUCUUGUAAUACUCAUAUCAUCAAGAUCAAUCAAGCAGGAAGUAGGGUAUUACCUCCAUCGAGAGGGCCCGAACCUGGGUAAACAUCCUGUCCCCCGCCUCCUGUUACCAUUCGCCUUAGACGCACAGUUCGGGACCCCCUACCCGAGAUCCGCCGGUUUUGACACUGACAGCGGGUAUCGUUAUUUUCUCCCCUUCACAGAUGAUUUGAGCAGAUAUGGGUAUAUCUACUUAAUGAAACAUAAGUCUGAAACAUUUGAAAAGUUCAAAGAAUUUCGGAGUGAAGUUGAAAAUCAUCGUAACAAGAAAAUAAAGUUUCUACGAUCUGAUUGUGGAGGAGAAUAUUUGAGUUACGAGUUUGGUCUUCAUUUGAAACAAUGCGGAAUAGUUUCGCAACUCACGCCACCCGGAACACCACAGCAUAAUGGUGUGUCCGAACGUCGUAAUUGUACUUUACUAGAUAUGGUGCGAUCUAUGAUGUCUCUUACUGAUUUACCGCUAUCAUUUUGGGGUUAUGCUUUAGAGACGGCUGCAUUCACGUUAAAUAGGGCACCAUCGAAAUCCGUUGAGACGACGCCUUAUGAACUGUGGUUUGGCAAGAAAUCAAAGUUGUCGUUUCUUAAAGUUUGGGGCUGCGAUGCUUAUGUGAAAAAACUUCAACCUGAUAAGCUCGAACCCAAAUCGGAGAAAUGUGUCUUCAUAGGAUACCCAAAGGAAACUGUUGGGUACACCUUCUAUCACAGAUCUGAAGGCAAGACUUUUGUUGCUAAAUUUGGAUCCUUUCUAGAGAAGGAGUUUCUCUCGAAAGAUGUGAGUGGGAGGAAAGUAGAACUUGAUGAGGUAACUGUACCUACUCCCUUAUUGGAAAGUACUUCAUCACAGAAACCAGUUCCUGUGAUACCUACACCAAUUAGUGAGGAAGCUAAUGAUGUUGAUCAUGAAACUUCAGAUCAAGUUACUACUGAACCUCGUAGGUCAACCAGAGUAAGAUCCGCACUAGAGUGGUACGGUAAUCCUGUUCUGGAGGUCAUGUUACUAGACCAUGACGAACCUACGAACUAUGAGGAAGCGAUGAUGAGCCCAGAUUCCGCAAAAUGGCUUGAGGCCAUGAAAUCUGAGAUGGGAUCCAUGUCUGAGAACAAAGUGUGGACUUUGGUUGACUUGCCUGAUGAUAGGCAAGCCAUUGAGAAUAAAUGGAUCUUCAAGAAGAAGACUGACCCUGACGGUAAUGUUACUAUCUAUAAAGCUCGACUUGUUGCGAAAGGUUUUCGACAAGUUCAAGGGAUUGACUAAGAUGAGACUUUCUCACCCGUAGCGAUGCUUAAGUCUGUCCGAAUCAUGUUAGCAAUUGCCGCAUUUUAUGAUUAUGAAAUUUGGCAAAUGGAUGUCAAAACUGCAUUCCUGAAUGGAUUUCUGGAAGAAGAGUUGUAUAUGAUGCAACCAGAAGGUUUUGUCGAUCCAAAGGGAGCUAACAAAGUGUGCAAGCUCCAGCGAUCCAUUUAUGGACUGGUGCAAGCCUCUCGGAGUUGGAAUAAAUGUUUUGAUAGUGUGAUCAAAGCAUAUGGUUUUAUACAGACUUUUGGAGAAGCCUGUAUUAACAAGAAAGUGAGUGGGAGCUCUGUAGCAUUUCUGAUAUUAUAUGUGGAUGACGUAUUACUGAUUGGAAAUGAUAUAGAAUUUCUGGAUAGCAUAAGAGGAUACUUGAAUAAGAGUUUUUCAAUGAAAGACCUCGGUGAAGCUGCUUACAUAUUAGGCAUCAAGAUCUAUAGAGAUAGAUCAAGACGCUUGAUAGGACUUUCACAAAGCACAUACCUUGACAAAGUUUUGAAGAAGUUCAAAAUGGAUCAAGCAAAGAAAGGGUUCUUGCCUGUGUUACAAGGUGUGAAGUUGAGUCAGACUCAAUGCCCGACCACUACAGAAGAUAGAGAGAAAAUGAAAGAUGUUCCCUAUGCUUCAGCCAUAGGCUCUAUCAUGUAUGCAAUGCUGUGUACCAGACCUGAUGUGUGCCUUGCUAUAAGUUUAGCAGGGAGGUACCAAAGUAAUCCAGGAGUGGAUCACUGGACAGCGGUCAAGAACAUCCUGAAAUACCUGAAAAGGACUAAGGAUAUGUUUCUCGUUUAUGGUGGUGACAAAGAGCUAGUCCUAAAAGGUUACGUCGAUGCAAGCUUUGACCUGAUCCGAACGAUUCUAAAUCGCAAACCGGAUACGUGUUUACAUUGAACGGUGGAGCUGUCAGUUGGUGCAGUUCUAAACAAAGCGUUGUGGCGGGAUCUACGUGUGAAGCGGAGUACAUAGCUACUUCGGAAGCAGCAAAUGAAGGAGUCUGGAUGAAGGAGUUCAUAUCCAAUCCAGGUGUCAUACCUAGUGCAUCGGGUCCAAUGAAAAUCUUUUGUGACAAUACUAGUGCAAUUGCCUUGGCAAAGGAAUCCAGAUUUCACAAGAGAACCAAGCACAUCAGGAGACGCUUCAACUCCAUCCGGGAUCAAGUCCAGGUGGGAGACAUAGAAAUUUGCAAGAUACAUACGGAUCUGAAUAUUGCAGACCCGUUGACUAAGCCUCUUCUACGAGCAAAACAUGAUCAGCACCAAGGCUCCAUGGGUGUUAGAAUCAUUACUGUGUAAUCUAGAUUAUUGACUCUAGUGCAAGUGGGAGACUGAAGGAAAUAUGCCCUAGAGGCAAUAAUAAAGUUAUUAUUUAUUUCCUUAUAUCAUGAUAAAUGUUUAUUAUUCAUGCUAGAAUUGUAUUAACCGGAAACAUAAUACUUGUGUGAAUACAUAGACAAACAGAGUGUCACUAGUAUGCCUCUACUUGACUAGCUUGUUAAUCAAAGAUGGUUAUGUUUCCUAGCCAUAGACAUGAGUUGUCAUUUGAUUAACGGGAUCACAUCAUUAGGAGAAUGAUGUGAUUGACUUGACCCAUUCUGUUAGCUUAGCACGUGAUCGUUUAGUAUUCUGCUAUUGCUUUCUUCAUGACUUAUACAUGUUCCUAUGACUAUGAGAUUAUGCAACUCCCGUUUACUGGAGGAACACUUUGUGUGCUACCAAACAUCACAACGUAACUGGGUGAUUAUAAAGGUGCUCUACAGGUGUCUCCAAAGGUACUUGUUGGGUUGGCGUAUUUCGAGAUUAGGAUUUGUCACUCCGAUUGUCGGAGAGGUAUCUCUUGGCCCUCUCGGUAAUGCACAUCACUAUAAGCCUUGCAAGCAUUGUAACUAAUGAGUUAGUUGCGGGAUGAUGUAUUACGGAACGAGUAAAGAGACUUGCCGGUAACGAGAUUGAACUAGGUAUUGAGAUACCGACGAUCGAAUCUCGGGCAAGUAACGUACCGAUGACAAAGGGAACAACGUAUGUUGUUAUGCGGUUUGACCGAUAAAGAUCUUCGUAGAAUAUGUAGGAGCCAAUAUGAGCAUCCAGGUUCCGCUAUUGGUUAUUGACCGGAGACGUGUCUCGGUCAUGUCUACAUAGUUCUCGAACCCGUAGGGUCCGCACGCUUAAAGUUAGAUGACGAUCGGUAUUAUGAGUUUUGUGUUUUGAUGUACCAAAGGUAGUUCGGAGUCCCNNNNNNNNNNNNNNNNNNNNNNNNNNNNNNNNNNNNNNNNNNNNNNNNNNNNNNNNNNNNNNNNNNNNNNNNNNNNNNNNNNNNNNNNNNNNNNNNNNNNNNNNNNNNNNNNNNNNNNNNNNNNNNNNNNNNNNNNNNNNNNNNNNNNNNNNNNNNNNNNNNNNNNNNNNNNNNNNNNNNNNNNNNNNNNNNNNNNNNNNNNNNNNNNNNNNNNNNNNNNNNNNNNNNNNNNNNNNNNNNNNNNNNNNNNNNNNNNNNNNNNNNNNNNNNNNNNNNNNNNNNNNNNNNNNNNNNNNNNNNNNNNNNNNNNNNNNNNNNNNNNNNNNNNNNNNNNNNNNNNNNNNNNNNNNNNNNNNNNNNNNNNNNNNNNNNNNNNNNNNNNNNNNNNNNNNNNNNNNNNNNNNNNNNNNNNNNNNNNNNNNNNNNNNNNNNNNNNNNNNNNNNNNNNNNNNNNNNNNNNNNNNNNNNNNNNNNNNNNNNNNNNNNNNNNNNNNNNNNNNAAUUGGACAAGGAGGGGGGCGGCGCCCCCUUUCCUUCCCCCUCUCUCCUUCCCUUCCUUCCCCCCUCCUACUCCAACUAGGAAAAGAGGGAGUCCUACUCCCGGUGGGAGUAGGACUCGUCCCUGGCGCGCCCUCCUCCUAGCCGGCCGCCUCCUCCCCUUGCUCCUUUAUAUACGGGGGCAGGGGGCACCUCUAGACACACAAGUUCAUAUGUUGAUCUAUUCCAGCCGUGUGCGGUGCCCCCCUCCACAAUAUUCCACCUCGGUCAUAUCAUAGCGGUGCUUAGGCGAAGCCCUGCGUCGGUAGCAACAUCAUCACCGUCACCACGCCGUCGUGCUUACGGAACUCUCCCGUGAAGCUCUGCUGGAUCGGAGUUCGCGGGACGUCAUCGAGCUGAACGUGUGCUGAACUCGGAGGUGCCACACGUUCGGUACUUGGAUCGGUUGGAUCGUGAAGACGUACGACUACAUCAACCGCGUUGUGCUAACGCUUCCGCUUUCGGUCUACGAGGGUACGUGGACAACACUCUCCCCUCUCGUUGCUAUGCAUCACCAUGAUCCUGUGUGUGCGUAGGAUUUUUUUUGAAAUUACUACGUUCCCCAACACUCUUUUCAUCAAAAAAAGGGAGGGGAAAAAAAACCGCUAGAGGUUCUGGGGUUAAAACUGCUUGUACUAUAAAAUUCCUAGAAUCUUCCGCUAAGAAAAAGAAAAAGAAGAAAUGAGAGGUAUUUUCUAGAAUAUGAGAGGCUUUGGGGGGAUAUUAAAAAAGAUUUCUUAGAGAAAUGAUUAUGGACAUGAAAGUAUACUUUCUAGGUUUGCAAGAGACCAUGAGACAAGAAAUUUCUAGAAAUGAACUACAACAAAUUUGUGCUGGUAGAGAUUUCCAUUGGCACUUCACCCCAGCUAGGGGGAAAUCUGGUGGAUUGCUUUUAGGGGUCAAUUAUACUACUCUUGAUGUAAUAUCACAAGAUGAGGGGGAUUAUCAUAUUAAAAUGACAGUUCAGGAUAAAAAAACUAGGUUUAUGUGGGACUUGGUGGUAAUCUAUGGAGAUGCUCAACCAGAGAGGAAAGCUAAAUUUUUAGCUGAGCUCUCUAGAACUUUUCAGACUUGUGUCAACCCUAUCUUGAUUGGAGGAGACUUUAAUAUUAUUAGAAAAGCCAGUGAAAAAAAUAAGCCUGGCACUCCUGGACAUUGGAGCUUCUUGUUUAAUGCUAUUCUGGAACAAGCUGGAGUUAGGGAGCUUGAAAUGAAUGGCAGGAAAUUUACUUGGGGGAACAACUUGCCUGUUCCUACCUUUGAAAAGCUAGAUAGGAUUUUGUGUAGCACAGAAUGGGAAGAGGUAUACCCCUUGACCCAAAUUACAGCUUUAACUAGAGAAAAGUCUGACCAUACCCCACUCUUCUUGGAUUCUGGUGAUAUUCAAAAAUCAGACCCUCAUUUCAGGUUUGAAAAUGCUUGGUUUUUGAGGGAGGGGAUUGAUAAGGUUGUUCAUGAUGUUUGGAAUGAUAGUAGCAUCACUGGGGAUAGUGUGGACAGACUUUUGGGGAAAUUUAGACUACUUAGACCCAAAUUAAAAGGGUGGAAUAGAAACAUGAAUGCUUGGUAUGUUGAGCUGAAGAAAGACAUUUUACUCAAACUGGAUAACAUUGGUAAACAUUGUGAACUUAAUGGGCUCACUGCUGUUGAUAGGAAAGAACAAAUAGAACUCAGAGCACAGUUAGAUAGACUUUUGCAACAAGAGGAAGCUAAAUGGAAACAAAGGGCUAAGGUUGAUGAAUUACUAGAAGGAGAUAGUGACACAAAAUUCUUCCAUGCCAAGGCAAAUGGGAGAUUAAGGAAAAACAGAAUUAAUAAGCUUGAGCAAGAUGAGGGGAUUAUUGAAGGUGAAAAAGAUCUGGUGGAAUACAUCACAAGUUUUUAUAAAACCCUGUUUGGGCAUCCUGAUAACUCUACUAUUUCUUUAAAUAUUGAAAAUCCACAGAUGAUCCAAGAUCAGUACAGAGCCAUGCUAAUUGAGGAAUUCUCAAUGGAAGAAAUUAAAAAUGUGGUCUUUAAAAUGGCACAUAACAAAUCUCCUGGACCGGAUGGGUUUACAGCUGAAUUUUAUCAACACUAUUGGGAUUUGGUUAAGCAUGAUCUUAAAGAUCUGUUAGAUGAUUUUGCUAACAGAAAAGUUGAUAUUAGUAGAUUGAAUUAUGGUAUUAUUACUUUGGUACCAAAAGGCAAAGAUGCUGAUAGGAUACAAAAUUUUAGACCUAUCUGUUUGCUGAAUGUUUGUUUCAAAAUUAUUACAAAAGUUCUGAUGAACAGGUUAAACCUGGUGGCAGCUAAUGUCAUCUCCCCUGUUCAGACUGCUUUUAUCAAAGGCAGAUACAUAAUGGAGGGGGUUUUGAUUUUACAUGAAGCCUUAAAUAGUAUAAAAAAGAAAAAACAAGGUGCCUUGCUGUUGAAGAUAGAUUUUGAGAAAGCAUAUGAUAAGAUUAAUUGGUCUUUUCUUUUCCAGAUGCUCAAGAUUAAAGGCUUCCCAGAUAAAUGGAUAGAGGGCUGAGACAGGGGUAAUGGAAACUAUUAGAGGUGGGAAGGUGUGUGUGUGAAGGUUAAUGAAAAUUUAGGAAAAUAUUUUCCCACUCAUAAAGGGCUGAGACAGGGGGAUUCUUUGUCACCCCUUAAUUUUGACCUGGCAGCUGAUGCUUUGGCCAUCAUGCUAGAUAAUGCAAGAAAAAAUGGGUUAGUUAAAGGUGUUUUUGGAGGAGUAUGUUGUGGAUGGGAUUAACAUGCUGCAAUAUGCAGAUGAUACCAUUUUCCUUCUACAAGAUGACAUAGACAGUGCUCAAAAUCUUAAAUAUAUACUAUGCCUUUUUGAGCAAAUGUCUGGUUUGAAAAUUAAUUUUCAUAAAAGUGAACUCUUCCUUUUUGGGGAGGCUGAGAGCAAGAAAGAUGAAUACGCUAAGAUAUUCACUUGCCCUAUAGGGACUCUGCCUAUGAAAUAUUUAGGGUUACCAGUUGAUAAAGGAAGAAUCAGAAAUAAACACUGGAAGCCUACAGAGAACAAGAUGGAAAAGAAAUGUGAAACCUGGCAAGGAAGGCUUCUUGCUAGUGCUGGGAGGGUCACAUUAAUCCAAUCUUCUCUGACAGGCAUCCCUUAUUUUAUGAUGUCCUUCUAUGGAAUACAUGUAGGGGUUGAGAAACGCAUAGAUUUUUUCAGAGCUAGAUUGUUAUGGCAGGAAGAUGAUAAGAAGAAAAAAAUAUCAUUUGGUUAAAUGGUCUGAGGUCUGCAGACCUAAAGACAUGGGUGGUUUGGCGAUUCAUAAUCUAGCAUAGAUGAAUAAAGCUCUAUUGAGCAAGUGGUGGUGGAAAAUUUACAACACAGAGGGGCUGUGGCAGGAAAUAAUCCUGAAAAAAUACCAAGAAAAUAAGGCUAUUGGGAAUAUAAUUGCUAAACAGGGAGACUCCAAAUUUUGGAAAGAGUUAUUAAAACAUAGAGAUCACUUUACUUCUCUAUGUAAAUUUAUCAUAGGUGAUGGGGGGGACACCAGAUUCUGGGAAGACUGGUGGAUUGGAGCAACACAUUUAUGCAAACAAUUUCCCAGAUUAUAUAAUAUCUGCUUCGAUAAAAAGAAAACAGUUAAAGAGGUUGUUGAGGGGGGAAUUGAUAACAUACAGUUUAGGAGAACUCUAACAUGGGAUUCAAGAGAGUUGUGGGAACAUAUAAAAGAGGCCUGCAAUUCGGUGGUGUUAAGAGAUGAAAAAGACAAGAUAAAAUGGACUCUGACAAAGAAGGGGAUUUAUACAAUGAAAUCCUUUUAUAGACAUCUGAUAGAAAAUGGGAUCAAAUACCCACACUUGUAUAUGUGGAAGAUUAAAAUACCACCUCGAGUCAAGGUAUUCAUGUGGUUAGCUCUUAGAAACAACAUCCUCACUAAAGAUAACUUGCUGCGCAGGGGCUGGAAAGGAGAUGAUAAAUGUCCAUUCUGAGGGAGAAAAGAAAACAUCAAUCAUCUGUUCCUGACCUGUUCAGUAGCUAGGCUUUUGUGGAUUAUUUUGAAAUGUGCUUUUAAUCUCAAAGAUAUACCAGACGAUUUAGAUUUGGUAAUGAGGGAUUGGACUAAAACUUUUGAAAAGGAGGAAAGGGGUUUAGUUUGGAUAGGUAUUUCAGCUAUAUGUUGGACUAUUUGGAAAUUGAGAAACAAUGUUGUUUUUGAUAAUAACAGGGUGAAUGAUCCCUGUGUGCGUGUCAACUUGUUGCUUAAAAACUUACAUGAUUGGAAUUUUUUGCAGAAAAACCCCGUAAGAAAUAAAAUGAUGGAGGCUGGAUUAAGGCAGACCGGUGAAGUGGCUGAAGAAGUGUUUCAAGCAGUACAUGGGUGGCGCCUGGAGACUAGAAGGAUCAUGGGGUGAAAAGCUUCAGAAGUCUCCCUGGACCUGUGACACUGCGAAGGACUCUGUAGCUUCAAGCCCUCCACUGUUUUUCUGUUUUGUUCGUCCUUCGGUGAAGGCCUGUGUAUGAGACUGCUUUAAUAUCGUAUCUUAGCUUCUGUUCUAGGCUAUUAAAACUCCGUAAUGCUGGUGCUGGGACCUGACUUUUGAGCCCAGGCCUUAGGUUUCCCCCUUGGGAAGUCCUGCAUUGUUUGAGGAUUUGUGGGCAGGGGGAGGGAUGGCUUCCCCUCCUACCUCAAAUACAGUGCUGACGAAAAACCAGGGGGAGAUAGCUUCGUUUCUUCUCUCUACUUUUCUGCUAGCUGUAAGACUUGGUGAUUUCUAUUAAUGGAAAUUGGAGAGAAUGCUCUCUUUUAUCAAAAAAAAAAGAUACGCACCAACUCAACAACUGCAGGGUCGUAUACUGAUCGGUGCAUGUUACGGCUUCUCUUUUUUGUUUAAACUACACGGUCACUCUUAACCUGUCUCAUUUCGGCCGGCUUCUCAAGUGGUAAACCGAAUGCAACGGAAUUACUAUCCAUCAAGUGGUAAAACGAAUGCGCAUGAGAUGUCUGGUGAGCUCAAAUCUUUUUUUGUUGCGGAAAUCUGGUGAGCUGAAAUCUGUUACGUGAUACAGAAAUAGUAGAUUUGGUUUCAUUAGUCAUUAGUCAUAAAAAAGACAAAACAUAUCACAUCAUGGCUGCUUUUGAUUUGUAAAUAAUUUUGGUCACAUAAUAUACCAGGGGUAGUAUGGUCUUUUCAUGUUAGACUAAACACUGUUAUGUGCCAAAAUUGACAGAAAUGUCAUGUAGGGAACAAAAUAAAAUUGUGUGUCAAAAAGGGAAAAAGAUAUUUUUUAGGGCCAAAAAGGAAAGCAAAAUUUAAGAAAGGGUCAAAUAAGGAAUUCUCUCCACAAUGUUCUUCACUUUCUGGACUGCUCCAUCGAGGCUUCAUUUGCUAACCAACCGUCGCGCAGGUUGUUUGCUGUUGCUCCCUUCCCGUGUUGGGAAAAAGUCCAAAAUAAACCUUGAAGUUAUAGACGAAAGCUAAAUCAAACCCGAACUUUGAAUCCCAGAAAUUGGCACUUUGAACUUGCAAUCCUGGUCUGUUUUGGACCCUAGACCUGUUUGGCAAACUGGGAAUAGUACAAUCCCGGCCGGGAUAACCAGCUACUCUCAUGGACAAGAAUUUGGGCCGGCCCACUACAACACAACAAGAAUUCGUGAAGUUCCAAAAAUGUUCGCACAUUUUUAAAAUUGUUCAGAAGUUAAAAAAUGUCCCUAUUUUCUAUUUUUGGCGCAAAUUCAAUUCAUUUUCUGUUUUUUUAAUGUUUGGAAUUUUAAAAUUCUAUUCACAUUUUAAAAAACUGUUUGUGAUUUAAAAAAAGAAAAACACAUUUGUCAAAAAUGUUCAUAAUACCAACAGUUUUUCAGAUGCUAUAAUUUUUUUCUUCAGAUUUUCAAAUUCUGUCACAUUUUUAAAAUAUGUUUUUCGAAUUUCAUAAACUAUUUCGUAAAUAAUGUUUUUAAAAAAUGUUUUCAAUUGUUGGCUGCGGAAUCGAUUGGGCCGGCCCACCAGACAUGAUGCAAGUUUUUUUUGCUUCACACGAGACAUAAAAAUUCAUUCUUUCUUUUUCUUAACGCGCGACCCAACAAUUCCAAAACAAAAAAAAAACAUGCCGUGGAGUCGAACUUUUUGAUACAUAAACAUUUUCUGAGUUUGUGACAUCUAGAAUAUACCACAAAUUCUAAAAAAAUGUAUGGGCCAAUUCAAACAAAUGUUUAUACAAUGUAUAAUAAUAUUCGUGUGAUUCAAAAAAAAAGGUUUCGUACAUUCAAAAAAAUGUAACAUUUCAAGAAUGUUCACGAGUUUCAGAAAAUGUGUUUGUCGCAUUUUCAAAAAAAUGUAUGUAAAAUGUACCAAAAAUGUUUGCGUGUUGUACAAAAAUGUGUCAUAACCUUAACAGAAUAUACGUGACAUGUAAUAGAAAAUAGUGUAUGCCAAUUUAAAAAUGUUGAACCAUGUAAAAGAGUUUUUGUGUAGUUUUGUAAAAUGUGUAUUGUCAUUAAGAUAAUGUAAAACAUGUAUUUCGAAAAAUAUUACCAUGUAUUCAAAAUGUUUUGAAAAUAUUUAAUUUCAAAAUGUCCAUAACGUAUUUGAAACUAUCAAAAGUUCAUCAGAAAAUAUUUAAUGUCUGCGUUCAAAAUGUACAUUCGGUACUGAGAAAAAUUAGACAUGUGUAAAAAUGAAAAAAAAAACAUAAAAGAAACAUAAAAGAAAAAAAGACUAGUGCGCGCGCACGAGCGACUGCGCUACUGGGCCAGCCCAAUUCAGCAAAUACCGGCCGAGUCCUCUCAAGGUUUAAAACAGACCAGGAUUAUAGAGUUCGGUGUGCUGAUUUCAGAGAUUGAGAGUUCGGGGUUUGAUUUAGCUUUUGCCUACAAAUUCAAGGUUUGUUUUGGAUUCCCCCGUGUUGCUGUUGUGCGCUGUGCGCCACGGCCGAAGCCCAAGCUGAUGACACCGAUGAGCUGAAUGUUGGAAUACCCACCAGCUGCUCCAACGUGAUUUUCUAUAUAUCACGUAGCUCUCUACCUCUCUGUAACAAAUAGAUCUAAUCCCACGCUGCAUGAUUGCAUGAGCUUAUCAAGUGGAGUUAGCUACCUGUUGUAUAAACUAAAGAAACAUGAUUCGAAUCAUCAGAUGUUAAAUCAAUCAACCACAUUUUGGUUAUAUCAUCAAGUAAAGAAACUUGAAUCGGAGAAGUAACAAUGAUUAUUGAAUUAUCGUUUUAGGUAUAAAAAAAUGCAAUUUUACAUUGCGAGACAGGCCUAUUUUAGACUUUUCAUGCAUAUUUUUCUUUUAGUUUUAAAGAAAUGGCCCCCCUUAGUUGCUCGUCGCUCCGCCACUGCACUCAGCUCAAAUAUUCAGACAUAUAUAAUACAUUUGCAGCAUUUUUUGUGUGCCAAAUUUUAGGUGUAGAGACUUCCAAACGUCGCCAUAGCUAGCUUCGCCCCUGCCUACAUAUUAGGGGAGAAAGUAAGCAACAUGCAUGCAUGCGAUCUACAUCAUGAUUUGAUGAGGACGCUCGUUUGACACAUCGCUAUGAAUGAUUAAGCAUAGGAAUGAAGUUUACUUGAUGCCAGAUUUCAAUCCAUGGCAGCUAUUAGGUAAAAAUAACGCACAAGAUAAAGGAAGGCAAAGGAGAUGAUAGUUGAGCAGUCAGUGUUUUUUUUAAGAAAUAAAGAUUAGUUGAGCAAUCAGUGUUUUCUUUUAAAGAUGACUGAACGCCUAGUAUUGGGUAUUGGAUUCGUUUGGGCUGAAUAUUCCGAAUACCACCGUCUGGUUGAUCUUGGCAUUCAGCUCUCGCAUUCGGGCUCGAUAUCAGACUACCCACAAUGGGAGUAACAUAGGUAGUAACAUCACACAUAUCUAGAUAAAAUAGAUGAUGUGACAAGCAAUAAAUGAAGAAAGAGAGGUAUGUGAUAACAUAGCUAGUUACUAGUAGUAUGAGUAACAUCACACAUAUUAAGGCAAGAUGAGUCUAUAGCCUAAUAAAUGAACUAUUGCAUAUUACCACACAUAUGUUACUUCCACUAUAGAGGUAGUAACAUAGACUAGUAACAUAGGCAUGUUACUACGCAUUGUGGCUAGUCUCAAGCGACCCGCCGAAGGGCAAAAAGCUAGCGGUCCAAUUCGGAGGGUCCGCGUUCGACAUCGCUGAGUAUUUGGGAUAGCGUACCUGUUCGCGACCGAAACGAGCUCGAGACAGGAGGUCUCCGCCCGCGCGUGCCCUAAGGAACGGCGGCAGCGGCGCGGGUAGCCCAUCCCAUCCUCCUCUUCUCCGGCGACCGGCGCCACCUCCUGCCCCGCUGCGCUCCCUUUUUCUUUUCUCCCUCCUGGUAGAGCAGUCCCAUCUCAUCUCUCUCUUCUGUGCAUCUGGGUUGGGGAUCCUGUUCACAAAAUGGGAGAUCCCGCAGCUGCUCGCCGGCUACCCGGGCCAUGUCCCGGACCUCGACCGCCGGCUACCCGGGCCUUAUCCCAGACCACAACUGCCGACUACCCAGACACCUUCGCCGCGCUGCCGCUUUUCCGGUACUGCAAGGACGACACCUCACUCAAAGUCCUCUUCCUGGACCGGUCCUUCCGGGGCUUGCUGGAGGUCAACAUUCGCCCCUAGGGGGCGCUCAUGAAGGAGAUAGCAGUCCAUCUCAUCUCUCUAUUCAGCGACCUCCACCCUGAUAUACUAUUUGACCAUCCAAACAUCAUCUAGCAUUCAACCUCAAUAUCAGAUUUGUGUUCUGAAUACCUAAACAUCCAAACAAAAAUAUUGGCAUUCAAUCUAAAUGCCAAUAUCUUGUGAUAUUGGUAUUCAACCCAAUGCAAUGCCAAGGCUCCGAAUACAAACAUCCAAACGAAGCGCAUAUGGUUUUUGCAAAAAGUAAUGACAUGUUUUUUUUCUAAGGUCCACAGAUACGGUUUUUUUUUUGUAAUUUCCUCCUCCAUGUCUCGCUCGCUCUCUCCCCCGCGCGAGGGAUCCGUAGCCGCGCCUCUUUCUGCGCCUCCCCUCGUCGCGAUUCUGCUAGCAGCACCACAUGGCCCUGGGACUGGUAUCCGGCCGGCGUUACUCCAUCCAGAGUCUCUUGCGCCAAGGUCCCACACGGGGGAGGGAAAAGGAGGGGAUGGAGGCGGAGCUGGUCCAUGGCGCGGCGACCGUGGUGUCUCCAUAUCCGGCCAUGGCGGACGGCAUUAGAAGCAGCGAUUGGAGCCGAGGGAGGGUGGCCUGGUGGGCAGGAGUGGCAGCCGGCAGCGAUGCAUCGUCCUUUGUCAUGGCCUGCCGCCUCGCCGUUCUAGAAGCCGAAAGUGUCGUGUAGGAGCUCCUGGAGGAUUCCCAGCGCAGCCAAGGACCGCUACUAGAAGGACAACCGGCAGGUAGGUGCCAUUUAAUUUUGUGUGAAGUUCCUCUUCGUUGUCAUUUUGGUGGGAAUUCAGGCAGAUUCUGGUGCUGCUUGCGUUUAUCUCUGGCCAUGGAGAUUUUGAGGCACUAAUCUUCAUUUUGUUCGCAUCUCACUCUCCUAGUUGCCUGUUGCGCGUAAGGUGUUUGUUAAAAUGGCAUGCUUGCAUGAUGCAUCAAGUUAGGCACGACAGCGUUUAAUCAAGCAACCAAAACGAAGUAAGGAUUAGUUAUCGCCAUGACAUUGAUGUACUUAACCAACAACGUUUAGGAAUUAGUUAUCACCAUGGUACUCUUGUACUUAACUUGUGAUCAGCUCGAGGAUGGAGUCCGCGAGGGUCAAGAGGAUCAGAGGACCAGCCGCUGGUCCACGGCAAGCCAGGCGGGGUCGGGGUUAGGAGGAGGGCGGCGCUCAAUGUGAUCCUGGACACGAUGCUGCAUAAGAACACAGGUAAAAAAGGUGCGCCACUUGAUGUAGUUAUUCUUAGUAGGAUCGAGCUUGAACUUAAUANNNNNNNNNNNNNNNNNNNNNNNNNNNNNNNNNNNNNNNNNNNNNNNNNNNNNNNNNNNNNNNNNNNNNNNNNNNNNNNNNNNNNNNNNNNNNNNNNNNNNNNNNNNNNNNNNNNNNNNNNNNNNNNNNNNNNNNNNNNNNNNNNNNNNNNNNNNNNNNNNNNNNNNNNNNNNNNNNNNNNNNNNNNNNNNNNNNNNNNNNNNNNNNNNNNNNNNNNNNNNNNNNNNNNNNNNNNNNNNNNNNNNNNNNNNNNNNNNNNNNNNNNNNNNNNNNNNNNNNNNNNNNNNNNNNNNNNNNNNNNNNNNNNNNNNNNNNNNNNNNNNNNNNNNNNNNNNNNNNNNNNNNNNNNNNNNNNNNNNNNAGGUCCCGGGAGGGGAGGACUGAGAGGAGGAGCGAGCGGCCGGAAUUGCAAGGAGCUCGCCGAAGAUGUCCUCGGAGGCCAUGGCGACGGAUACCAAGAUAAAGGAUGAAUAUGCACAACGCACUUGUAUUACUCACAGGAUACAAUUACAUAUAGCUGGUCUCCCACAAUAUCAGGCACGCAGGCCAUGAGCUAGGAGUGGAGGUUGAGAUCCUAGAUAGUAGGGAUCAGGCACAAGAGUUACAACGGUACAAGACUGUCAUGUUAACAGUCCAGCUUAGAGUCACAUUUACCACCAUUGUAUCAAUAUAGUUACCAAGUUGUCUAGAUUAAACUAUCAUCAUGACAUGGAAUCAGUUACCAAGUUGUCCAAGUUACAGAUGCCAUCAUGGCAUCGACGUAGUUACCUAUCAUCUUAUUUACCAUUAUGACCAUAACAUCAAUAUAGUUAAACAUUUGUCUAUGUUACAAUCAUCAUCAUGGCUUUGAUGUAGUUAUCUGAUUGUUUAGAUUAUGUAGUUUGGAAAAACUAACUUACAAGUUUGUUUUUUGGGUUCCGACUGAAUGCUUCGCAAUCCGUCCAAUGGCCAUUGCUCGAUCAAAAUCGCACGAGCCAAGAAAACCAUUAGCUUCUUAUCGCACCCCCGAGAAUAACUAAUCAGUUUGACCCUCUUUUACUGCUAUAUUUGUAUAGAAAAGCUAUUUUCUUGUUUUCUUCCUGGUCUUCUCUAGUGCAUCAUUGGCAUUGCACUACACGCGGUUGUUGUCCCCGUGAACGCUCCUAUGGUGGCGAUGAAGAUGUUGGUGAUGGGAUCGGCGAAGCUUAAAUAAGAGAUGCAAUCGGCGAGAUAGGGGAUGUCGGUGAUGGGGAGGCGAUAGGCCGCCUUGAGGUAGAACCUGACCACAUCGACGUAGUACUCCGGUGCAAGAGGGGCACGUGCGGCGGAGACUGGUGCCGCCAUCCCCAUCCAUGGCAGUCCAGAUGGAGUAGCCCUUCCGUUCUUCAUGGUCGCGGUGGUUAUCACCAUGGUAUUGAUAUAGUUACUCGUCUACCCUGGUACAGUCACCACCAUAGUAGUUUUGUAGUUAUCAAGUUUUCCCAAUAGCUACCAUCAAGGAAACGUGUAGAUACCCAGCAAUUGAAGUUACAAUUGCCACCAUGGAUCGCUAUAGUACCCAGUUGUCCAUACUACAGUUACCAUUAUAGAACCAGUACAGUUACCAUUAUAGAACCAGUACAGUUACCUGCCAUCAAAGUGACUUAUGAACAUGGCAAUUUAUGUAGUUACAUGAUGCCCACGUUAUAGUUACGGGUAUCUCGCGUCACCAUCACCCGGGCAUGAGCUCACCUAGCUCUCUUCAACCAAGGUCCCGCCACCGCUUGUGCUCUACUCCUCCUACUGCAACCCUAGCUAGAUCAGGGUUCAGGUCACAGUUACCAUCAUAGCACUAGUAGAAUUAUCUACCAUCCAAGUUAUAGUUGCCAAUGGCAAUCAUGCAAUUACCAGCUGCAUAUGCUAUAGUCACCGACAUGACAAUUAUGUAGUUACCAGCUGCAUAUGCUACAGUUACCAAUAUGGCAACAAUGUAGUUACCCAGCUGCAUAUGCUACGGUUAGCAGCAUGGUAGUUAUGUAGUUACCCAACUGCAUAUGCUACAAUUAUCAACAUGGGAAAUUAUGUAGUUACCCAACUGCAUAUGCCAGAGUUAUCAACCUGACAAUUUUGUAGUUACCCAUCUGUUUGUGCAACAAUUACUAACAUAACAUUGAAUUAUGUAGUUACCUAGCCGCAUAUGCUACAGUUAUCAACAUGACAACUAUGUAAUUACCUAGUAACAUGGUUGGUUGGGUAAGAUAAUUUUUUGGAAUACGAUAACCUUUUGUCGAGACAAAAACAUCCUAGUGAAAUCUUAUUUUUGACGCUGAUAACUAUUGUCGAACUGUUCGAUAACUCACACAUCAAUGGUUUUGUAGCUUCCAAGCUAAAAAAAGAUGUCGAAACCACCCUACUGAUAUAAGUUUGAUGCUCAUAACAACGUGCGAGCAGUACGGUAACUCUUACAGUACCGGACGACAAAUUUUAUGCUAGAAAAAUCUUUCAACGUUGUACUUCUAAUAAAAAAAGUCUUUGGAAUAUACAUAGCAAAUUUAAUGGUUAAAACGGAUUGCGAGUCGGACAUACUGUUUGAGAUACAAUGUUGUCUCUUAUAGUACCGGAUGACAACUUUUAUGCUAGAGAAGUUUUUCAACGUUGCAAUUUUUUUCUAGUUUUCCUGUCGGAUAACUAUUUUAUGAACAACUUGAUAUCUUAUGUACUGCAUCUUGGUAACUUAUAAUAAAAAAAGUAUUUGGAACAUAUCAAUAAGGAUCUAGUUUUGAAUCUCCUCGUAGCAAAUUUAAUGGUGAAAACAGAUUGCGAAUCAAACAUAUUGUUUGAAAUACAAUCAUUUUGCAUUCUCAAAAUAGGAAGAAUCUUGGUGACAUCAUUAUUUUUGUCUUUACUUGCAUGCAUGCAUUUAGUACCCCCGCCCCCAUGCGAUUUUUUUCCAAACAACCCCCUGUUUAUUAGCUGAAAAUACUCCCAAUUCUUGUGUUUGGCCCCCUCCAAGAUUUUAACUCUUCCAUUUGGCCCCCCUUGUGUAAAAUUCCUGGCUACGUCCCUGUGUACCACACCAACUUAUAAAUCUAGACCGUUAAAAUUUAUAAUCAAUGGAUUAGAUAUUAUGAUGACUUUGUGGAAGAAGCAUGGUGGCUCGUUUGUCUUUUGUUUUAAUAAUAUAAUAUGAGUUUUUAUGAUGACUAGGAGCCAUAUAUGAUUUGUAAAAAAAUGUUUCAUCUUAAUUUUAAAAUGCCAAAAUAGUUUGGUGAACAGAACCAUGGUCAUGCAGAUCUGACCACAAAAAGAUCACACAUAGGUCUUUCGUAAGGGGCCUACAACUAUAUUUGUUUCUCAGAAAUACGGUGCAACACACACCUUACCUCUUGGAACAUGCACCUCGUAGUUGAUGAGCACGUCAUACCAUGUCGAAAAAGCUCACAUAAAUCUAGGAAAAUAUGCGAGCAGCCGUGUCUAAGUCUAGGACUUGAACCAGGGCAUGGUGGUUCCACCACAAGGAACCUGAUCACCUAAGCGAUGCUUAGUUCGCCCUACAACCAUUUUCGAGAACAGGAAAAAAAUCAUUAAUCAAGAGUCAACCAAAUUGCAGAAUACAUCACUCAUAUACUAUGCCUUGUAAACUCAUGUACAAAUCUCCAAGCUCUUUUUUCUAAGGUGCAAAUCUCCAAGCCUUUUUUAAGGUACAAAUCUCCAAGCUUUUUUUAAGGUAUAAUCUCCAAGCUGAGGAUCAUUACAAGUGUUGUCGGUAUUAUUAUUUAUUUUGAUAUAUAAUUGAAGUGUGUGAUCUGGCGAGGUCGGAGCGUCUGCGUAGUGAUACAACACAUUGGACGUUCUGAAAAGGAAAAAUAAUCUGAUACUUAAAAUUCAUCUACAGUGAUGCAUGCCCGGAAAUCCCCCCGAGCCCUCCCGCGUCGCCCCCGCUGGUGACGGGGAGGGAACCCUAGCCGCCGCCGGGCAACUCCCCCUCCCCUCCCCCGCCGCCGCCACAGGGCGCUCCGGGCGAAGCUCGGCCGGCACUCCUGCGGCAGGACCUCUCGCCUCCUCGCGUGUGGGGGCUGGUGUGGGCCAGCUUCGACGGGCCUGGGCGCCGCGUUCUGGUGGGUCGUGAAGGCGGCGGAGCUCCUCCAGGCGGCGGCGUCUGGUGGUCUCUGUGGUGCGGCGGGCUGUUUGGUGGUGGGGUGUGCCGGCAGCAGUCAUGGCGGCGACCUAAGCUCAGCUCAAAUCCGGCGGCCCGCUAUGGUUGGCGGCGCUGGCUGUGGGCGGCGUGGGCUGGUGGUGGCUGCUGCUCCAUGGGCGGCAGUGGCGUCCGACGGUGGUGUGCUGCUGGGCAGGGGCAGCGGCGGCAUGGUGGCGGAGCGUGCCGGUCUGAUCUGACUCUGCUUUCUGGCGGGCGGCGCGGGUUGGGGCAUCGGCCCGGCGUCGCUGCUGCUCCGGCUGUGGGCGGCGGCGGCGAGAUGGCUCAGCCUUCUGGGAGGGGAGGCUUCCAUUCGCUGUGCCCGCAUCUUGGCGGGUCGGCUGCGGCGGCGGCUGGCUUUCCGGCGUUGGCUCGUUUGUAGGUGGCCCGUUUCGACCUUCGAUACCUCUCCUCGUCGUCUGGCCGCUACCUCCGUCGAAGGGUUGGCCCUCCCCUAGCUGCGGUCCAUCGCUCGUCUCGCGCCUGGCGGCAGGACCGAGCUCGUCUCGCGCUCGGCAGCAGGACGGGUCGAUGGAGGCCGAUUUUGGCCGGCCUAUUGGGUCUCGGCGCUGGGGGCUGCCCAGGGGUGCGAAAGACGGAUCCUUUCUGCUUGUAUCUUUGAUUGGGGUAGCGGCGGGUCUCGGUGAGGUGGUGCCAAGGUCUUGGAUGCCGGGGCGGCGCCCCGGAUGGUGGUGCCAAGGUCUUGGAUGCCGGGGCGGCGGCUCGGAUGGUGGUGCCGCGGUGCUCAUGGGCAGAGUCCGUGGCGCAGUGCUGCCCGGUGGCCAUGGCCAUGUGGGUGGCGUGGUCGCCAGGGUAUGGUGUUCGGAGGCGGUGAGUGUUGGCCGGGGUGAAAACCUGAUCUAUCUUCGGACGGGCCAGCAGCGGCAAAGCUCGUUCCCUUCUUGAAGGUGUCGUCGCGGCUCUCAUUGCCUGUCGUGUUGCUCCCGGGGAAACUCUGAUCCUCGGGUCGGGCGGUGGCAGCGCUCUGGUGUCGUAACCUUCCUGAAGGCGCCGCCUUGGAGCCCACGGUUCAUCGUAUGCGGCUUCAUCUCUUCGCGGUGGCGUGUUCACGGUUGAGGACCCCGGUGGCUCUUGUAGUGCUACGGGUGGUGUUGUUGCAGUGCCUAUGUAUCCUGCCUUAGGUGUGUGCGUGUGUUGUGGUGGCGUGUGUUUGUACCGGGUUGUGGAUGAUCGUUGCUUUAUAUAUAAAGCGGGGCGGAAGCCUUUUUCGGUUAAAUCCAUGUACAGUUUCAAAUUUUCACAACAAAUUUCAACUCUUUUUCUAAUAAUAAGACAAUAUUCUUACUUCUCCAGUAACUACAACACAUUUGCCUCAAGAAGAUCCCACUUACACUAUAAGUUCUAACUAGAAUUUUGGUGACCCUAUGGCUAAGAUACAUUGCAUUGUGCGGCUCCCAUUGUUCACAAACCAUUACCAUAUCAUGUAGAAAUUCCAUUCAAAAGACAGGCAUAUUAGUUGGCUUGUGAAUUGCAGCAACAAAGCUUGCACCACCUUCUGUUUUUUCUGUACUAUGAUGAAUACUAAUCACAAUGAAGCGAGGGCCAUCAAGCAUUUAGAUGGACCCACCUUCACUCAAUAGGUGUGUGCGAUACUUGUCUCUGAUCGCCAGUAGCUCUCUCGUAGCAUCCCCAAUCUGCAUACGAUCAGUUGGCAGUUCCUUUGAACAUAAUAUCCCAAUUUGCAGAACUGAAGUGAUGCAUGCGGCUCUCAUGGUUGUCCCUUCCUCCAGUGAAGAUAAUAAGCACAGAUCGACCAGGUUGGCGGCUUGGUCUCUCAGUGCUACCUCGGCGUAACUAUGUAGGUUUAGAUCUUGCAGAAACUCACCAUCAGUUGGCCUUUUGCCAGUGAACAACUCUAACAACAGUAUUCCAUAGCUAUAUGUAUCGCCAUAGACCGAGACUUCAUUUGCUUGACCGUACUCUGGAAAAGAAAUGUAAGUGAAUCAGUUUCGAAUGAGAAAUUGGUACAUCAAAGAUGAACAUCGGUGAUUAAUGGCAAACCUGGGGCAGCAUAUCCAAUUGUUCCCCUUCUUGUAGCCCAACCACUUGAUAUUUCUGGGAGGCUAGUAUCAUCCUGCUGCAAGAACCUUGCGAGUCCAAAGUCACCCACAUGGGCAACCAUGUCAUUAUCGAGGAGAAUAUUGCUUGGCUUAAGAUCACAAUGAACUAUUGGCACUGGCUUAUUGUGGUGAAGGUAUUCGAGCGCUGAACCUACAUCAAUGGCAAUGUCUAUCCUUUGGGUAAGAUUGAGCACGCCAUGGCUCCCAUCUUCCAGGAGAUGGCUGUGUAGCCAUUGAUCAAGAUCUCCAUUCGGCAUGAACUCAAAUACGAGAGCUUUGAAGUCUAGACCCCUGAAAUCAAUACUUGAGCAGACGGUCAAUAUCUUCACAAGGUUUCGAUGUCUGAUGCAUCUUAAAGUCUCACAUUCUGCAACAAAGCUUUGAGAUGCCCCUCGCUGCUGGAGGUUGAGCACCUUGAUAGCGACAAUCACUUCCUGAUCUCCAUUCAUCGUUGUUCCUUUGUACACGGAGCCGAAGCUUCCUGUGCCUAAGAGGUUCUCAGAAGCAAAACCACUUGUUGCUCUCACUAAUUCAGCAUAGGUAACCCUCAGAUGUUGUCCACUAUGGAGCGAUGGAACCCUUCUAAUCUUUGUAAACUUGUUUCUCAAUUUCUGUUGUGCAAAUAGUACAAUUAGUACUAAGAUAAUGCAAAGAAGUGCACUGCCUACUGGGAUCAACACGACAAGCUUGUGAGACCACUUCUUGGAUGUAUGAUUUGAGCAGGGAUGCAAGUUAAAUUGGGGGAUACCUCCACAUAAGCCAUAGUUCCCUUCAAUAAGAGUUGCACUUGCAUUCAGAAAUAAUCCAUGUUUUGGAACUUCACCCUCAAAAUUGUUGAAUGAUAUGUUCAGGGUAGCGAGCCCCCGCAUGUCCCCAAGGAAGACUGGGAUGUCCCCAGACAAGUUGUUUCUUGAAACAUCAAGAACUAGAAGCCCUUUCAUCUGUGACAUUGAUUCUGGAAUUGUGCCCUGAAGUAGGUUUCCUUCCAUAAUGAGAUACUGCAAACUUCCACACUGAGCUAGAGAGGCAGGAACUGAGCCAGUUAUCAUGUUGUCAGACACAUCCAGAUAUCCGAGAUUCACUAGAUUACUAACUUCUGGAGGAAUUGUCCCAGUUAACUUAUUGCCUUGGAGCUGCAUGGAAUCAGAUAGUGUCGAUAUGAGGAAAAUCUCUUUUGGUAUUGAACCAACAAGCUGAUUGAAUGCUAGGCUCAAUGUGUCCACAGGGCAGCUUCCAAGGCUGGAUGGUAUGGGACAGGCAAGCACAUUUUGGCUGAGGUCGAGUGUAAUUAAUGCUGUGAGAUUUCCAAGCAUUGGUGGAAUUGGUCCAGAUAAACCAUUGUUUGACAAGUAUAAUUCAGCCAGGAUCCUAAGAUUGCCAAUCGAUUCAGGAAUUUUUCCAUCUAGGAAAUUACCAUCCACCUGCAAGUGUUGCAAGUUGACAAGGUUUCCAAUUCCUUCAGGUAUACUUCCCCGUAGCAUGUUGCCUGACACGCUGAAAUAUCUCAAGUUUGUGGAAAGGUUUGCCAUUGAAUUUGGUAUCACCCCUUGUAGUUUGUUAUGGCCAAGAGAUAGGUACUGUAGCAUACUACAGUUUGUCAAGCUAGAAAUGAAAUCCCAAUCGGCAUCAUUCCUUGCCUCUAGCUGGUUAUGUGAGAGAAGCAGUGCCGAUAAGCUCUUCAUGGUAGCUCCAAGGCAUUUUGGUAUUACUCCGGAAAAGAAGUUCUUGCUCAGUUGUACCAUUUCAAGCAUUGAAGCAUUGCACAAAGACUCUGGGAUGGACCCAUGAAACCUAUUAUUGUCUAUGGUAAGGUUCUGGAGUUGUUGAAACUUAUUACCCAACUGAUCUGAAAUGGGUCCACUGAGGUUGUUGUAUUGCACACUAAAAAUUUGGAGGGAUGAGAGAUUAUAGACAAAAGGUGGUAUAGAACCCUCGAGUUGAUUCCCGUUGAGAUAAAACUCAACGAGAGAACUGAGUUUUCCAAGAGUGUGAGGGAUUGAGCCUGUAAGACUAUUAGAUGUGAGAGAAAGGACGUUGAGCAGAUUCAGAUCUCCUAACGAUUCAGGGAUGCUACCAGUUAGGCCACUGGACAGCUAGAACUAGUAGAGAUGAGAGGUUUCCUAGGGAAGGUGGAAUCGGCCCUGAGAGUCGGUUCAGCCCUAGAUACAGAAACUGUAAUUUCUGGAGGCCUCCAAGAGAGACAGGAAUAAAACCUGUCAGACCAUUGAUAGGAAGAUCUAAGACGGUCAAGUUUCUAAGAUUUCCAAUUUGCGUUGGGAUUUCUCCUACUAGCAUGUUUGAGUGAAGAACAAGAUGGAUCAGGCCUUUCAGGUUUCCAAUCUCCACAUGGACGGAACCUGACAGACGAUUGAAGCUAAGAUGUAACUUGGUCAAGUUUCUAAGAUUUCCAAUUUGGGUUGGGAUUUCUCCUACUAGCAUGUUUGAUGACAAAUCAAGACGGAUCAGAGCUUUCAGGUUUCCAAUCUCCACAGGGAUACUUCCUGUAAGGUUGUUGUACCCAAGACCCAGUACCUCAAGAUUAUGCAGGGAUGCCAACUCCCGGGGCACCGAGCCUUUAUGCAUGUUGUGCUUGAGAUCAAUAACUCGAAGNNNNNNNNNNNNNNNNNNNNNNNNNNNNNNNNNNNNNNNNNNNNNNNNNNNNNNNNNNNNNNNNNNNNNNNNNNNNNNNNNNNNNNNNNNNNNNNNNNNNNNNNNNNNNNNNNNNNNNNNNNNNNNNNNNNNNNNNNNNNNNNNNNNNNNNNNNNNNNNNNNNNNNNNNNNNNNNNNNNNNNNNNNNNNNNNNNNNNNNNNNNNNNNNNNNNNNNNNNNNNNNNNNNNNNNNNNNNNNNNNNNNNNNNNNNNNNNNNNNNNNNNNNNNNNNNNNNNNNNNNNNNNNNNNNNNNNNNNNNNNNNNNNNNNNNNNNNNNNNNNNNACUCGAGUUGUACGAGAUGUCCAACCUCUGAUGGUAUGAUACCAUAAAAGCGAUUCUGUUGGAGGCCAAAAUGCCUGAGGUUAGUUAGAUUACCUAUGGAAGAGGCAAUGGUGCCAAGAAGGUUGAGCCCACCAAGCUCCAGUGCUACGACACGGCCGCGACGGCGGCCACGCGUGCCGCAGGCCACUCCGCGCCAUUGGCACAUAGGGAUCGAUUGGUUCCCCAUGAAUCCAGUGCUUGGAAUGGAUCUCCUUUAAUCAGAGACCUCAAUGACAUGAGCGCUUGGUGGUCAGUGGCGCUUGUUGUGGCAGUUUCAGCAGUGGCUGCAUGCACGGCAUUGGCUGAACACGGGAGACAAAGGGAAGCAAACAUCAAAAGCUGCAUGACUAUCAUGAUCGACAUGUUUAGGCGACGCAAAUAAAAGCUUGGUGUGCAGACUAGAAGCUCGGUGUGCUUAUAUAGUGAUUCUUUCUCUUUGCGGGGAAUUUAGAUAGUGAUUCGAGGCAAGUUGCAUAGAGCCAUCGGUUUCAUGCUUGUCAUUUUCAGUCCCAUAUGACCGCGGACUGCACAGUGAUCAACUAAUGCUGCGUCUGCGACAAGUCUAUGCACAGUCUGGCUGGCCAAAUGUCCUGUCCAAAACUUCACUAAUGGGCACUACGUCUGUGAUCCACUACAGCGAUGCUGUAUGGGCAUGCCGAUGAAAAUAUGGCCUGAAGCCGGACUCCAUAUCCGUAGAUUACCUUGUCCUUCCCGUGUCCCCCACUGCACUGGUCACUUUGUCGAGCGUUAUCCACUGGUGCGUUGAAAGCAGAAAUUGCACCGAUGAUGGCACUGACGGGAGGUUCGUUAUCCACUAGUGUGUUGAAGGCAGAAAUUGCGCCGAUGAUGCCAGUUCAGUCAGUGUCAGUCAGUGGAAGUGGGAAGAAUAAAAUGCAUAAUUACUACAGAAAGUUGUUGCAAAGGUGAAAGUUGAGUUUCACAUAUCAACUUAGAAAUCUCACAAUGGGUGUGGCCUUAACCAAGGGGAAUCCUAUUCCCCGCGUACCGCGGGCGAUACAGAGCAAACACGCAACCCUAGGACGCGAGCGCCCUAUGCUAUAUGGGCCGACCCAUUCCGGUUUUCACCCUCACAGUCUUUUUUGUUCUUUUCCAUGUUUUUUUUUCAAAUUCACAAAUCUUUUUUUCGCAAUUGUGAACUUUUUGGAAGUCCUGAACUUUUUCUAAAUCCAUAAAUGUUUUUUCAACUUGGGAACAAUUUUGAAAAUCAUGGAAAAUAUAGGAAGCGAGAUUUUUUUUGGAAUUCGCAAAUACUUUUUAUAUUCGUGGGUUUUUAAAUACAGAAACAAAUUUCAAAUUCAUGAACAAUUUUUAAAAAUUGAAGAACAUUUUUUUAAAAUCAGACAACCUUUUUUGAAAUUCGUGUGCAUUAUUAUGAAUCAUCAUUUUUUGAAAUUCCUGAACAUUGUUGAAAUUUUAAAUAUUAACAAAAAUUGUGAACUUUUUUUAAACUGUUAACAUUUUUUGAAUUCAAUUUUUUUUUGAAAUCCUGAAAGUUUUCUUUAAAGCAGAAAAUAAAAACUUAAAAAUAAAGAAAGAAAGAAGAGAAGGGAGGCGGGGUCGCCUUAAUGGGAGCAACNNNNNNNNNNNNNNNNNNNNNNNNNNNNNNNNNNNNNNNNNNNNNNNNNNNNNNNNNNNNNNNNNNNNNNNNNNNNNNNNNNNNNNNNNNNNNNNNNNNNNNNNNNNNNNNNNNNNNNNNNNNNNNNNNNNNNNNNNNNNNNNNNNNNNNNNNNNNNNNNNNNNNNNNNNNNNNNNNNNNNNNNNNNNNNNNNNNNNNNNNNNNNNNNNNNNNNNNNNNNNNNNNNNNNNNNNNNNNNNNNNNNNNNNNNNNNNNNNNNNNNNNNNNNNNNNNNNNNNNNNNNNNNNNNNNNNNNNNNNNNNNNNNNNNNNNNNNNNNNNNNNNNNNNNNNNNNNNNNNNNNNNNNNNNNNNNNNNNNNNNNNNNNNNNNAGGAGCGCCCCAAUGCAACAUCUGAUGCGCCAAUUAUUGCCAUGUGUCACGUGCUUGGCGCAUCUGCUGGAACAUUUUUUUAAUGCGUAUUUUGGUAUUUUCAGAUUUGGGUUUUUUCUCAGGGUACAAAAAAGUUCUUCAUUUUUUAUUUUAUUUUUGUUUUCUGUUGUGAAGCGCAUUUUUUGUUUCACAAUUGUGCUUCUUCGUGCUUCCCGAAAAGUGGAAAUACAACUAUGCUUCACCGUGAAGGACAUGUGUGGUUUUUGAAAAAAAAUGUGAAAACAUAGUUGUGCUUCACCAAGAAGCAAAGUAGCGUGAGACACAUCUGCAUUUUCCGAAAAGUGAAAAAGCACAGUUGUCCUUCAUGGUGAAGCUCACCCAAAAAGUGAAAAAACACAAAAUAUCUUUUUUUGCUCUGUUUUUUUUUAUUUUUUCCGGUUUUUCUUGAGAAUUUUUUCUUGACCAACCUAUUAACUUGUGAUAUAAUUUCAAAGAUCUCGACACGAGAAACGCAACGAUGGAAAUUGUUCAUGAUUUGAACGAAUGGUUUAAGAGAUGAAAUGUUUUCAGAAAACAUAUCUACAGCGACGCACUUAUCACUAUCAGCAAAAUGGGAAUGUCCCCUUUCACCGAAUGUAGAUCGAACGCACAACGUCGGAAGGCUUUAAAUAAUCCAAAAAAUAUGCAAGCAUUGGCCUUGGGCCGGGAUCCUUCGCUCUUCGUAUUAUCGUUUUCUUAGAUGCUCUUCGUAUUAUGGUUGAUGCCAGAAGUGAACGUGCCCCCCAAAAAAGGUGAACUAAAACCAGAGGUAUACUUUUCUCACCGGUUGGGUUUGGGGGCCUCUGUGCGAUUGCUCCGCUUGCACGCCCUCGUCGCGAGGGCCGGCGUAGCCGCAGCUCUCCGCAUGCGCCGCCCCACGUCGCGAUUCUGCUCGCAGCACAACAUGGCUCUGCCGCCUUGCCGUUCUUGUCGCGUAGGAGCUCCUGGAUGAUUCCCAGCGCAGCCAAAGACCGCUACUAGAAGGACAACCGGCAGGUUGGUGCCAUUUAAUUUUCUGUGAAUUUCCUCUUUGUUGUCAUUUUGGUGGGAAUUACUUUUCAGAGAUACCUGACUUAUUAGUGGACUGGUCAUGUCAUAGCGGAAGGUCAGAGGUGGGAAACAAGAAAAUAGAGGAAAUGCUUACUGGGACAUAGCCUUCGGUACGAGUUGAAGGGAAGAGGUUUGAUUGCUAAUAAAAUGAGUGGAAGAGCUGCUCGGUCAAAGGCAUUCUUUCUCUCAAGUAGCAAACGCAAGACGGAAAAGCAGAAAUGAAGGUUGCUAGGUACCGCUAAGGCAGAUUCUGGUGCUGCUUGCGUUUAUCUCUGGCCCAUGGAGAAUUUGAGGCACUAAUCUUCGUUUUGUUCGGAUCUCACACUCUAGUUGCAUGCUGCCCGUAAGGUGUUUGUUGAAAUGGCAUGCUUGUGUGAUGCAGCAAGUUAGGCACAACAACGUUUAAUCAAGCAACCAAAACGAAGUAGGGGUUAGUUAUCGACAUGGCAUUGCUGUACUUAACCUACAAUGUUUAGGAAUUAGUUAUCGCCAUGGCACUCUUGUACCCAACUUGUUGUCCAGCUUAGAGUCACAGUUACCACCAUCGUAUCAAUAUAGUUACCAAGUUGUCUAAAUUAGACUAUCAUCAUGACAUGGAAUUAGUGAUACCAUCAUGGCAUCGACGUAGUUACCUAUCUUCUUCCUCUGUAAAGAAAUAUAAGAGUGUUUAGAACUUUUAGAUCACUAGAGGGAGUAUAUCUUUUACGAUUAUGACCAAAAGUCCAUAACAUCAAUAUAGUUACCCCGUGGCGGCAGGUGGUGGUAGCCCGAGCCGGCUCCCAGGAUGGCGGCGGCGGGGCACCUCGUCGAGCUUAGGCUCCCUUGCCAGCCCACCCGUUCGCCGGCGGCACCCUGCGCCAGCACGUCUGUGAUGGCUGCCUGCUACGCUGCCCCUGCCCGCCCAUCCUGCUACCGGCCGUUGCGAGCUCCUGCCACCGGCGAGGUGCGUCCGCCUCUCCCCUCCUCCCCGUGUCAGAUCUGGGAUCCUGGUGAGGCAUGUCCUGUCGUCGGCUUCUCCUUUAUUGCUGGCGCUAGACCUGGGGUUGGGGGUGGUGUGCUCCUCCGCUGGUCUCGGGCCGCCCUUGCGGCGCCGCGACAACACUCUUCUCCUCUGAGUUGUGGCAUUGACUUCAAAAUGAUGGAUUUUUUGGCUUGCUUCAGCGGCGCCUGCUGGCGUUCUGCAAGUGCUCGUGCCCUUGCGAUGGACCCCUUGCUGGUGUAGCUCUUGACCCCGUGACCCUCGACUUGCGUUUUCCGAUGUCUCUUGCGACGCGACACUGGCCCCGACGCUCUGGAGGUUGCGUCUCCUCAGGCCUCGAUACCAGCCCCGGCGACCUGGAUCUGCGUCUCUUCCAGUUACCAGCUCAUUGGGAUCGCCUGUCGCCGCCGCGUCCCCUCCAUCAGCCCCUUUCGCCUCGCCGACCCUCCAACCUCCCAACCCCGACCACCUUGUUGCCUCGACCCUCAUAAUGUCCAAGGUUCGUGUGUCCGGCGCGUCUCCCCUUCUGGUGGUGGUGGCUUUUCGACCUACCUGUGACUUUCGACUCCCGAGUCCUGGUCUGAUGGCUUUGAAAUUGCUCAGGCAUGCCAAAGAGAAAUCCUUUCUUGGCUUGCCGGUGCUGGCGGUGACACUGGAGAGUGUCGUCUCCUGCCUGGAGGCGUUGCCACGACAUUUGCACUCCACUUCACUCGGUGGAGGUAGGCCGUUGUCCCCGUGGACGCUUCUGUGGUGGCGAUGAAGAUGUUGUGAUGGGAUCGGCGAGGCUUCUACUGGAGAUGUAGUCGGCGAGAUAGGGGAUGUCGCUGAUGGGGAGGCGAUGGGUCGCUUCGAGGUAGAACUCGACCAUCUAGAUGUAGUACUCCGGUGCAAGAGGGGCACGUGCGCUGGAGAUUGGUGCUGCCAUGGUGCCAUCCCCAUCCAUGUGGUCCAGAUGGUGUAGCCCUUUCGUUCUUCAUGGUGGUGGUGGUUAUCACCAUUGUAUUGAUAUAGUUACUCAUCUACCCUGCUACAGUUAUCACCAUGGUAGUUUUGUAGUUAUCAAGUUCUCCCGAUUGCUAGUUUGCUACCAUCAAGGAAACGUGCAGAUCUGCUUAGCUGCACCGGAGACGGCCAAACACCUGCUGGUAGAGUGCACCUACACCAAGCGGCUGUUGAUGGGUAUCACUGACAAUCUUGGAGGCUCCUUCCUGCAGCUCAGGCCAAUGGUGGCUGCACCACUGCUAAGCCAAACCCUGAAAGACAAUUGGAGCGCGCAGCUGCGCUUGCUCCAGGGUGAGGAAAAGAAGACAUGGAAAUCGGCCAUCUGCUUGGUUUCCUGGAUGCUUUGGAAAGAACGCAACAACCGUGUCUUCAACGCCGCCGAGUGCAUUGUUCCACAGCUCAUGGGACGCAUCAAGGAUGAGGCGAGAAGCUGGUCGGCGGCUGGUAUAAACCUGUUAGACAGACUCUUUGAGCCACCUUGAGUGCUGCAUAUCAUCUUCUUGUUGUUGUUGUAUACUGGUCGUGCCGGCUGGAAACCAGCUCCAAAACACGCUGAUCUCCCUAACUGUAGCUCUACUGCAAUUUGUAUUUCUCCUUCUGAUUAAUCAAUGAAAUAUGGCCCUAGGACCAUCUUUUCGUCAAAAAAGGAAACGUGCAGAUACCUGACAAUUCAGGUUAUAGUUGCUACCAUGGCACUUAUAUAGUUACCCAAUUGUUCAUACUACAAUUACCAUCAUAGCACCAGUGGAGUUACCCGCAAUCAAAGUUACAAUUAUCAACAUGGCAAUUUUAUGUAGUUGCAUGAUGUCCAUGUUAUAGUUACGGGUAUCUCGCGACACCAUCACCGGGGCAUGAGCUCACCUCGCUCUCUGCUACCGAGGCCCUGCUACCGCUUGUAGUUACAUAAUUUGCCUCAAGAUAGGAACGUAGAAAAAAACAUGUGGUUUUCUCAAUAAAGAGAAUACAUUAACACCAGGAAGAUCCCAGUUACACUAUAAGUUCCAACUAGAAUUUUGGUGAACCUAUGGCUAAGAUACAUUGCAUUGUGCAGCUUCCAUUGUUCACAAACCAUUUCCAUAUAAUGUUGAAAUUCCAUUCGAAAGACAUGCAUAUUAGUUGUCUAGUGAAUUGCAGCAACAAAGCUUGCAUCACCUCCUGUUUUGGUAUUAUGAUGAAUACUGAUCACAAUGAAGCGAGGCCAUCAAGCAUUUAAAUGGACCCACCUUCACUCAAUAGGUGUGUGCGAUACUUGUCUCUGAUCGCCAGUAGCUCUCUCAUAGCAUGCCCAAUCUGCAUGCGAUCAGUUGGCAGUUCCUUCGAGCAUAAUAUCCCAAUGUGCAGAACUGAAGUGAUGCAUGCAGCUCUCAUGGUUGUCCCUUCCUCCAGUGAAGAUAAUAAACACAGAUCGACCAGGUUGCUGGCUUGGUCUCUCAGUGCUAUGUCGACGUAACUAUGUAGGUUUAGAUCUUGCAGAAACUCACCAUCAGUUGGCCUUUUACCAGUGAACAACUCUAACAACAGUAUUCCGAAGCUAUAGGUAUCACCAUAGACCGAGACUUCAUUUCCUUGACCGUACUCUGGGAAAGAAAUGUAUGUGAAAUUAGUUUCGAAUGAGAAAUUGGUACAACAAAGAUGAACAUCGGUGAUUAAUGGCAAACCUGGAGCAGCAUAUCCAAUUGUUCCCCUUCUUGUAGCCCAACCACUUGAUAUCUCUGGGAGGCUAGUAUCAUCCUGGUGCAAGAACCUUGCAAGUCCAAAGUCACUGACAUGGGCAACCUUGUCAUUAUCGAGGAGAAUAUUGCUUAGCUUAAGAUCACAAUGAACUAUUGGUACUGGCUUAUUGUGGUGAAGGUAUUCGAGUGCUGAAGCUACAUCAAUGGCAAUGUCUAUCCUUUGGGUAAGACUGAGCACCCCAUGGCCCCCAUCUUCCAGGAGACGGCCGUGUAGCCAUUGAUCAAGAUUUCCAUUCGGCAUGAACUCAAAUACUAGAGCUUUGAAGUCUAGACCUCUGAAAUCAAUACUUGAACAAACGGUCAAUAUCUUCACAAGGUUUCGAUGUCUAAUGCAUCUUAAAGUCUCACAUUCUGCAACAAAGCUUUGAGAUGCCCCUCGCUGCUCGAGGUUGAGCACCUUCACAGCGACAACCACUUCCUGAUGUCCAUCCAUCAUUGUUCCUUUGUACACGGACCCAAAGCUUCCUGCGCCUAAGAGGUUCUCAGAAGCAAAACCACUUGUUGCUCUCACUAAUUCAGCAUAGGUAACUCUCAUAUGUUGUCCACUAUGGAGUGAUGGAACCCGUCCUGUCUUAGUAAACUUGCUUCUCAAUUUCUGGCGUGCAAAUAUUGCAAAUAGUACUAAGAUGAUGCAAAGAACUGCGCUGCCUACUGAGAUAAACACGACAAUUUUGUGUGACCACUUCUUGGAUGUAUGGUUUAAGCAGGGAUGCAAGUUAAAUUGGGGGAUACCUCCACAUAAGCCAUAGUUCCCUUCGAUCAGAGCUGCACUUGCAUUCAGAAAUAAUCCACGUUUUGGAACUUCACCCUCAAAAUUGUUGAAUGAUAUAUUCAGGGUAGCGAGCCCCUGCAUGUCCCCAAGGAAGAUUGGGAUGUCCCCGGACAAGUUGUUUCUUGAAACAUCAAGAACUAGAAGGCCUUUCAUCUGUGAUAUUGAUGCUGGAAUUGUGCCCUGAAGUAGGUUUCCUUCCAUACUGAGAUACUGCAAACUUCCACACUGAGCUAGAGAGGCAGGAACUAAGCCAGUUAUCCUGUUGUCAGACACAUCCAGAGAUCCAAGAUGCACUACAUUACUAACUUCUGAAGGAAUUGUCCCAGUUAACUUAUUGCCUUGGAGCUCCAUGGAAACAGACAGUGUCGAUAUGAGGAAAAUCUCUUUUGGUAUAGGACCAACAAGCUGAUUGAAUUGUAGGCUUAGUGUCUCAAAAGGACAACUUCCAAGGCUGGAUGGUAUGGAGCCAGUAAGCACAUUUUGGGUGAGGACGAGUCUAUUUAGUGAUGUGAGAUUUCCAAAUACUGGUGGAAUUGGUCCAGAUAAGCUGUUGUUGUACAAGUAUAGUUCAACCAGGAUCCCAAGGUUGCCAAUUGAUUCAGGAAUUUUUCCAUUUAGGAAAUUACCAUUCAUCUGCAACCCUUGCAAGUUGACAAGGUUUCCAAUUCCUUCAGGUAUAUUUCCCCGUAGCAUGUUGUCCGACACGCUGAAAAAUCUUAAAUUUGUGGAAAGAUUUGCUAUCGAAUAGGGCAGCACCCCUUCUAGUUUGUUAUUGCCUAGACUCAGCUUCUUCAGCAUACUACAGUUUGUCAAGCUAGAAAUGAAGUCCCAAUCCGCAUCAUUCCUUGCCUCUAGUUGACCAAAUGAGAGAUGCAGUAACGAUAAGCUCUUCAUGGUAGCUCCAAGACAUUUUGGUAUUACUCCGGUAAGAAAGUUGGCACCCAAUUGAACCAUUUCAAGCAUUGAAGCAUUGCACAAAGACUCUGGGAUGGACUCAUGAAAUUGAUUACUGCUCAUGCCAAGUAGCUGAAGUUGUGGAAACUUAUUACCCAGGUCAUCUGAAAUAGAUCCACUGAGGUUGUUAAUUUGCACGCUUAAAACUUGGAGGGAUGAAAGAUUGUAGAGAGAAGGUGGUAUAGUACCCUCGAGUUGAUUCCCAGUCAGAUACAACCCAACGAGCGAACUGAGUUUUCCAAGAGUGGGAGGGAUUGAGCCUGUAAGGCUAUUAAGUGUGAGACAAAGGGCGUUGAGGAGAUUCAUAUUUCCUAACGAUUCAGGGAUGCUACCAGUUAGGCCAUUUUCUUCGAAAGCUAGAACAUUUAGAGAUGAGAGGUUUCCUAGGGAAGGUGGAAUCGGCCCUGAGAGCUUGUUUUCUGAUAGAUACAAAAUUUGUAAUUUCUGGAGGCCUCCAAGAGAGGCAGGAAUAGAACCUGACAAACCAUUGAAGUAAAGAUCUAAAUCGGUCAAGUUUCUAAGCUUUCCUAUUUGUGUUGGGAUUUCUCCUACUAGCAUGUUUGAGUUCAGAAGAAGACUGGUCAGAGCUUUCAGGUUUCCAAUCUCCACAGGGAUACUUCCUGUAAGGUUGUUGUACCCAAGAGCCAGUACCUCAAGAUUAUGCAGGGAUGCCAACUCCUGGGACACCGAACCUUCAUGCAUGUUGUGCCUCAGAUCAAUGACUUGAAGCUGAACACAAGUGGCCAGUGUAGGCGGGAUGUCGCCGCCGAUGGAGUUCCUGCUGAGGUUCAGAUACUCAAGUUGUACGAGAUGUCCAACCUCUGAUGGUAUGGCACCGUAAAAGUGGUUCUCUUGGAGGCCAAAAUGCCUGAGGUAAGUUAGAUUACCUAUGGAAGAGGCAAUGGUGCCAACAAGGUUGAGUCCACGAAGAUCCAGUGCGACGACACGGCCGCGGCGGUGGCCACGCGUGCCACAGGCCACUCCGCGCCAUUGGCACAUCGGGAUCGACUGGUUUCCCCAUGAAGUCAGUGCUUGGAAUGGAUCUCCUUUAAACAGAGACCUCAAUGACAUGAGCGCUUGGUGGUCAGUGGCGCUGCUUGUUGUGGCAGUUUGAGCAGUUGACAAGGUGGGUAGAUGCACGACAUUGGCCCAACACGGGAGACAGAGUAAGGCAAACACGAAAAACUGCAUGACUAUCAUGGUCGACAUGUUUAGGCGACGUAUACAGAGGCUGGUUUUCAGACUAGCUAGAAGCUUGGUGUGCUUAUAUAAUGAUUCUUUCCUUUUCUUUCCUUCUUUUGCAGGGAGGCAAGUUGCAUGGACCCGUCGGUUUCAUGGUCCCCGAUAUAUUGUUUCUAAGGAAAGAAGACCAAAUCAUGGUGCUGGAAGUGCAGUACCAAUGACCAUAUGACCGCGGACUGCACAGUGAUCCACUGCUGCUACGUCUGUGGCGAGACUAUGCGGGCACAGUUUGGCUGGCCAAAUAUCCCUCCUCCAAUGUUCAAAAACUCCCUAAGCCCACGGCGGUGAAAUGAAAAGAUGGCCUGACGCCGGGCUCGUUUGCCGACGAUGCAGAGGCUGGUUUGAGAUCAGGCGCGGAUAGCGUUAGACAACACAAUGGUUCCAGAUCAACUGGCACUCGCUUUAUUCCAUCUAUAUUGAGAUGAAGCGAAAUAUGUUCACAUCAUGUGUUGUCUACACGUUACAACUCAGCUGGCUAUCGUCAAAACACUAAACACAGGGGAAACAAAGCAGGCUUUAAAUAUGACAGAAGCUGAAAGCACACUUAAAUUAUCAGGUACGAGGGCGCCUUUUUCCUUUUCAGCCCAUGACACAUCCGUCAUUCUCCAAUAGAAGCAACGGGUUGCUGUGAAAAGAAGACGAAUGAUGGGUUGGCGGUUUUCUGGCAUGUUUGGAAUGAAAGAAACAACUGUAUAUUCAAUAACAAGGCACCCCAUUUCCUGAAGGUCGCUGAGAGCAUCAUUGAACGAGCUAAAUUCUUGGAGAAUCACUAGAUUCAGAGGAGCUCAAUGGACUGGCGCGGGAUAUCAUUCUUUCCACCUUCCAUGUGUAACAUUUGUAUAGCUUUUCCUUUUCCUUUCUGGCUGUCAGCCGUUCUCUGAACCUUAAACUGUAUCUCUUAGGGUGACUCAUUCUAUCCUAAUGAAUGAAAUCAGCACAAUACUGUUUUUCGUCAAAAAAAUGGGUUGAGCGAUUGCUCAGCAACCUCUCAACAUCCUCCAGUUUCUACUUCGCAUGGGAGGAGAUCAAAUUUUCCUUGUCAGGAUGCGCGCAGUGUCAGACAAGCAAAGUGUUGGAUCGACGACCAGAAAGUCCGUCAACACAUCCGACAAGCAAGUCGGUCCAGUAGCAAUGUUCCAAUAGUACAAGCAAUAACCCCAGGUCCUAUCUUGCAUGCAGUGACCAGAAAGUCCGUCAACACGUUCACAACAGACUUAACUUGCUUGUCGACCUGUAGCGGCAGCACAGGGUGACGAGUCGUCGACUAGGUGGUCCAAUAGUUCAAUCAGUUUAGGUUUUACUCCUUCGUUUCUAAAUAUAAGAUGUUUUUAGCUUUUCUCUAUUUUCACAGAUUCAUAUGCAUCUAGACACGUUUUAAUGUGUAUAUUCACUUAUUUUAAUUCGCACAUAGUCCAUCUUGUAAUAUCUAAAACACCUUAUAAUAAUUUAAAAACAAAGGGAUUAGUUGUGAAAACCCUACGUCCAAUCUUCACGGACCGAUCUUAACAAUGGCGUUGUUUACGCUUCAUUCCUUGUUGAAGACAUUGCAUGCAGUUUACCGAGACUUCUCUUCGAGGGGUGAAAACUCAUGAUAUUAUUGAGACUUCUCUUCAAAGGGGUGAAAACUUUUAUGAUCUGGCCUUAUGAUUGGAUCCAACCGUUGCUAGACCCGUCGUUGUUGGAGUACCUAUCUUGGGGCAUCUCAACGUUGACCCGCAAAUUUGCUCGGGUGUCCGUCCGCAGACAACGCGCGCGCGGGGGGAGGGGGGGCAGCCCGUGGACACGGAUGCAGGAGGCAAUCAUCUUACACUGCCCGCAUACAUUUCACACACCUUUUCAACUAACCGGAUGAAAUUCAUGCAAACAAGGUGGAUUUUCAUAUAAACCGGACAAGAUUUAUGCAAACAAGGGGGAUUUUCAUAUAAACUGGAUGAGAUUCAUGCAAACACGACGGAUUUUCAUUACAUUUCGAACAUUUCGAACAAAAAACCCGACCCUAAACCUAUCCUACGGCGGCGACCUUCGUCCACUGGUUUUGUAUUCCACAUCGGCGACCACGUCCUCCAUCUGUCGUCUCCAUGAACGGCGGCGGGUUCAAGAUCCGUGAAGUGGAGGUGCGGUCUCCAGCGAGGGAGAAUAGAACAUGGGAGACGGAUCGUCCCACUUGGGAUACAAUGCCUCACCGCCUCUCAUGCUCUACUCAUCCUCGGAGGAGUCCAUGACCUGUGUGUCGCCAGCGCCGGUGGACGUGAGGUCGAUGAUGAACGUGGACGGUCCGUCACUGUCCACCUGCCACAUGCGCCCCUCGAAAGUUGGACGGUGUCGCGUAGGACACGCAGCUGGCGGCUGCGUUCGCAUCUCGUUGCACCAGAACUUCUUUGUGAGUAGAGCGUGUGGCCUCGUAGAGCGCGCGCUCCUCCGCAACAAAGUUCGGGUUCGCCGCCGCCAUGGCGGCCACGGCCUCCUCGCUUGUGCGUGAUACGUCCAUUUUGCAUCAUGCUUUUAUAUCGAUAUUUAUUGCAUUAUGGGCUGUUUAUUACACAUUAUGUCACAAUACUUAUGCCUAUUGUCUCUUAUUUUACAAGGUUUACAUGAAGAGGGAGAAUGCCGGCAGCUGGAAUUCUGGGCUGGAGAAGGAGCAAAUAUUAGAGACCUAUUCUGCACAACUCCAAAAGUCCUGAAACUUCAUGGAGGCACGUUUUGGAAUAUAUAAAAAAUACUGGAGAAAGAAUCAACCAGAGGGGGCCCACACCCUAGCCACAAGGGUGGGGGCGCGCCCUACCCCCUGGGCGCGCCCCCUGCCUCGUGGGCCCCCUGGUAGGCCUCCGGUGCCCAUCUUCUGAUAUAUGAAGUCUUUCACCCUGGAAAAAAUCAGAAGGAAGUUUUCGGGAUGAAACACCGCCGCCACGAGGCGGAACCUGGUGAAACCAAUCUAGGGCUCCGGCGGAGCUGUUCUGCCGGGGAAACAUCCCUCUGGGAGGGGGAAAUCAUCACCAUCGAUCCUCUCAGCGUGAGGGGGUCCAUCUCCAUCAACAUCUUCACCAGCACCAUCCUCUCAAACCCUAGUUCAUCUCUUGUAUCCAAUCUUUGUCCCAAGACCUCAGAUUGGUACAUGUGGGUUGCUAGUAGUGUUGAUUACUCCUUGUAGUUGAUUCUAGUUGGUUUAUUUGGUGGAACAUCAUAUGUUCAGAUCCUUUAUGCAUAUUAAUAUUCCUCUGAUUAUGAACAUGAAUAUGAUUUGUGAGUAGUUACGUUUGUUCCUGAGGACAUGGGAGAAGUCUUGCUAUCAGUAGUCAUGUGAAUUUGGUAUUCGUUCGAUGUUUUGAUGAGAUGUAUGUUGUCUUUCCUCUAGUGGUGUUGUGUGAAUGUCGACUACAUGACACUUCACCAUUGUUUGGGCCUAGAGGAAGGCAUUGGGAAGUAAUAAGUAGAUGAUGGGUUGCUAGAGUGACAGAAGUUUAAACCCUAGUUUAUGCGUUGCUUCGUAAGGGGCUGAUUUGGAUCCAUAUGUUUCAUGCUAUGGUUAGGUUUACCUUAAUACUUCUUUUGUAGUUGCGGAUGCUUGCCAUAGGGGUUAAACAUAAAUGGGAUGCUUGUCCAAUGAAGGGCAGUACCCAAGCACCGGUCCACCCACAUACCAAAUUAUCAAAGUAACGAACGCGAAUCAUAUGAGCGUGAUGAAAACUAGCUUGACGAUAAUUCCCAUGUGUCCUCGGGAGCGUUUUCCUUCAUAUAGGAGUUUGUCCAGGCUUGUCCUUUGCUACAAAAAAGGAUUGGGCCAUCUUGCUGCAUCUUAUUUACUUUCAUUACUUGUCACCCGCUACAAAUUACCUUAUCACAAAACUAUAUGUUAUCGAUAAUUUCAGUGCUUGCAGAGAAUACCUUACUGAAAACCGCUUGUCAUUUCCUUCUGCUCCUUGUUGGGUUCGACACUCUUACUUAUCGAAAGGACUAUGAUAGAUCCCGUAUACUUGUGGGUCAUCAAGACUCUUUUCUGGCGCCGUUGCCGGGGAGUGAAGCGUCUUUGGCAGGUGGAAUUUGGUAAGGAAAAAUUUAUAUAGUGUGCUGAAAUACACUGUGACUUGUUACUAUGGAACAUAAUCCUUUGAGGGGCUUGUUCGGGGUAUCUUCACCCCGACCAGUAGAGCAAAGAGUUGCUCCUCAACCUACUGAACCUACCGAAAAUGUUUACUUUGAAAUUCCUUCGGGUAUGAUAGAGAAACUGCUAGCUAAUCCUUUUACACGAGAUGGAACAUUGCAUCCCGAUUUGCACCUAAUCUAUGUGGAUGAAGUUUGUGGAUUAUUUAAGCUUGCAGGUAUGCCCGAGGAUGUUAUCAAGAAGAAGGUCUUCCCUUUAUCUUUGAAGGGAAAGGCAUUGACAUGGUUUAGGCUAUGUGAUGAUAUGGGAUCAUGGAACUACAACCGAUUGAAAUUGGAAUUUCAUCAAAAGUUUUAUCCUAUGCAUCUUAUUCAUCGUGAUCGAAAUUAUUUAUAUAAUUUUUGGCCUCGCGAAGGAGAAAGCAUCGCUCAAGCUUGGGGGAGGCUUAAGUCAAUGUUAUAUUCAUGCCCCAAUCAUGAGCUCUCGAGAGAAAGUAUUAUUCAAAAAUUUUAUGCUCGGCUUUCUCUCAAUAAUCGCUCCAUGCAUGCUCGAUACUUCUUGUACUGGUUCUUUUAUGAUGAAGACUAUUGAAUUCAAAUGGGAUUUACUGGAAAGAAUUAAAUGCAACUCUAAAGAUUGGGACCUCGACGAAGGUAAGGAGUUAGGUAUAACACCUAAGUUUGAUUGUGUUAAAUCUUUUAUGGAUACCGAUGUUUUCCGUGAAUUUAGCACUAAAUAUGGACUUGACUCUGAGAUAGUAGCUUCUUUCUGUGAAUCCUUUGCUACUCAUGUUGAUCUCCCUAAGGAGAAGUGGUUUAAAUAUCAUCCUCCCAUUGAAGUAAAAGUAGUUGAAUCUAUUAAAGUUGAAGAAAAGACUAUCACUUAUAAUGUUGAUCCUAUUGCUCCUACCGCUUAUAUUGAGAAACCACCUUUCCCUGUUAGAAUAAAGGAUCAUGCUAAAGCUUCAACUGUGGUUCGUAAGAGUAAUACUAGAACACCUACACCCUCUGAGAAAAUUAAAGUUGAACCUAGUAUUGCUGUGGUUAAAGAUCUCUUAGCCGAUAAUAUUGAUGGGCAUGUUAUUUAUUUCUAUAAUGAAGCUGCUAGAACUGCUAGACCCGAUACUAAGGGUAAACAUAGACCUGUUGUUGGCAUGCCUGUUAUUUCUGUUAUAGGAGAUCAUUUUUAUCAUGGCUUGUGUGAUAUGGGUGCUAGUGCAAGUGCAAUACCUCAUUCCUAUACAAAGAAAUUAUGCAUGAUAUUGCACCUGCGGAGAUAGAAGAAAUUGAUGUUACAAUUAAGUUUGCCAAUAGAGAUACUAUUUCACCAGUUGGGAUUGUUAGAGAUGUUGAAGUCUUGUGUCGGAAGGUUAAAUAUCCUACUGAUUUUCUUGUUCUUGGUUCCCCAAAAGAUGACUUUUGUCCCAUUAUAUUUGGUAGACCCUUCUUGAAUAAUGUUAAUGCUAAGAUAGACUGCGAAAAAGAUAUUGUUACUGUUGGUUUACGGGAUAUGUCUCAUGAUUUUAAUUUUGCUAAAUUUCGUAGACAACCCCAUGAUAAAGAAUUGCCUAGUAAAGAUGAAAUUAUUGGUUUGGCUUCUAUUGUCGUGCCUCCUAAUGAUCCCUUAGAGCAAUAUUUGCUAGACCAUGAAAAUGAUAUGUUUAUGAAUGAAAGAAGGGAAAUAGAUGAAGUAUUCUUUAAACAAGGCCCUAUCUUGAAACACAACUUGCCUGUUGAAAUUCUUGGGGAUCCUCCUCCACCCAAGGGUGAUCCCGUGUUUGAGCUUAAACCAUCACCUGAUACUCUUAAAUAUGCUUAUCUUGAUGAAAAGAAGAUAUAUCCUGUUAUUAUUAGUGCUAACCUUUCAGAGCAGGAAGAAGAGAAAUUAUUGAAAACUCUGAAGAAGCACCGUGCUGCGAUUGGAUAUACUCUUGAUGAUCUUAAGGGCAUUAGUCCCACUCUAUGCCAACACAAAAUAAAAUUGGAGAAAGACGCUAAACCAGUUGUUGAUCACCAACGACAGUUAAAUCCUAAGAUGAAAGAAGUGGUAAGAAAAUAAAUACUAAAGCUUUUGGAGGUAGGUAUGAUUUAUCCCGUUGCUGAUAGUCAGUGGGUAAGUCCUAUCCAUUGUGUCCCUAAGAAGAGAGGUAUUACUGUUGUUCCUAAUGAUAAAGAUGAAUUGAUCCCACAAAGAAUUAUUACAGGUUAUAGAAUGGUAAUUGAUUUCCGCAAAUUAAAUAAAGCUACUAAAAAGGAUCAUUACCCUUUACCUUUUAUUGAUCAAAUGCUAGAAAGAUUAUCCAAACAUACACAUUUUUGCUUUCUAGACGGUUAUUCUGGUUUCUCUCAAAUACAUGUGACAAAAGAGGAUCAAGAAAAGACCACUUUUACUUGCCCUUUCGGUACCUUUGCUUAUAGACGUAUGCCUUUUGGUUUAUGCAAUGCACCUGCUACCUUUCAAAGAUGUAUGACUGCUAUAUUCUCUGACUUUUGUGAAAAGAUUGUUGAGGUUUUCAUGGAUGAUUUUUCCGUAUAUGGAACUUCUUUUGAUGAUUGCUUAAGCAACCUUGAUCGAGUUUUGCAGAGAUGUGAAGAAACUAAUCUUGUCUUGAAUUGGGAAAAGUGCCACUUUAUGGUUAAUGAAGGUAUUUUCUUGGGGCAUAAAAUUUCUGAAAGAGGUAUUGAAGUUGAUAAAGCUAAAGUUGAUGCUAUUGAAAAGAUGUCAUGUCCCAAGGACAUUAAAGGUAUAAGAAGUUUCCUUGGUCAUGCUGGUUUUUAUAGGAGGUUCAUUAAGGACUUCUCAAAAAUUUCUAGGCCUCUGACUAACCUCUUACAAAAAGAUGUUCCUUUAUCUUUGAUGAUGAUUGUGUAGAAGCAUUUGAAAUACUUAAGAAAGCCUUGAUUUCUGCACCUAUUGUUCAUCCACCUGAUUGGAAUUUACCCUUUGAAUUUAUGUGUGAUGCUAGUGAUUAUGUUGUAGGUGUUGUUCUAGGACAAAGAGUUGAUAAGAAAUUAAAUGUUAUACAAUAUGCCAGUAAAACUCUAGACAGUGCCCAGAGAAAUUAUGCUACUACUGAAAAGGAAUUUUUAGCAGUUGUAUUUGCUUGUGAUAAGUUCAGACCUUAUAUUGUUGACUCUAAAGUAACUGUUCACACUGAUCAUGCUGCUAUUAAAUAUCUUAUGGAAAAGAAAGAUGCUAAACCUAGACUUAUUAGAUGGGCUCUCCUACUACAAGAAUUUGAUUUGCAUAUUAUUGAUAGAAAGGGAGCUGAGAACCCCGUUGCAGACAAAUUGUCUAGGUUAGAGAAUGUUCUUGAUGACCCACUACCUAUUGAUGACAGCUUUCCUGAUGAACAAUUAGCUGUCAUAAAUGCUUCACGCACUGCUCCAUGGUAUACUGAUUAUGCUAAUUACAUUGUUGCUAAAUUUAUACCACCUAGCUUCACAUACCAGCAAAAAAAGUUUUUCUAUGAUUUGAGACAUUACUUUUGGGAUGACCCACACCUUUAUAAAGAAGGAGUAGAUGGUGUUAUUAGACGUUGUGUACCUGAGCAUGAACGGGAACAGAUCCUACGCAAGUGUCACUCUGAGGUUUAUGGAGGACACCACGCUGGAGAUAGAACUGCGCAUAAGGUAUUGCAAUCCGGUUUUUAUUGGCCUACUCUCUUCAAAGAUCUCGUAAGUUUGUCUUGUCUUGUGAUGAAUGUCAAAGAAUUGGUACUAUUAGUAGACGUCAAGAGAUGCCUAUGAACUAUUCACUUGUUAUUGAACCAUUUGAUGUUUGGGGCUUUGAUUAUAUGGGACCGUUUCCUUCCUCUAAUGGGUAUACACAUAUUUUAGUUACUGUUGAUUACGUUACUAAGUGGGUAGAAGCUAUUCCAACUAGUAGUGUUGAUCAUAACACCUCUAUUAAGAUGCUUAAGGAAGUUAUUUUUCUGAGGUUUGGAGUCCCUAGAUAUUUAAUGACUGAUGAUGGUUCACACUUUUCGUAAAAUGCUUGCUAAGUAUGAUGCCAACCAUAGAAUUGCAUCUCCUUAUCACCCGCAGUCUAGUGGUCAAGUAGAAUUGAGUAAUAGAGAAAUCAAAUUAAUUUUGCAAAAGACUGUUAAUAGAUCUAGAAAUAAUUGGUCUAAGAAACUUGAUGAUGCAUUAUGGGCCUAUAGAACUGCAUAUAAAAAUCAUAUGGGUAUGUCUCCGUAUAAAAUGGUCUAUGGAAAAGCAUGUCACUUACCUCUCAAACUAGAACAUAAGGCAUAUUGGGCCAUUAAAGAGCUCAAUUAUGAUUUCAAACUUGCCGGUGAGAAGAGGUUAUUUGACAUUAGCUCACUUGAUGAAUGGAGAACCCAGGCCUAUGAGAAUGCCAAACUGUUUAAAGAAAAAGUUAAAAGAUGGCUUGACAAAAGGAUACAAAAGCGUGAGUUUAACAUAGGUGAUUAUGUUUUGCUAUACAACUCUCGUUUAAGAUUUUUUGCAGGAAAGCUUCUCUCUAAAUGGGAAGGUCCUUACGUUAUCGAGGAGGUCUAUCAUUCCGGUGCCAUAAAAAUCAACAACUUCGAAGGCACAAAUCCGAAGGUGGUGAAUGGUCAAAGAAUCAAACAUUUUCUCUCAGGUAAUCCAAUAAAUGUUGAAACUAAUGUUAUUGAAACCGUAACCCCGGAGGAAUAUAUAAGGUACACUUUCCAGAACGUUCCAGACUCCAAAAAGGAACAGGUAUGUGGUACGGUAAGUAAACCGACUCCAACACAGUUCUAAUGGCAAUUUUUCUUCGUUUUAGAAUAUUUAAGAAAAUAGGAAAAUAAUAAGUGGUCCGGGAAGGACACGAGGCGUCCACGAGGGUGGAGGGCGCGCCCUACCCCCCUGGGCGCCCCCUGCCUGGUGGGCACCUCGUGUGCCCUCCAGACUCCGUUUUCUUGCAGGAUACUUCUUUUGGUUGGUAAAAAUUCAUUAUAUAAUCUCCCGAAGGUUUUGACCACCGUACCACGCAAAUAUCCUCUGUUCUUGUUUCGAGCUGUUUUUCUGACAGAUCUAGAUCAUCAUGACGUCUUCAAGCGCUCCCAAGGACAGGUUCUUCGAGAAGGUUAUCAAUCCCUACCUCGCUGAGGUGCUGCAACACCCUCAAACAAUUGAGAUGCGUGAUGGGUUGCUGCACAUCCGCGAUGUCGAGGGACCAAGGAGGACCGGAAGCGUGGAGAUGAGACUCGAAGCAAUGGAGCAACAAGUUUUCAAGUGCCAGGGGAUGGUGGAAUGCGGACUCAACGCCAACCACAUGAUGAUCGCGGAGUUCACCAACAACCACAAGCUGGAUGCCAAGAACAUUGGGGAGACCAUCUUCAAGCUUCAUGAGAAAAUCGAGCAUCUCCAAGCCCAGAUCUAUGACCUGCAAAACCAAAACUAUGAGUAUGAAUAUAGAUUCAAGAGGAUGAGUUUGGCUGCAGAUGCGAGGAUCCCGGAGACUCGAUCAUUCUUCUAUGAUGGUGAGCCUAUGCCUUGGAAGAUGGACGACAAGCCUACAUCAUCAACAACUCCAUCAUCACCACCCCUGAGGAAAGAGAUAUAAACACAUGGGUAUGGGCACCCCCUUGGCAACUGCCAAGCUUGGGGGAGGUGCCCCGGUAUCGUAUCACCAUCACACUCCUAUCUUUACUAUUUUUCUUAGUUCGAUCCUUUUGGUAAUAUCUUGAUCUGGUAGAAUAAAGUUUUAGUAUGAUCUAGUUUGAGUUUUGCUUUUUGAUCCUUCUAUGUAAUCGAGUCCGUGAGCUACAUAUAAUAAAGAUUAGUUUUGAGUCAAGGGCUUGGUUAUCUUGCUAUGAUCUAGAGGGAAUAAAAGAAAAAAUAAAUAUAAUUAAAGAGAUCAUAUUGAUCUUAUAGAGAGUAAUGACUUCACAUAUAAAAGAGUAUGAUGAAUAAAAGUUGUUGAGAGUUGACAAACAUAGUUUUGGUCAUCGUUGCAAUUAGUAGGAAGUAAUAAAGAAAGAGAGGUUUUCACAUAUAAAUAUACUAUCUUGGACAUCUUUUCUGAUUGUGAGCACUCAUUAAAAUAUGACAUGCUAAAAAGUUGAUGUUGGACAAGAAAGACAGCGUAAUGGGUUAUGUUUUCUUAUAUCCGAAAUAAAGUAUAUUGUCAUGGAUCAUCCAACAUGUUGAGCUUGCCUUUCCCCCUCAUCCUAGCCAAAUUCUUGUCACCAAGUAGAGAUACUACUUGUGCUUCCAAACAUCCUUAAACCCAGUUUUGCCAUGAGUGUCCAUCAUACCUACCUAUGGAUUGAGUAAGAUCCUUCAAGUAAGUUGUCAUUGUUGCAUGCAAUAAAAAUUGCUCUCUAAAUAUGUAUGGUUUAUUAGUGUGGAGAAAAUAAGCUUUAUACGAUCUUGCGAUGUGGAAGCAGUAAAAGCGACGGACUGCAUAAUAAAGGUCCAUAUCACAAGUGGCAAUAUAAAGUGACGUUUUUUCGCAUUAAGAUUUUGUGCAUCCAACCAUAAAAGCACAUGACAACCUCUGCUUCCCUCUGUGAAGGGUCUAUCUUUUAUUCCUGUCUUAUACCUUAUAUAAGAGUCAUGGUGAUCUUCACCUUUCCUUUUUACAUUUUAUCCUUUGGCAAGCACAUUGUGUUGGAAAGAUCCUGAUAUAUAUAUAUAUCCAAUUGGAUGUAAGUUAGCAUGAACUAUUAUUGUUGACAUUACCCUUGAGGUAAAAGGUUGGGAGGCAACACUAUAAGCCCCUAUCUUUCUCUGUGUCCGAUUAAAACUCCAUACCCAUAAGUAUUGCAUGAGUGUUAGCAAUUAUGAAAGACUAAAUGAUAGUUGAGUAUGUGGACUUGCUGAAAAGCUCUUAUAUUGACUCUUUCCGAUGUUAUGAUAAAUUGCAAUUGCUUCAAUGACUGAGAUUAUAGUUUGUUGGUUCUCAAUGAAGUUUCUGAUUCAGACUUGACAUUGUGAAUAGAUUGUUACUUUAGAAUAAGAAAUCAUAUGACAAUAUAUAUGUGUUGCUAUUUUAAGAAUGAUCAUGAUACCCUCAUGUCCGUAUUUUAUUUUAUCGACACCUCUAUCUCUAAACAUGUGGACAUAUUUUUCAUUAUCGUUCCGCUUGAGGACAAGCGAGGUCUAAGCUUGGGGGAGUUGAGACGUCCAUUUUGAUGCUUUCAUAUCAAUAUUUAUUGCAUUAUGGGCUGUUAUUACACAUUAUGUCACAAUACUUAUGUCUAUUCUCUCUUAAUUUACAAGGUUUACAUGAAGAGGGAGAAUGCCGGCAGCUGGAAUUCUGGGCUGGAAAAGGAGAAAAGAUUAGAGACCUAUUCUGCACAAUUCCAAAAGUCCUGAAACUUCACGGAGGCACGUUUUGGAAUAUAUAAAAAAUACUGGAGAAAGAAUCAACCAGAGGGGCCCCACACCCUGGCCAUGAGGGUGGGGGCGCACCCUACCCCCUGAGCGCCCCUGCCUCGUGGGCCCCCUGGCAGGCCUCCGGUGUUCAUCUUCUGCUAUAUGAAGUCUUUCACCCUGGAAAAAAUUGGAAGGAAGAUUUCGGGAUAAAACACCGCCGCCACGAGGUGGAACCUGGCGAAACCAAUCUAGGGCUCCGGCGGAGCUGUUCUGUCGGGGAAACAUCCCUCCGGGAGGGGGAAAUCAUCACCAUCGAUCCUCUCAGCAUGAGGGGAUCAAUCUCCAUCAACAUCUUCACCAGCACCAUCCUCUCAAACCCUAGUUCAUCUCUUGUAUCCAAUCUUUGUCCCAAAACCUCAGAUUGGUACAUGUGGGUUGCUAGUAGUGUUGAUUACUCCUUGUAGUUGAUGCUAGUUGGUUUAUUUGGUGGAACAUCAUAUGUUCAGAUCCUUUAUGCAUAUUAAUAUCCCUCUGAUUAUGAACAUGAAUAUGAUUUGUGAGUAGUUACGUUUGUUCCUGAGGACAUGGGAGAAGUCUUGCUAUCAGUAGUCAUGUGAAUUUGGUAUUCGUUCGAUGUUUUGAUGAGAUGUAUGUUGUCUUUCCUCUAGUGGUGUUGUGUGAACGUCGACUACAUGACACUUCACCAUUGUUUGGGCCUAGAGGAAGGCAUUGGGAGGUAAUAAGUAGAUGAUGGGUUGCUAGAGUGACAGAAGUUUAAACCCUAGUUUAUGCGUUGCUUCGUAAGGGGCUGAUUUGGAUCCAUAUGUUUCAUGCUAUGGUUAGGUUUACCUUAAUAUUUCUUUUGUAGUUGCGGAUGCUUGUAAUAGGGGUUAAUCAUAAGUGGAUGCUUGUCCAAGGAAGGGCAGUACCCAAGCACCGGUCCACCCACAUACCAAUUUAUCAAAGUAACGAACGCGAAUCAUAUGAGCGUGAUGAAAACUAGCUUGACGAUAAUUCCCAUGUGUCCUCGGGAGCAUUUUCCUUCAUAUAGGAGUUUGUCCAGGCUUGUCCUUUGAUACAAAAAGGAUUGGGCCAUCGUGCUGCACCUUAUUUACUUUCAUUACUUGUCACCCGCUACAAAUUACCUUAUCACAAAACUAUCUGUUACCGAUAAUUUCAGUGCUUGCAGAUAAUACCUUAGUGAAAACCGUUUGUCAUUUCCUUCUGCUCCUCGUUGGGUUCGACACUCUUAAUUAUCGAAAGGACUACGAUAGAUCCCCUAUACUUCUGGGUCAUCAGCGCGCUCGUCGUAAAUUUGGCCCUCCGCCAGCCGGUGCUGCUCGAGGAGGAACAGGUUGUACCUCUACUCCUCCCGUGUCUGUUGGAACACUGACAUUGGAGCCGACGCAGGCUACUGCUCCUCCGCCAUGACAGCGUCGUAGUGCGCCUGCGCCUGCUCCAUGGUAAGGCUGGCAUGCACCGGCGCGGGGUACAUCGUCAUGUCGUCGUCGGAGCCUGUGGGGUCGUCGUCGGAGUCCUCAGGUGAGCUGGCCGGCAUGCCCUGCUUGAUCCGCCUGGCAUGGCGAGACUGCCAGGCGGCUGCAAGGCCGAUCACCUCGUGCUUCAUCUCCGGCGACAGAAUAUCCCAUAGAGUGUUCCAGCUCAUGGUCAUGGCGGAUGUGGAGCAAAGGAGGAGUACAUGUUGUGGCGCGGAGUUAGCUGGGUGUGGCUGCCUUUAAAUAGCGGAUGCACGGCAUCGGAGUUAGUUCCUCGACUGGCGAGCCUGCUUAAUGAAGGCAUGCGGACGGACAUUGAAUGAGCAUGGUGGAUAUUCGUCCCAUCCCGUACAGCAAAUAUCGUUCCGACAUUGAACAUGUGCAGACACCGGGACGCGGCGUGGGCUGCUCUCUCGGUUGGCGCGACGCUUCAAUGUGUUGGGGCGUUGCAUGGAAAACAAAAAAAAUCCUACGCUCAUGCAAGAUCUAUCUAGGAGAUGCAUAGCAACGAGGGGGGAGAGUGUGUCUAUGUACCCUCAUAGACCAUAAGCAGAAAUGUUUCACAACGCGGUUGAUGUAGUCGAACUUUCUUCGUGCUCCACCGAUCGAGUACCGAACGUACGGCACCUCUGAGUUCUGCACACGUUCAUCUCGGUGACGUCCCUCGCCUUCUUGAUCCAGCAAGGUGUCGAGGUAGUAGAUGAGUUCCGUCAACACGAGGCGUGGUGACAUGAAGUGAUCCUCGCAGGGCUUCGCCUAAGCACCGGGAAAAUAUGACCGGGGUUGUAAACUGUGGAGGGGGCGCCGCACACGGCUAACAAUUGAUGUCAUGUGUUCUAGGCGCCCCUCCCCACAUAUAUAUAUAUAUAGGUGGGAGGGGAGGAGAGGCAGCUAGGGGGCUCCCCAAGUCGGAUCCGGAUCCUACUUGGGGUUUCCCCAAGUGGCGCCCUCCCUUUCCUUUUUUCCACCGGAGAAGAAAGGGAAGGGGGAAGAGAGAAAGGAAGGGGGGCGAACCCCCCCCCUUUCCUUCUCCAAUUCGGCCACAUGCUACAGGGGACGCGCCACCCCUUGUGGGCUGGUGUGCUCCCCUCUCAUGGCCCAUAUAUUCCCCUCACGGGUUCCGAUAACCCCUCCGGUACUCCGAUAAAUACCCGAUACACUCCGGAACACUUCAGAUGUCCGAAUACUAUCGUCCUAUAUAUCAAUCUUUACCUCUCGACCAUUUAGAGACUCCUCGUCAGUCUGUGAUCUCAUUUGGGACUCCAAACAAUAUUCGGUCACCAAAUCACAUACCUCAUAUAAUACUAAAUAGUCAUCGAAUGUUAAGCGUGUGGACCCUACAGGUUCGAGAACUAUGUAGACAUGACCGAGACACCUCUCCGGUCAAUAAACAAUAGCGGAACCUGGAUGCUCAUAUUGGCUCCUACAUAUUCUACGAAGAUCUUUAUCGGUCGAACUGUUAUGAGAAUAUACGUUAUUCCCUUUGUCCAUCGGUAUGUCACUUGCCCGAGAUUCGAUCGCCGGUAUCUUCAUACCUAGUUCAAUAUCGUUACCGGCAAGUCUCUUUACUCGUUUUGUAAUACAUCAUCCCGCAACUAACUCAUUAGUCACUUUGCCUGCAAAGCUUCUUAUGAUGUGUAUUACCGAGAGGGCCCAGAGAUACCUCUCCGAUACUCGGAGUGACAAAUCCUAAUCUUGAUCUAUGCCAACUCAAGAAACACCUUCGGAGAUACCUGUAGAGGAUCUCUAAUGCAUAACCCCAAAAUGAUAGUGGUAAACCGGCAAGAGACAAGUACGGUUACGACGUUCGGACACACCAUUACGCUGUGGUGUUCUAGGUGGCGUGAGUUGUGAAACUAUUCCACAUUGUUUCAAAUGAAGGCCAAACUUGUAACUCAAAUAUUUGCCUCCGCGAUCAGAUCGUAGAAACUUUAUUUUCUUGUUACGAUGAUUCUCCACUUCACUAUGAAAUUCUUUGAACUUUUCAAAUGUUUUAGACUUGUGUUUCAUUAAGUAGAUAAACACAUAUCUGCUCAAAUCAUCUGUGAAGGUCAGAAAAUAAUGAUACCCACCGCGUGCCUCAACACUCAUUGGACCGCAUACAUCGGUAUGUAUUAUUUUCAAUAAGUCAUUGGCUCGCUCCAUUGUUCCGAAGAACGGAGUUUUAGUCAUCUUGCCCAUUGAAAGAUCGUGGAUGUCACCUAGAGGGGGGGGGGGUGAAUAGGCGCUUUAAAAUAAUUAUGGUUGAGGCUUGAACAAAUGCGGAAUAAACCUAGCGGUUAAUUUGUCAAGCACAAAACCUACAACAACUAGGCUCACCUAUGUGCACCAACAACUUAUGCUAAGAAAGAAAAACUACUUAGGUGAUAGCAAGAUAUAUGACAAGAAACAAUAUGGCUAUCACAAAGUAAAGUGCAUAAGUAAAGGGCUCGGGUAAGAGAUAACCGAGGCACGCGGAGACGACGAUGUAUCCCGAAGUUCACACCCUUGCGGAUGCUAAUCUCCGUUUGGAGCGGUGUGGAGGCACAAUGCUCCCCAAGAAGCCACUAGCGCCACCGUAAUCUCCUCACGCCCUUGCACAAUGCAAGAUGCCGUGAUUCCACUAAGGGACCCUUGAGGGCGGUCACCGAACCCGUACAAAUGGCAACCCUUGGGGGCGGUCACCGAACCCGUACACUUUGGCAACCCUUGGGGGCGGUCACCGGUACCCGUCAAAUUGCUCGGGGCGAUCUCCACAACCUAAUUGGAGACCCCGACGCUUGCCCGGAGCUUUACACCACAAUGAUUGAGCUUCGAACACCACCAACCUUCUAGGGCGCCCAAGCACCCAAGAGGAACAAGCUCAAGGGCACCAAGCACCCAAGAGUAAUAAUCUUCUCAACUUGUAACUUCCACGUAUCACCGUGGAGAACUCAAACCGAUGCACCAAAUGCAAUGGCAAGGGCGCACGGAGUGCCCAAGUCCUUCUCUCUCAAAUCCCACCGAAGCAACUAAUGCUAGGGAGGAAAAUGAGAGGAAGAACAAGAAGGAGAACACCAAGAACUUCAAGAUCUAGAUCCAAGGGGUUCCCCUCACAUAGAGGAGAAAGUGAUUGGUGGAAAUGUGGAUCUAGAUCUCCUCUCUCUUUUCCCUCAAAAACUAGCAAGAAUCCAUGGAGGGAUUGAGAGUUAGCAAGCUCGAAGAAGGUCAACAAUGGGGGAAGAACACGAGCUCAAAGGAUAAGGUUCAUUGGGGAAGAAGACCCCCUUUUAUAGUUGGGAAAAAUCCAACCGUUAUGGUCACAGCCCGCACCGAGCGGUACUAUCGCUCCAAGGAGCGGUACUACCGCUAGGGCGGUAGUAGCCCAUUGAAACACAAUAGCGAGGAGGCAAAAAAGCCAGAAGAACCGUUGGAGCGGUAGUACCACUUGACCUCACGAUACUACCGCUAGGGGUAGUGGUACUACUGCUAAGGGUAGCAGUACUACUGCUUGCGAGCGGUACUAAAAAAUUACAUCCGUGCCUACCACCGCUGGACUUGUGACGAGUUUUUGGUCCCGAGCGGAAGUAGCCACGGAAGUAGCCGCGGUAGUACUGCUCCAAGCGGUAGUACCGCUCCCAAGAGCGGUAGUAAAAAAUUACAUCCGCUCCUGUCCGCGGUAGUACCGCUGCAGCCUUUUCAGAACACCAAAACUGACACAAUUUCUGCAAACGGACUCCGAAUUCGACGAAACCAAGUUUGUUGGAAAGCUAGCGACAAGGGCUAACACAAUCUUGAUAGAAAUACCAAUAAGAAGCAAAUUAGAAAAGGCCCAAAAGAAAAUGGUGAGAACCCUUCCUCGGAUAAGACCGGUAAAACCUCCAACAUCGAAAACAUCAUAGAAGACGCAUGCAAACUCCGUUUUCGAUGAACUCAAGCUUGUCAUCAAGAUGAACAUAAGCUCUAAGACUCACAAAGAGAACCAAACAAGAACCAAGAAACAUGAUGCAAGGAUGCAAUGGUUUGAGCUCUCGACGAACGAUACGAUCAAGCUACUCACUUGAGAGCCCCCCUUGAUAGUACGGCUAUCGAUCCUAUAACCCGGUCUCCCAACUACCACCAUGAGACCGGUAAAAUAGAAAACCUAUCAAGGGCAAACCUUUGCCUUGCACAUGGUCCACUUGAGCUAGAUGAUGACGAUCUUGACUCCCUCAAGUUGGACCACCUUUAUUGAUUGCGUUGGCUCGAUGAAGACUAGAUGAUUACUCCCCCAUAGUCCACUAUAGGUGAGCCACUCUUCGGCACAUCUUCACAAGUCCAUUGUCACCACAAUGGACGGCAAGCUUCAAGCACUUGAUCUCUUCGUGAUGCUCCACUUGAACUUGCACACGGAAAUCUUGAUGACGAUCACCACUUGAUGUCAUCCUCUCCAUGGGUUGAGUGAUAUCUUCCUCUUGACGCAAGCCCAUGAACACGUACCUAACCCCACAUAGAACUCUCACAUAGACCAUGGGUUAGUACACAAAGCACAAUGGACAAUGCUUAGCAUACCAUGGGAUCACUUGAUCCCUCUCGGUACAUCUUCUACGCUUUGUGAGUUGAUCAACUUGAUUCACUCUUGACUUAGUCUUGAUCAACCUAGAAUCUUUCCAACUCUCUUCAUUUGGAUGAUGUCUUGAAGGUAAACAUGAAUGAUCACACAAUCUUCUUCUUCAAGACAUGCUUGCAAUAAGCUCAACUCUCACAUGACCAAUCUUUGGAUAAUUCCUUAAUAGCACCUUGGUCAACACAAACUCUCCUUGAAACCAACACAUGUACUCCAAGAAAAGCCUAUGGACAAAACCUUCAAAUAUAACUCAAGGCAACCAUUAGUCCAUAGAGAUUGUCGUCAAUUACCAAAACCAAACAUGGGGGCACCACAUGUUCUUUCAAUCUCCCCCAUUUUGGUAAUUGAUGACAAUCACUUUCAAGAGAGUUUAUAUAAGGAAUUAUGCAUCACCAUGCAAUGCAACAACCAAUGAUGCAUGAGUAAGAGAUGCAAAUGCUUAGGAACAAAACCAAAGCAAGAGGAGAGAAUUCUCUAAACUUCUCCACAAAACUCUCUGAAACUUCUCCCCCAUUGGCAUCGAUUGCCAAAAUGGGAGAAAAGCUUAGAAGGCCAAUAUAUAUUGUGUUCCUACAUAAUUUGUGUAUUUCUCAACAAGAGAGUGGAAUGCAAUACACAAGUUUGACGGUAAAUAUUAGGAGGAAAACAAACUAUAUUUAGGCCCAAAGUUUACAAAAGAAAGAUAUGCCACAAAGACAUAAGAAAGAGAGAAACAAGCAAACAAGCAAUCAAAAGAUACCAAUUGAAGCAAGCAAUCAACGGAUAUCAAUUGAGCCAACUAGACCAAUGAUCCUACGUGCCACAUGAAUGAAAUAAAUUAUGAUAUGAGCAAAGGAGUGUUCUAGAGAAACUAGAGAAGCUCCCCAUGAUUUGUGCACAAUUUAGUUUUGUAACUGGAUACAACGAGCACAAAAUAGGAUCGUCACUCCCCCAAGAUCAAUAGAACCUCACGACAAGUGCAAGAGAGCAACAGAGUGUUCUAAAGACACUAGUGAACCUCUCCAUGAUUUGUGCACUUCUUACAAUAUUUGCAUUAGGAUACCGAGUGCACAAAAUAGGAUCAUCACUCCCCGAAAAUCAAUAGAAACUCACAACAAGUGCAAGUGAGCAUAUAGGAAAAAACGCCUAGCACUUGCAACAAACAAAUGGUUGAGCAACAUAUAAAAGAGGCAACUUAAGAGUAGGCUCAACCAAAAUGAUGUCUGUGAGUCAUGGCAAAGCACUUGAGAAGACUAAUGUACGAAUGAGCAUUAAGCAUCAACAUAGUCUUGGAUAGUGGAGAUACAAGGUGCAUGACAUGUCCUCCCCACACACACCAAGCAAAAGGGUUCACAAGCACACUAAAAAUGCAAAAUGAAUAACCAACACUUGUGACAACCCAUGGUGAAGAUAGAAGAUGAAAGCCUCAUCAAGACGAGGGAUACCAAUUAAGAUGGUAAAAGCCUCGUAGAGGUAAGCAUGAGGAAAAUAAUCUUCACCACACGGGAGUGCAUCAAUAUGCAACGAGAUAAGACAUGCACUCAAGGCAAAAGCUUUCACGGAGCCACCAAAGAAAUAACAAGAAAGACAAGGUGGACGUGAAAGAAAGGAUAUCGUCUAGAGAUGUAAUUUCUCUCAAGUGUAUAAGGUUCUAGGUAGACGAGAUCAUGAUGAUAUAUAUCUACAAAGAAGGAUGUACACCCGAAAUAGUUACAACACGAAGGAACAAGAUAUCCAAAAGGAAGUCAUAGAUAUACCAAUAAGAUAUUUGCUUGGAAGCAUAGCACAUGGCUAAAUAUGGUCUUAUUGUGCAUAAAUGAAUUCCUACCACACAACCAUCAAAGACAUCACAACUAGCAACACGAGAUCAUUGUUGGGGUGCUUUGAGAAAGGAAACAAGUAUCACAAGAGAGAAUGAAUAACAUGCCAUGAUACAACCUACACAAGGUUGAUGCAAGAAAUGUGUGCAUGAAGUAUAUGAAGGUACUUGUUACCGAGUUAACAUUGGAAGGAUGUAGUAGACACCAAUUGAAGGUACAAAGUAGUUCAUUGAUCAUCCUAGCUUGACUCCAAAAAGCACAUGGUGACAACACCUUCCUUGUGAGUGAGCCGAGCAUCCAAUGCAUCUCCAAUUGUUCCUAGAACAACAACACAAACAAAAUGGUACCCAAACUCAUUGGGACCAAAGAGUUAGAAAGACCAACAAUACAUAGGACAAACUCCACAUAAAUAUGUGCAUAUAGAUAUGGAAAUGAAAUUCAUGCACAUCUCAUCCAAUUUGAGACUUGGUGGAGUUUCCCCUAUAUAUUGGGUCAAAGAGAGAAAGCAUGCCACGGAAACUACAUGAAGUUAAUAUGCAUGCUCAAGACUUUCAAGAACCUAUACCAAAAUACAAGGAAAUACCAAGUGAAAAGAAUACCAAAUGGAGAAAUCAUCACUUGGAAGAUAUCAUUAAAAGAUACAUCAAGGAAUGAGAUAUCCAUUGGAACCCACAAAAUGAUAUCAAACUCCCAAAAGAGAGGAUGGUUCCAAACAAACCAAGCUCUCUACAAAGUUUCAUGAUGGCACAAGUACCAAAAAGAAACGGCUUGCCGUCCACCAACACACACUUAAAAUAGAUCACAAGUUUAGUGUUUUAUAGAAAAUAGGAUAGCUCCCCCACGAGUUGUGCAUUAUAGAGAAUUUGCAUUUGAAUACAAAAUGCACAAGGUAGGAUCACCACGUUCACUAUAUCAAGGAAAACACUAGACAAGAUCAAGAAAACAACAAGAUCCUCAAGUGGCACGGAAGGCAAUGGGAGUUGACACAAACUUGGCAAGAGAUAAGGCAAAUAAAAAGAAAACGCCAACGUGAGGAUGAUCAAUAAUUUCUACCACACAUAAGUGAGUACCAAUUGUCAAAAGACAAGAAGUAUUUGGAAAUAAUUCCCGGUGGUAGAUAGCAAGGAUAUCCGACAUCAUCUUCACACCAAACACAAGCAAAUUGCAACUUGUAGAGCUAACAUGCCACGUAGGAACAAGAUAAUUUACAAUAUCAAUUCUAGGUGACAAUAUCUCAAAUGUACACAUUUUCUAGGCUAGUAAUAUACAUAGCAUAUUACUCCUCCAUAAUGUGAUACCAAUUAAAGAAAACUUAACAAGAGGCAAAAAGAGGAUCCAACAAGAGAUAAUUAAUGGACUAUUUAGAAUUUGAAUUUCUCAUGAGAAGACAUACCACAUAGUGACUAGAUAAGCUUGAAAUAUCAAUACUAGGUGGUAUUCCUCAUGUAAACACAUUUAUGGAACCGUGAGGUGCACAAAGCACAUCUCUCCCCCAAAAUGGGAUGUUCCAUUAAUCUCUCACAAGAGCCAACUAACAUACAAACAAGAUGCGCAAUGGCUCAACGCACUACACACACGUACAUGAUGUGCAAACCAACACACACAUACUUGAUUACUCAAGAUAAGCAAAUUGAAGGCACAACAUAUACAACCACAUGCAAGCAACAAAACCAAAACAUGAAAAGGGGCAAGUAACUUUCGAUGUAAACAGUUUAAGUACAAGUUACCGGAAGGAGGCACAUUGGAUCUAGAAUAGAAACUUGAUAACCCAAUUGACUUGGAUUGAGACAAUAAGAAUGAUGAAGUCCCCUUAAAUCUUCAUAAUGUAGCCAAGUCUCCAAUGCCCUCCAACAACACCUAUUGAUCAAGUUUGAGCUAGUUGGUCCCCAACCAAGUUGGGUCCUAAGAGGUUAGUCACAAUAGGCUUGGCUACCCAAAUGGUUAUUUUCUUGACACCACUUUGAGCACCAACAAAUUUGGCAAACACAUGGCCAACAUUAUCCUUCCCAAGAGAAUAGAUAUCAUCAAUAAUAAUUGGGUUGGAUAAGUUACCACUAGUGCAUGAAGAGGCGAGGUGACCUUUCUCACGACAUAAGUAGCAAUAUCUACUCUUCACUUUCUUCUCACUUGAUUUCUCAACUUGAGAAGCAUUAGCUUGAGGAUUCUUGGGAAGAGGACUUUCUUCAACUUGUGGUUGAGCAUGAGAUCGAACUUGUGGCCGCUUCCCUUGUUGCUUGUCACUAAUGGCCUUCUUCUUCAAUGGGCAAGAUCUAACAUGAUGCCCUUCUACUUUGCACUUGAAGCAAACAAUCUAGGCCGGAUUCUUGACUUGUUCUUGGCCCUUCUUUUUGUUCAUCUUGGACUUCUUCUUGUUGGAGUUGAAUCCAAAUCCACCUUUGUCAUUGGGGGAUUUUUGCACUCUCAAGAUGUUGUUGAGUGUAAAUUUCCCUUCAUGACUCUUUUCCAAGUCUUUCUUCAAAGAAGUGACUUGGGCCUUGAGCUCUUUGAUUUCCUCUACAUGGUUAGUGUCAACACAAGCACUAGUGAAAGUAUAAGCUUCAUCGUUAGAGCAACAAGGCAAGGAAAGCAAUUCAUCACAAGAUGUACCAAUGUUAUGCAUGGAUGAAUCGCGAGGACUAGCACAAGGCAAUAUAGCAUUUUGACUAAAAGUAGUGCUAGUGUCCACAUGAGGCUCACUAGAUGUUACCUUAGCUGCAAACGGACUCCGAAUUCGACGAAACCAAGUUUGUUGGAAAGCUAGCGACAAGGGCUAACACAAUCUUGAUAGAAAUACCAAUAAGAAGCAAAUGACAAAAGGCCCAAAAGAAAAUGGUGAGAACCCUUCCUCGGAUAAGACCGGUAAAACCUCCAACAUCGAAAACAUCAUAGAAGACGCAUGCAAACUCCGUUUGCGAUGAACUCAAGCUUGUCAUCAAGAUGAACAUAAGCUCUAAGACUCACAAAGAGAACCAAACAAGAACCAAGAAACAUGAUGCAAGGAUGCAAUGGUUUAUAGCUCUCGACGAACGAUACGAUCAAGCUACUCACUUUAGAGCCCCCCUUGAUAGUACGGCUAUCGAUCCUAUAACCCGGUCUCCCAACUACCACCAUGAGACCGGUAAAAUAGAAAACCUAUCAAGGGAAAACCUUUGCCUUGCACAUGGUCCACUUGAGCUAGAUGAUGACGAUCUUGACUCCCUCAAGUUGGACCACCUUUAUUGAUUGCGUUGGCUCGAAGAAGACUAGAUGAUUACUCCCCCAUAGUCCACUAUAGGUGAGCCACUCUUCGGCACAUCUUCACAAGUCCAUUGUCACCACAAUGGACGGCAAGCUUCAAGCACUUGAUCUCUUCGUGAUGCUCCACUUGAACUUGCACAUGGCAAUCUUGAUGACGAUCACCACUUGAUGUCAUCCUCUCCAUGGGUUGAGUGAUAUCUUCCUCUUGACGCAAGCCCAUGAACACGUACCUAACCCCACAUAGAACUCUCACAUAGACCAUGGGUUAGUACACAAAGCACAAUGGACAAUGCUUAGCAUACCAUGGGAUCACUUGAUCCCUCUCGGUACAUCUUCUACGCUUUGUGAGUUGAUCAACUUGAUUCACUCUUGACUUAGUCUUGAUCAACCUAGAAUCUUUCCAACUCUCUUCAUUUGGAUGAUGUCUUGAAGGUAAACAUGAAUGAUCACACAAUCUUCUUCUUCAAGACAUGCUGGCAAUAAGCUCAACUCUCACAUGACCAAUCUUUGGAUAAUUCCUUAAUAGCACCUUGGUCAACACAAACUCUCCUUGAAACCAACACAUGUACUCCAAGAAAAGCCUAUGGACAAAACCUUCAAAUAUAACUCAAGGCAACCAUUAGUCCAUAGAGAUUGUCGUCAAUUACCAAAACCAAACAUGGGGGCACCACAUGUUCUUUCACCCAUGAGGCAUGGUUCGCAAGUAUCAAGUGAUUUAUAAUCAAGUGAUUCCAAAAGCCCAUCUGCAUGGAGUUUCUUCAUGCGCUUUACACAAACAUGACCAAAACGGAAGUGCCACAAGUAUGUUGCACUAUCAUUAUCAACUUUGCAUCUUUUAGCAUCAAUAUUAUGAAUAUGUGUAUUACUACGAUCGAGAUUCAAUAAACCAUUUACAUUGGGUGUAUAACCAUAGAAGGUUUUAUUCAUGUAAACAGAACAACAAUUUUCUCUGAAUUAAUUGACUAAAUGUAUUGCAAUAAACAUGAUCCAGUCAUAUUCAUGCUCAACGCAGACACCAAAUAACAUUUAUUUAGGUUCAACACUAAUCCCGAAGGUAGAUGGAGUAUGCGAUGGUGAUCUUAUCAAGCUUGGAAUCACUUCCAACACACAUCGUCACCUCGCCCUCAACUAGUCUCUGUUCAUUUUAUAACUCCUGUUUCGAGUUACUAAUCUUAGCAACUGAACCGGUAUCAAAUACCCAUGGGCUACUAUGAACACUAGUAAAGUACACAUCAAUAACAUGUAUAUCAAAUAUAUGUUUGUUCACUUUGCCAUCCUUCUUAUCCGCCAAGUAUUUGGGGCAGUUCCACUUCUAGUGACCAUUUCCUUUGCAGCAGAAGCACUCAGUUUCAGGCUUGGGUCUAGCUUUGGGCUUCUUCACGGGAGCGGCAACUUGUUUGCUGUUAUUAUUGAAAUUCCCUUUUUGUCCCUUGCCCUUUUUCUUGAAACUAGUGGUUUUGUUAACCAUCAACACUUGAUGCUCUUUCUUGAUUUCUACCUUCAUCGAUUUCAGCAUCGCGAACAGCUUGGGAAUUGUUUUUGCCAUCCCUUUCAUCUUAUAGUUCAUCACGAAGUUCUAGUAGCUUGGUGAUAGUGUUGGGGAACGUAAUAAUUUCAAAAAAAAUCCUACGCACACGCAAGAUCAUGGUGAUGCAUAGCAACGAGAGGGGAGAGUGUAGUCCACGUACCCUCGUAGACCGUAAGCGGAAGCGUUAUGAUAGCGCGGUUGAUGUAGUCGUACAUCUUCACGAUCGACCGAUCCUAGUACCUAAAGUAUGGCACCUCCGCGAUCUGCACACGUUCGGCUCGGUGAUGUCCCACGAACUCACGAUCCAGCAGAGCGUCGGGGGAGAGCUUCGUCAGCACGGUGGUGUGAUGACGGUGAUGAUGAAGCUACCGGCGCAGGGCUUCAUCUAAGCACUACGACGAUAUGACCGAGGUGGAUUAUGGUGGAGGGGGGCACUGCACACGGCUAAGGGAUCAAUGAUCAACUUGUGUGUCCUAGGGUGCCCCCUACCCCCAUAUAUAAAGGAGCAAGGGGGGAGGCCGACCGGCUUUGGGGCGCGCCAAGGAGGGGGAGGAGUCCUCCUCCUAGUAGGAGUAGGACUCCCCCUUUCCUAGUCCAAUUAGGAGGAGGAAGGGGGAAGGAAGGAGAGGGAGAGGAGAAGGAACGGGGGGGGGGGAGUGCGCCCCCCUCCCUAGUCCAAUUCAGACUCCCUAUAGGGAGGGGCGCGGCUGCCCCUUGUGGGCUGCCUCCCCUCUUCCCUAUGGCCCAUGUAGGCCUAAUAGUCCCCCCCGGGGGUUCCGAUAACCCCCCGGCACUCCGAUAAUUAUCCGGUGACCCCCGGAACUCAUCCGGUGUCCGAAUAUAGUCAUCCAAUAUAUCAAUCUUUAUUUCUCGACCAUUUCGAGACUCCUCGUCAUGUCCGUGAUCACAUCCGGGACUCCGAACUAUCUUCGGUACAUCAAAACACAUAAACUCAUAAUACCGAUCGUCACCAAACGUUAAGCGUGCAGACCCUACGGGUUCGAGAACUAUGUAGACAUGACCGAGACACGUCUCCGGUCAAUAACCAAUAGCGGAACCUGGAUGUUCAUAUUGGCUCCCACAUAUUCUACGAAGAUCUUUAUCGGUCAAACCGCAUAACAACAUACGUUGUUCCCUUUGUCAUCGGUAUGUUACUUGCCCGAGAUUCGAUCGUCGGUAUCUCAAUACCUAGUUCAAUCUCAUUAUCAGCAAGUCUCUUUACUCGUUUCGUAAUGCAUCAUCCCGCAACUAACUCAUUAGUCACAUUUGCUUGCAAGGCUUAUAGUGAUGUGCAUUACCGAGAGGGCCCAGAGAUACCUCUCCGACAAUCGGAGUGACAAAUCCUAAUCUUGAUCUAUGCCAACUCAACAAGUACCAUCGGAGACACCUGUAGAGCACCUUUAUAAUCACCCAGUUACGUUGUGACGUUUGGUAGCACACAAAGUAUUCCUCCGGUAUUCGGGAGUUGCAUAAUCUCAUAGUCAUAGGAACAUGUAUAAGUCAUGAAGAAAGCAAUAGCACUAUACUAAACGAUCAAGUGCUAAGCUAACGGAAUGGGUCAAGUCAAUCACAUCAUUCUCUAAUGAUGUGAUCCCGUUAAUCAAAUGACAACUCAUGUCUAUGGCUAGGAAACUUAACCAUCUUUGAUUCAACGAGCUAGUCAAGUAGAGGCAUACUAGUGACACUCUGUUUGUCUAUGUAUUCACACAUGUACUAAGUUUCCGGUUAAUACAAUUCUAGCAUGAAUAAUAAACAUUUAUCAUGAUAUAAGGAAAUAUAAAUAACAACUUUAUUAUUGCCUCUAGGGCAUAUUUCCUUCAGUCUCCCACUUGCACUAGAGUCAAUAAUCUGGAUUACACAAUAAUGAUUCUAACACCCAUGGAGUCUUGGUGCUGAUCAUGUUUUUCUCAUGAGAGAGGCUUAGUCAACGGGUCUGCAACAUUCAGAUCCGUAUGUAUCUUGCAAAUCUCUAUGUCUCCCUCCUUGACUUGAUCGCGGAUGGAAUUGAAGCGUCUCUUGAUGUGCUUGGUUCUCUUCUGAAAUCUGGAUUCCUUUGCCAAGGCAAUUGCACCAGUAUUGUCACAAAAGAUUUUCAUUGGACCCGAUGCACUAGGUAUGACACCUAGAUCGGAUAUGAACUCCUUCAUCCAGACUCCUUCAUUUGCUGCUUCCGAAGCAGCUAUGUACUCUGCUUCACACGUAGAUCCCGCCACGAUGCUUUGCUUAGAACUGCACCAACUGAUAGCUCCACCAUUCAAUAUAAACACGUAUCCGAUUUGUGACAUAGAGUCAUCCGGAUCAGUGUCAAAGCUUGCAUCGACGUAACCAUUUACGACGAGCCCUUUGUCACCUCCAUAAACGAGAAACAUAUCCUUAGUCCUUUUCAGAUAUUUCAGGAUGUUCUUGACCGCUGUCCAGUGAUCCACUCCUAGAUUACUUUGGUACCUCCCCGAUAAACUGAUAGCAAGGCACACAUCAGGUCUGGUACACAACAUUGCAUACAUGAUAGAGCCUAUGGCAGAAGCAUAGGGAACUCCUUUCAUUUUCUCUCUAUCUUCUGCAGUGGUCGGGCAUUGAGUCUGACUCAACUUCACACCUUGUAACACAGGCAAGAACCCUUUCUUUGCUUGAUCCAUUUUGAACCUUUUCAAAACUUUAUCAAGGUAUGUGCUUUGUGAAAGUCCAAUUAAGCGUCUUGAUCUAUCUCUAUAGAUCUUGAUGCCCAAUAUAUAAGCAGCUUCACCGAGGUCUUUCAUUGAAAAACUCUUGUUCAAGUAUCCUUUUAUGCUAUCCAGAAAUUAUAUAUCAUUUCCAAUUAACAAUAUGUCAUCCACAUAUAAUAUUAGAAAUGCUACAGAGCUCCCACUCACUUUCUUGUAAAUACAGGCUUCUCCAAAAGUCUGUAUGAAACCAUAUGCUUUGAUCACACUAUCAAAACGUUUAUUCCAACUCCGAGAUGCUUGCACCAGUCCAUAAAUUGAUCGCUGGAGCUUGCACACUUUGUUAGCAUCCUUUGGAUCGAUAAAACCUUCAGGUUGCAUCAUAUACAACUCUUCUUCCAGAAAUCCAUUCAGGAAUGCAGUCUUUACAUCCAUUUGCCAAAUUUCAUAAUCAUAAAAUGCAGCAGUUGCUAACAUGAUUCGGACGGACUUAAGCAUCGCUACAGGUGAGAAGGUCUCAUCGUAGUCAACUCCUUGAACUUGUCAAAAACCUUUCGCAACAAGUCGAGCUUUGUAGACAGUAACAUUACUGUCAGCGUCAAUCUUCUUCUUGAAGAUCCAUUUAUUCUCGAUGGCUUGCCGAUCAUCGGGCAAGUCAACCAAAGUCCACACUUUGUUCUCAUACAUGGAUCCCAUCUCAGAUUUCAUGGCCUCAAGCCAUUUCGCGGAAUCUGGGCUCAUCAUCGCUUCCUCAUAGUUCGUAGGUUCGUCAUGGUCAAGUAACAUGACCUCCAGAACAAGAUUACCGUACCACUCUGGUGCGGAUCUUAGUCUGGUUGACCUACGAGGUUCGGUAGUAACUUGACCUGAAGUUACAGGAUCAUCAUCAUUAGCUUCCUCACUAAUUGGUGUAGGAGUCAAAGGAACAUAUUUCUGUGAUGAACUACUUUCCAAUAAGGGAGAAAGUACAGUUACCUCAUCAAGUUCUACUUUCCUCCCACUCACUUCUUUCGAGAGAAACUCCUUCUCUAGAAAGGAUCCAUUCUUAGCAACGAAUGUCUUGCCUUCGGAUCUGUGAUAGAAGGUGUACCCAACAGUCUCCUUUGGGUAUCCUAUGAAGACACAUUUCUCCGAUUUGGGUUCGAGCUUAUCAGGUUGAAGCUUUUUCAGUUAAGCAUCGCAGCCCCAAACUUUAAGAAGCGACAACUUUGGUUUCUUGCCAAACCAUAGUUCAUAAGGUGUCGUCUCAACGGAUUUAGAUGGUGCCCUAUUUAACUUGAAUGCAGCCAUCUCUAAAGCAUAGCCCCAAAACGAUAGCUGUAAAUCAGUAAGAGACAUCAUAGAUCACACCAUACCUAGUAAAGUACGGUUACGACGUUCGGACACACCAUUACGCUGUGGUGUUCCGGGUGGCGUGAGUUGCGAAACUAUUCCGCAUUGUUUCAAAUGAAGACCAAACUCGUAACUCAAAUAUUCUCCUCCACGAUCAGAUCGUAGAAACUUUAUUUUCUUGUUACGAGGAUUUUCCACUUCACUCUAAAAUUCUUUGAAGUUUUCAAAUGUUUCAGACUUAUGCUUCAUCAAGUAGAUAUACCCAUAUCUUCUCAAAUCAUCUGUGAAGGUGACAAAAUAACGAUACCCGCCGCGAGCCUCAACAUUCAUCGGACCACAUACAUCAGUAUGUAUGAUUUCCAACAAAUCUGUUGCUCGCUCCAUUGUUCCGGAGAACGGAGUUUUAGUCAUCUUGCCCAUGAGGCAUGGUUCGCAAGUAAGUGAUUCCAAAAGUCCAUCAGAAUGGAGUUUCUUCAUGCGCUUUGCACCACGGCAGUGCCACAAAUACGUUGCACUAUCAUUAUCAACUCUGCAUCUUUUGGCUUCAAUAUUAUGAAUAUGUGUAUCACUACUAUCGAGAUUCAAUGAAAAUAGACCACACUUCAAGGGUGCAUGACCAUAAAAGAUAUUACUCAUAUAAAUAGAACAACCAUUAUUCUCUGAUAUAAAUGAAUAACCGUCUCGCAUCAAACAAGAUCCAGAUAUAAUGUUCAUGCUUAAUGCUGGCACCAAAUAACAAUUAUUCAGGUCUAAAACUAAUCCCGAAGGUAGAUGUAGAGGUAGCGUGCCGACCGCGAUCACAUCGACUUUGGAACCAUUUCCCACGCGCAUCAUCACCUCGUCCUUAGCCAAUCUUCGCUUAAUCCGUAGUCCCUGUUUCGAGUUUGCAAAUAUUAGCAACAGAACUAGUAUCAAAUACCCAGGUGCUACUGCGAGCAUUAGUAAGGUACACAUCACACUACAAAAAAAUACACUUCGGUGAUGAUACGUGUUUGUCACAAUAGGUCACGUUUUCUGUCAUGCAUAUACAUCCAUGACAAAUUUAUGACAGAAUCAAGAUAGUCAUACCUGUGCUGUCGUAGAAGUGUUCCAUGACAUUACCGAAUUUAUCAUCACGGAAGUGUCCACUUCCAUGACUAUAAAUCGCGCGUCACAGAAGUGCUUUCGUCAAGGGUGACCGACACGUGGCAUCCACCGUAACGGAACGCCGUUAAGCUAUCGGGUUUGGUUUUGGAUUCGAUAACCCGUUAACAGCCCCGACCAAUGGGGAUUUUCCACGUGUAAAAUCAUCAAUGGCUGGAGGAAACACGUGUCGGCUCACCGUUGGGACAGGUGUCACUCAUCCAAUAGGCGAGAUGCGCUUAUGAAAUGUUGACACGUGGACCGGCCCAAAAGUGGCCCAUAAAGUUUAAAUGGGCCGGCCCAACUAAAGGCCCACACGAUUUUGUGGUCCAUAAUGGGCCGGCCCAGCAAAAGGCCCAUGAGAUUUUGCGUACCAUAAUGGGCCGGCCCAGCUAAAGGCCCACAAGAUUUUGCAGGCCAUAAUGGGCCGGCCCAUCUAAAGGCCCGCGAGAUUUUGCGGACCAUAAUGGGCCGGCCCAGCUAAAGGCCCACAAGAUUUUGCCGACCAUAAUGGGUCGGCCCAGCUAAAGGCCCACGAGAUUUCGCCGACCAUAAUGGGCCGGCCCAGCUGAAGGCCCAAAAGAUUUUGAUGACACUAGUAGGCCGGCCCAUUAACAGGCUGCCAUGUUUUGGGCCAAAUGCCGGCCCAUACUUGAUCCGGUCCAUUAAUAGUCUGCCACGUUCCGGGCCUAAUAAAUGCCCAUAGGUGAUCCGGCCCGUUAAAAGCCUACCACGUUGUGGGCCAAAUUACGGCCCAGAUCAGGUCCGACCCUUUGAGAGGCUUUGGGCUAAAUUAUGGCCCAUAUCAGAUUCGGCCCAUCAACUGGACGCUAUGCUUUUGGGCCCACUUGAUAAAGGCCCAUUUAGUAAUUCGGCCUGAUAUUAGUUUUGGCCUGUUAAAGGCCCGUUUAACAUUUCAGCCCUAUAUAUAUUUCGGCCUGUUAAAAGCCCGUUAUAUAGUUGGGCCUAACUACGGCCCCGUUUGCAUCCGGCCUGCUCACAGACGAUAAUCUGAUUGGGCCAAAUAAGAACCGAGACAAUUUUGGCCUGUUAUAAGCCCAUGAUCUAAUUGGCACAAUCAUGGGCCGGGGUCUAUUUCGGCCUGCUGCCGGCCCGUGAGCUGUUCGGCACGUUUCAGGCCCAACCUACUUUUCAGCCUCCUAAAGCCCCAUUGAGUUUUCUUGGGAAAAUAGGGCCGGCGGUUUACUCGGCCUAUUAAAGGCCCGAAUCUACUAGUGGGCCAGUUUACAUUUAGGCAUGUUAAUGGACCAAGAUGACGGGGCCCAUGAUGCGGAUCAUACAUGGUGUAACAUCCCGAUUCUCGGAAUGUUUAAGAUUUUUUUCGAAAAUCAGGACGAGAAAAUUUCAUUUGUUUUAGUUAAUAAAGCUUAAAUUGAGUUUUCAUAAAUUUGGUGGAGUUAAUUUGAUAUAAUCCCAACUUAAAUUAAAUUUGUAUUUUAUUCUUUUUUAACUGGAUUUUAAAUUUUGUCAUCUUCGACAUAUUGUAAUAUCUGCCUUCUAAUUCUCUUUGGUUUUUCUGAAAUUCGUUUGAUGAUUUGAGCUUCUUUUCCUUCUCUAGAUUUUCCUAAAGGAAAAUCAAUUUCUUUUCUUCCCUCAAAACUCUGGACGAAAUUCCCUAGCAUAUCUUUCUUUUUAUUCCUGUGUGAAGCCCACCUCCUUUAUUUUUUUCCUUCCAAACCGAAUGGGCUUAGGCCAACUGUUUUUUUUCUUUCUCUUCCUUCUCUAUUUCCUUCUCCCCAUGGGCCCUUAGCCCAUUUUCUUCAGGUGGUGGCCGAACGUUUAAUCUUCCUCACAUACAUACACAGAGGAAACGCACGCACAUGAAACGGCAACAGUCAUCGUUGCCUCCUCCUUUAAUUCCCUCUCUUGACUCCUCCCUUGCCUUAUCUCCCUCUGACUUGCCAUCUUCCAAGCGCCAGGCUCAAGUGCUUCGUCUCCUGCUCCACUCACCUGCACGCACACCAUUACAGAGAAGAAAACCUACAUGAGAGAAAGAGACCCUCCACUAACUCCCUUAAAUCUCCAUCAUUUUCAGUUUUGAAGAUAUCUAGACAUGCUCCACGAUCUCCUCUUCCACCCCGCAGAAACUCCUGUCCUCUCCCUUGUCUGUUCUUCCAAAAUACAUCCACGAAGUGCUGCUGCUCCAUGAACGCCGGUGUUUGUUCCGGGCGACUUCAAGCAUCUCCAUCCAUGCCCUUGCGCCAGAAGGUUCCCCUCGAUGUGGUGAAUCCAUUCAAGAAAGAAGGAACACAUUCCGUCGACCACACGCGAAGAAUUUCACAUGUGCGUGUACACUGUUCGUCAAGUUCACCACACCGUUCCGUCCAACUCGGCGAGCCUCUAUCCAAUUCCUCAUGCACACCUUCUCAACAUCACUCGUAGUAUCUCAUAGACAUCAUUAUUCAACCUAUCUCUGUUGUUACUCACGCCGAUGCAUGAACGGAUGUCAUCAACAUGUCUGCGUACUUUUUAGUCCCUUGGAUGAUCUUGUGUUCAACACAUGAGUUGUUUCCCAUGUCCUUGGUAACCCCGUGGUAGAGUUAGAUUACUUGUUUGGUAAUCAUGUUUAGUGUUGAUUUAAUUAUAGUCCUUUGGCCUAAAUCCGAUAGUGUUUUGAGUUGAUAACUUUUCUUGUUAGUUUAAUGUAUUUUUUAUGUCUCGUCAUGCCUAGGAGUCAUCUUGAGUUAUAUUAUAAUUUUAGGAGUGUCUUGUGUUUUACUCACUUAAGUUGAAUGUGCGUUUUAUUUAUUAAGUAUAGUUUUGUAUGGUUUCUUGUAGACAACUUCGUGCAUCAUGUAGUAGUGAGAUACACCUUUGUGUUAGUUCUUAUGUAUUACUACUAUGUGUAGUAGUUGAUCGGUCAACUUUUCUUGUUAGUAUGUUAUUUUAUUAUGUUCAUGAUAUGCCUACAAGUGUAUGUUAUUCGUCUUAUAAUUUUAGUGCAAUGUAGGACUUGUUAGAUUUAUUUCUUUCACCGUUCAAAAAUUGUUCCACAUGUUAUUUCAGAUAGAUAUUUUUCUUUCUUGUGGUACAUAGUUAAGAUAUGUAUAUGUACAUGUUUUUGCAAAUUAUUACCAUGCGUAGGUUUAUGUAGAAUUAUGGUAACCUUUGUGUGAUUAUGCAAUACCGAAUGUCUUGAUUAUUUUCAUUUUUGUUUGGGAAUGAGGAUAUCUUAUAUAUCGUUUACAUAUUCAUUUUCAUCGAUGUUCCAUGUUUGGUUGAUUGGUUUGAAAUCAUGCCAUGUCUACGAUAGGUGUUUAUACAUUUUUAGUACGUGUUAUUGCAUAGUAUUCCUUAUGCAAUAUGCCGAAUGAAAUGCCUUAUUGUUUGGAUAUGAGUACAUUGUAGUUCAUAGCAUAGAAUAUUAUUGGCUAGUUGUUCCUUUUAUUUUAUAAAUGUGUGUUAUACAAGAUUGCAUGGAUAGAUGCUUCAUGAAAUCAUUUAGUUUUGUAUUACUAUAUAUAAUUUAUUCUUGUGAAAUAGAAUUCAGUUUAUUUCAUCUUGCUAACUAUCAUGUGUCCAUUUACAUUUGUUUAUUACCAUGCCAUGUUAGGAUUUGCUCAAUGUCCAACGCAUGUUUUGAUUGUAUGUGUUAUAUGAUUGCUACUUUAUAUUGUAUGACCAAUCAUAUGCUUAAUAUUUGCUUGGUAGAGGUGCAUGUUAGUAGUUUAUGAUCUCAUAUAUUUUAAUUAAGUAGGAGUCCUUCUUGCUUCAAUAUAGUGCCAUGAUGUUGCGAUUGUAUAACUAGACUACAUAGUGUGUGCGUGUGUGUGGGGGUAUGUGUGUGUGUACCAAUUCAUGUAUUAGAAGAUCAUGACUAGUGAUGCAUCUUAUGUACUUGCAAUUGUAGGUUGUACCAGAUAGAAAUACAUGUCAUCUUGUUAUUCCUGCUUCUAUAAUACAUGUUGAUUUGGUUGAUGAGAUGAUCUAGUUGUUUACUUUCCUACAUGCUUAGUAUGCUUCCAUGUGCUUAUUUAUCAUAACUAGCAUGGUAUAGUGUUGUAUGCUAACAUCGUGUUUGCUCUUUAGGUUAGUUAUUAUCAACUAGGUAAUCUCGCAGUUAGGAGUUGUAUUCUAUUAGUAGCAUAUUGUAGCAUCUUGUGUGAUGCCUCGCAUCAUGUCUGGUUUAUUUUACUGUUACAUUUGUGAUAUGCUUAAGCCUAUGGAUCAAGUCAUGCUAGUGAUUUGUCUUGUCUUAUUAUGUUCCAUAUGCUAUAGUUGAGUACUUAGACCCUUGUGUUUCUUAUAGAUGUUUAACUUAGUCUCAUUUUAGUAUUAUGAAUGUUUUAAUACUUGUUGCUAUGACUUGUCAUAUGCUUGGGAUGAGUCAUAUGUCAUGUUAGUAGAGUUGUACUUUGAUCACACACUAAGUGUGUGUAUCAUGCCUUGUUAUUGUAAGCAUGUGGUGAUAAUAGUAUUGCUAGUGGUCAUUGGUAUUAGUUGUUCUUUAUUAUUAAGAGCAUGUCCUAAUUUAGUAUCUUCUCUUGAUAACUUUUAUGUGUGAUGCUUGUGUUAUUACUUAAGACAUCUAUAUGAUCCUAUACUCACAUGCCUUGUGUGAGAUGUGUGUUAUUAUAUUAAGUUGUUUAAUUAGUUUCUACCAUAGUAUUGGUUUGUGUUUUAUUAUAGAAAUGCUUACUAAUAGUUGUUAUGAUUGAUGUUUAGUCUUUACUUGUUGUUAACCAUUAUAAUCAUUUGGAUUCUUCCAAAUAAUUACUUGUGGUUAAUAUUAAUCUUAACCAUAUCAUGUUUCUGAUGGUUGUUCAUCCUUUUGUUCCAUGUGAUGUAUAGUUUCUUGUUAAUUGUUUGACAAAUGAAUUGGUUUGAUUUAAUGGAGUGGAUCCUAAUGUUUUAGGUCUAGACGCUAGAUCAAUUCAAUUCAUUUUUAUGGAAUGAUAUUUGAUUGAUUAACUAGUAUGGCUUAUAAUGUUGGUUUGGUUGUCAUAUAGAAUACUUGCUUGUUAAUAACCAUUGUAAAUAUUUAGAUUCUAUCUAAAUAUUUAUUAUGGUUAACUUUUACCUUUAUCAUGCCAUGAUUAUGAUUGUGUAGUAUGCAAAGGACGGUUCCUUUUCAUGUGUGUUGAUGCCAUUGUUUUUUAAUAUAGUUAGGUGAGAUGUGUAGUGGGUACUACUAGUGGUUGGUACCAUAGUUCGUAUUAGAACGUUAGUAUUGUUGGCAAGCCUUGAUUAUCCAUCAUCAACUAAACCCUGUCAAUUCAUCGAGUCCUCUACUUAUCUUCCAGUCAUGUUAUCUCCUUUUGAUAUCUCCAUCUUGAUCAGUAUCUUGCUAUCCAUCCACUCUUAAUUUGUUUUGGAUGUUAUUUGGAUUUUCUAUUUCUUUGGUAUUUAUUGUUUUUCCUUUGCUAUCGUUACGACGAGUAUGGCGUGACGACGAUGUUGGACAUGGACAGAAACAGGUUACCGAAGAAGGACUCAACAACGAAGGCAUGCCUCCUUUGAUCAUACUUAUCCUAUGGUUUACAAAAUUGCAUUGAGUUUUAUUGUUACUAUGUGCAUGCUAUUUUAAUUCUCGUAGCUAGCGUGUCGAUUGACACAUUACCUUGAUCCGCUUGUCGCCUAUUUACUUGACACCUAAGUAGAAGUAUAAGGUUCCCAUAGAGUAGAAAUGCUUAGCCAUGCUUAUCACCCUAUAGGUGCCUUGUUGAAUGACCUCUGAGUCAUUGACAGUUGAAACUUAACGCUGAGCUAGGCCUGUUGGCCCUUGUUAACCUUCUGAAAGGAUCGAUAUAGUUGACUAGGAGGGGGGGGGGGUGAAUAGGCAACUAACAAUUUUUAGCUUUUCUUUACCAAUUUAAACUUUGCAUCAAAGUAGGUUGUCUAGAUAUGCAACUAGGUGAGCAACCUAUAUGAUGCAACAACAACAAGCACACAAGCAAGCAAGGCAUAUAACACAAAUAAGCUGCACAAGUAAAGGCACGGGAUAACCAAGAGUGGAGCCGGUGAAGACGAGGAUGUGUUACCGAAGUUCCUUCCUUUUGAGGGGAAGUACGUCUCCGUUGGAGCGGUGUGGAGGCACAAUGCUCCCCAAGAAGCCACUAGGGCCACCGUAUUCUCCUCACGCCCUCACACAAUGCGAGAUGCCGUGAUUCCGGUGCCCUUGGAGGCGGCGACCGAACCUUUACAAACAAGGUUGGGGCAGUCUCCACAACUUAAUUGGAGGCUCCCAACGACACCACGAAGCUUCACCACAAUGGACUAUGGCUCCGCGGUGACCUCAACCGUCUAGGGUGCUCAAACACCCAAGAGUAACAAGAUCCGCAAGGGAUUAGUGGGGGGAAUCAAAUUUCUCUUGGUGGAAGUGUAGAUCGGGGCCUUCUCAACCAAUUCCUAGAAAAUCAACAAGUUUGAUUGGCCAGGGAGAGAGAUCGGGCGAAAAUGGAGCUUGGAGCAACAAUGGAGCUUAGGGUUGAAAGAGGUGGUCAACUCGGGGAAGAAGACACCCCUUAUAUAGUGGAGGGACAAAUCCAACCGUUAUCCACCAACCCAGUGUGCGCAGCGUGGUACUACCGCGCCAGGGCCGUGGUACUACCGCAAGCGCCUGCGGUACUACCGCAGGGCCUUGCGGUACUACCGCCCGAGUGGCACAGACCUGGACAACCCAAACGCACUGAAGCGGAGGGCGGUAGGACCGCUCGUGCGGUACUACCGCACCACCUAGUGGUACUACCGCAAGGCAGGGAGGUUCCAGAAAACGGGAAGGCACGGACCUAAAAAAAAAUUACAUCCGUGGAAACUUCCACUGAGUUGGAGUCGAUGCAAAAAUCCGACACGGUAGUACAGCACGAGGAGCGAUAAUACCACGCGGUGGCUGAGCCAGGCCAGGAGGCACGGUACUACCGCGCACUGGGCGCGGUACUACCGCGUAGGGCUCAGAUGUAAAAAAUUACAUCCGCCCCUACUACCGCUGCGCAGCAGCACUUGGCCUGGGGGCCACGGUACUACAGCUCCUGAGGAGCGGUACUACCGUGGGCUCCCACGGCCCGCGGUAGUACCGCUCCAUGGAGCAGUACUACCGCAGGCCCAAGCUCAACAACCUAAGACAAGUUGCAUAGACGAAAAAAGACGGAGGAUGCUCCAAGGUGCCAAAGGAAAGGCGGUGCAAAAGGAGUAGACGUGUACGUGAUGAUUCCACCCAAACCUUUCCAAAGCGGACCCCUCUUAAUAGUACGGCUUUCCUACGACUCAAAUCAACCAAAAAGAAACGUAGAAAAACGCCGUCUUCACUAGUCUUCGAGGGGCACCGAACCGUCUUGUGCCUAGUAGCGAAACGUCUGCAAUACUCAAGGCACACGAUUAGUCCGCAAAAGCAUUGUCAUCAAUCACCAAAACACCUUAGGGAUAAAUAUGCCCUUCCAAUCUCCCCCUUUUUGGCGGAUUGAUGACAAUACGGGAUUUGCACAGAGGGAAAUAAUAUAGAACAUAAGCAAACCCAACAUCUCUAAAAUAUAGACGGGCUCCCCCUAGAUGCGUGCUAUCUAGAUAAGUGCUUUGGACUGCACGGCACGUAUACUAGGAUCAAGACUCCCCCUAUAUUUUAUAGACAAGGCAUAUCUUGCAACAAUAAGGCUAACACUAAGCAAGAUAGUAAACAGGAGCAUAACAUAAAUAGCACAAUAUAUAUAAGCUCAAUAAGGUACGAUAGAGUGCAUAUGUCUUACACCAUAUGAACGAUAAGUCUCACGAGCAAACCAAACCAAAGCAAGCAAGGUUCAACGGAACAAACGCAAGCAAAGCAAACGCAAGACUCGCAAAUCCCUACACUCUCUCCCCCUUUGGCAUCGAGAUGCCAAAAAGGCAGAGAGGACACCUACAACACAAGUGGUGGCUCAAGCGGAGUAAUCACUCGCACGCUCCUCGUCAGCCUUAGCAGCGGGGACGGUCUCCUCGUUGUCCUCCUCAGAAUCAGUCCACUUGAAGCCUUGUUUUGCCAUCCACUUAGCCUCUGGAGUGAUGAUCUCCUCAGAACCGCCAGAAACUUCCUCUCCAAAGACCCUCAUAUUCUUCUUGUCGCGGCGGCGACUCUCCUUGGAGGCAACGUGAGUCCUGUACUGCCCCUUUGCCUGCAUGCAGAACAGAGUCUUCAUCUUGUCCUUCAGCUUCUUAGCCCAUGAGGGCUCAGUGGAGCGAGGGGCAUACCCAGCAGAGCGGUUCUUAGCUGCACCCUCCUCCUCACUCUCCUCCCCAUCAACAUCCAUCUUAGCAGCCGCUGCCUUAGCACGAGUAGUAGUGUUAGCCCACUGGGGCUUGAUGCGAAGUCUGAUGGGGUCAUGACGGAUCCAGUUAGGGGCCAAAAACUCAUCCUGAGGGAAUCGCUGCUCCCAUGUCUUCGAGAUCAGCAGAAACAGGUAAGGUCCAUAGAUGGGAACCUUACGGUUGAACACCGCAAAGCGAAGCUCACACCACAUGAUGUGGGAGACGUCCAAGGGUUGUGUCUGAGAGAUCCGCGCCUCCUCACAGAGAAGCAACAUGUCCACAAGAUAAGCAUGCACCUUGUCCUUGUCCCCAAUGCGUGGGAAGAGAGAGUUGUGGAAGAUCCGGUGCAUGAUGUCAACGAAAGGGUUCAGAACCCAUGUCUUCUUGACGCUUGGAAGGAGCUUCUCAACAUAAUAUUGCAUAAGUUUGUUCUUGCUGGCAGACUCGGGGUUGGCAUGAGGGCGGACACCAACGGGCGUGUUGAGCCCCUCAUCAGGAACAUUGAGCAAAGCCAUGAAUUCCUGCCAAGUAGCAGUCAGCUGACGUCCAUUGGUUCUCCAGGUCAACCUCCGAUCCUCCUCAGUGUGAAAGUGAACCGAAGCAAAGAACUAGGCCACAAGCUCGGGAUCAUAGUCCAGGUGAAAAGAGAUCACAUCCUCAAUGGCAAACUGCUCCACGAGAUCCAAGGCCUCACCAAAGUAUGCACGGUGCUUCUCCUCCCUCAUGUGAUUCAUAUCAAUCCAGUGCACGUCCACAUAUGUGUUCUGCUUGCCCUUGAUCACAUCCAAAUAAAUGAGAUUUUGCUGCUUGGUCCAGAACAGAUCAUUGCCUCUGAUGUUGGCACGAGGAUUCACAUAAGGGUUGAUCCUCCUUCGACCGAGAAACUCUGUCUGUGGAAUCUCAUCCAUGCCCAUGGAGGGCUCCUUCUGCUUGGUGGCGGUAGUCUUGGUCCUGCGUUGGGGGGCAUUGGAGCCCUCUGGGGCUUCAUCUUGAUUGCAAAGACGCUUGGAGCCCGUGUCACGGCUGGGAUUGGAACGGCGAGCAGGAGCCCCGGAGCCGCCACCUAAGACACCAAACACAAAACACCCACGAGAAGCGAGACGGAUCAAUGCAAAGACCACCGCAAAAACAGAUGAAACAAGGAGAACGUGCACUUGGUAGUUGCCAUGAAGAAGAUUUGAUAGCUAUGGUAGUACAGCCAGUUCGCGUGGUACUAAAAUUUUAGUGCCACUCCUAGUCGCGGUAGUACCGUGUGGCAGCACGGUAGUACCGGGGCUCGGAGUGGUAGUAGGAUUUUAGUACCUUGGCCCGCGCGGUAGUACCGCACCUGAGGGGCGGUAGUACCGCACCUGAGACGCGGUAGUACCACAUGGCGCCAGAUCCGAACCAAUUUGAAUCUGAGAACAACCGUGACAACGAGGCGGUACUACGGUUGAUCAAAUCUACCAUGGGACACCAUACCAGGUACAAUUUCUACGCAACACUACUCUCCUACAUCCUACUCUUACAAAGAUUUGGCCUAAAAUCUCAAGAACAACAUGCAUCUCCCCAAAAACCUAGAAGUGAAAGAACGAACAAAAGAGAAAGGGAUCUGGGGAGAAACCUUGUUCCAUGGCAAGAGGAAGUGGUGGGGAACGAUCCCACCGGUCGGAAUUCGAGGAGAGCGGCCAGAGAUGGAGAUCUGGCGAGGGUCUCCGGCGCCGUUCUUGAGAGAGAGCGAGAGAGAGAGAGAGAGACCGCGGGGAGAGAAGAGGACGAAUGGGUAUGGGGGAGUUGGAACUCCCCCUGCCCGCUCUUAACCUCACGCGCCCUCGGCCGCGUGGUAGUACCGCAUGUCAUCGCGGUAGUACCGCCCGGGCGGAAGUACUAUGCCGAGGCGGUAGUACCGCUCCCCCAGGCGGCAGUAAAAAAUUACUGUCACGCUGGGUGCGGAAGUACCGUGCGCUCCUCAUGCGGUAGUACCGUGGCAGGCCGCGGUAGUAGCGUGAGCUCAAGAAGAUGCAAGUUUCAAGAAGGGAAAA
rnacentral:lncRNA from 1 species